rnacentral:lncRNA from 1 species
UAUAUUAUAUAUUGUAUAUGCUGUUAAUGAGUUAAUAUGGUGCUUGCUCCUAGUUGGAAAUUUAUGUAGUCAUCUACCUAUGAUCAAAUAAAGAUGAAAAAUAAAAUAAAAUUGAGAGCAUCUUCCUCUCCCCUGCUUUGCUCAUCCCUUGUUCUUCCACUUCAGCCCCACUAUUACACCAUUUUUUCAGCCACAAUUAUAAUAGCUCCAUGAGCAUAUUAACAUCAGUGGCCACAGUUCCAUGAUUUGAGUGCACAGAAAGGUUUCAAAAAUUGUCCCAAAAGUACAGUCGUUCAAAGUGAAAGAGAGUUUUCAAAGCUUAAUUACAAGUUCAUGUUAUUUACAAUAGCAAAAAGCUUUCAUUCUUGCUUACAAACUUGUAUUUCCAAGUUCUGUAAACCUUGGAAUUUCACUUCAUCCAAAUCCCCUUCCAAAGCAGGAAAAAAUGGCAGCAGCUUUGAUUGGAGAGGCUCUCAUCUCUGCUUCUAUCGAGGUGUUGUGUGACAGAGUUACUUCAGCCGAGUUCAUAGACUUAUUUCAGCAGAAGAACUUGAUGAAACACUCCUCAUGAACCUGAAGACAACACUGUUGAUUUUGUUUGCGGUGCUCAAUGAUGCAGAGGAGAAGCAAAUUGUGAACCCUGCUGUGAGAGAGUGGCUUAACAGCUCAAGCAUGCUGUCUUUGAUGCAGAGGACUUAUUUGAUGAGAUUGACACUGAAGCUUUGCGAUGCAAGCUGGAAGGUGAGGAUCAAACCCACAAUAGUUAACCAACAAGGAUCUUUUUGAUUGUUUGAAAGAAGAGUCUUUGAUGAUUUGAAAGGAGAGGGUUGCUUUAUUUCUGUUGGAUGCGUAAUUAAAUCUUAUUUGGAGUUGAACAAGGAUUAGAUUAGCUGUAUAAUUAGUGGUAAACGCCUUUUUCUAAGGGUCAUUUAGACUCCUAUUACGAUUAAUUUGUUGUUUCUAAUUUGGACUUAUAGGAACAGACCAAAUAUGUUCACACGUGGCAUCGCUCAAGUCAUCAUCAUUUCAGACUGAAAAUCAGCCUUCAAGUGUCUGUUGAGCCAAUAAACCUUUCUAGAUAUAUCAAGUGCAAUGGAAAUUCAUGAGUUACAUAGAGAUUUGUAAACAUUUUGAAGAUUGCAACACCUGCAAGUGAGAUAGGCGGUGACGAAAUCAGAGCUGAUUUUGAAGCCUCUGAUGCCCCUGUUGUUGCAAGUUGCACCUGAGAACAUGUUUUUUUUUUCUUUGGGGUAAAAAAACUGGCAACAUGUUCGGAGCUGACAAUUCAAUCCCUGAUGAACUAGAGAAGCGAAGCUCCGGUAAGGAAUUGGUCAAGGUUGUGACAGGGAUGAUUGAUGGUGAAAUGGAUGCUAUUUCUUAUUGCAGCCUGUUCUCAAAGUUCUUGUUGGCAAAUGCAAGAGAUGGAGUAUUUUGAUUGGGAGGAGAUAUAAUGACAUGGCUUGACAAUUCUAGAACAGCCCAUCAUUAAUCCCAGAAAAAAUCCAGUUUCUGCUAAACAAUCACUUAUGGCAAGGCCAACUCUGUAAAUGGAAUUUGUGAUCCCUUGAAAUUGUACACAUUUUUUCUUUUUGAGGAAUUUAAUCAAACAGUAUUCUAAUGUAUUAUGAUAGCACUACACGCUUUUGUUGUAACAAAUUACAAGGAGGAAUUUGGAUUGAGUUUCUUGUAUAAGCACACCUUACACAAAUUUGGUAUAUUUUCUUCCAGCAAGUCUGUUUAUUAACCCCCUUAUCUGAAAUUAAUUGUUAAAAGUUUUGAUUCAUCUUUAAUCAGUGUCUAACCCUUGUUGAAUAACACUCCUCUUUCUAAUUUAUAUUUGAAGUUUGAGGUUUCAAUUUCAAUUGUGGGCUUUGAUUUUACAGAUUUUGUUUGUCAAUUUCAGUUUGGACAAAGCAUAUGCAAACAAAAUAAGCAUUUUAUGUUAUACUUUUGAAAUAGGUGUUGAUUUGAUUUAAUCAUAAGUUUUGCUGGUGCAUUUACUAGGCUAUCAUUCAAUACUUUUGAUCAUAGAACUUCUUUGGUCGAUAUUAUCUUUGUUAAGUUUAACCAUAAAUUUAGAGAGGGGACUUCAACAGAUUUAUAAUCUCAUCAUUAUAGUAUUAAAAAUUAGAGAUUAAGGCAUUGUCUAUUAUCUGAAUUCUGCUUACUUUUAGUUCAUAUGUUUACAUCUUAGCAUAUUCAUGCGAUUAGUGCGGCUCAUACCACAAAGGCAACUUUAGGCUCAUCAAGUGCUAAGCAAUGUCAAGCUUCCAAGUGACAAGUUCUCUACAUAGUUUGAGACCUACACUUACUAGAUAUUAGAUCAUUUCGAUCAUUUCCAUAUGUUUAUAUGUAAUUGACAUGUUAUAACAAUUUUUGUAGCGUUAUAUAAUUAUUUAGCAAUUUAAUUAUUUCUUUGCAUCAAGAAAUAGUUCUUAAGUUAUUAAAAAAAAAAAAAAAGAUUUAAAAAAAAAGAUUUGUUGAUGCUUAAAAAGCAUCAAGAACAGGUAGUUUCUUGACGGUUUAGUGACGUUUCAUAACUGUAGGAGGCUUUUUCUUCCGACAGCUGUAAAUGGGCUGGGUUGCCGUAAAGGGCAGACUGAUGAAAUUGUCCCCUUUUGUCUGAGCUAGAAAAUUAAGCCCCAAAAUACUUCGAAAGGGCAGCAGAGCCUUAGGAAGUAUUUUGGUUACCCUCACCAACUAAAACAACAACAACUUACAGGUAAUUUCUUAAUGCUUACAGAUGAACUCUUGAGCUUGGCAUGAGAGACAUGUGGCAUGGAAGCAAAAUCAACAUGAGUUUAGCACUGAGGGGAAAUUUAGGCUCUCUUGGGGGAAAAAGGGAAGUGUUAAGGUGAGAGAGGAGAAGUUUGUAGGAGAUUUAGCUAAGAAAGGAGAAAUAUAGAACAAUGCUCUUCUGGCAGCUUGACAGAUGCUCUGUCUGCCAGAAAAGGAAGAUGGAGAAGAAAUGUGAAUAGUGCACGAGUUUGCUAGAUUUUUGCAGGUAAGAGAGGAAGCUUGCUCUCUGGGUCUGAGUUGAGUUUUGUUAGGUGGAAGAGACCUCAUUUUAUAGCUCCUGGAAACCAUCACUUCCCAAGAAACCCUAAUGGCUUCUACCCAUUUUGGCCAAGCUUUUCCAUUCCUUUCUCAUUUCCUUCCUUGACUUUACCCCUCUUGAUGAAAUCCUCUCUACCUAUUUGCACCAGAUCAGAGUUUUUUGAAGCUUAAGGCCCCCUUUUCCCGCAGUUGUCUCAAUGGGAGACUUUCAUUCCUAGUCAUUUCCUUUAUUGCUUUCCUUUCUUUUUUUCAUGGCCAAGUCUGGUGGGGAAAGGAGUUGGGAUAAAUAUGCUAGUUUGAAGGGUGCUUCUCUUCUUGGCAUCUUACACACUAAUACCCCUUGGUUCCUUGAAUGUUUUGGCUUUGAAACUUGCUCCCCUCCAUGUAUUGGAACCUCCCAGCAGCCCUGGUCAAUGAAUCUUCAGACCUUCUCUUCGUGGCUUUUAUUUUUUUAUCAACUGGCUAGGGCUUUUGUGGCUCAUUGGGGCAAUUGUAUGGGCUAAGGUGGUUCAUUAAGUAAGUGGGCUAUUUUUAUUAAACAUUGAGCUUUUUGGUUGAGUCACUAGGCUAUUUUGAUUGGGCUAUUGGGCUAUUGUUUCCUCUCUUGUGCUCACCCACAUGUUUGGACCAAAGAAAUGAGCUUGAGUCCUGAGGCUCCCAAGCGACCCGAGACUUUCCAUUUAUCGGUCCAUCAAUGGGCCUCAUGUUGAUUUAUUACCAUCCAUACCACACCCCACUCAAGCAAGCCCCGGGCAUUUGAGUGGCUUGGGCCCACUUAGGCUUGUAGUGUGGUUGGGUGCAAAAUAACGAUUUCGUGCUUGGCAUGUUUUAAUUUUAUCAUCCAUGGGAAAGGCUGCGAUGUUUGAUUUCGGCAUGGGCUUGUAGAGCUGGUAUGCUUUAUUUCAACUCCUAGCAUGACGAAUUAUUUAUUUAGCAUGGCACGUGAAUUACAACUCGCAUGUGGUGGGUUUUUGUGUACUACACCUUACGCCUCUUCUUAAUAGAACAUCGUUUCUGAUAAUUUAUUUGGGCCCAACCGUGAAUUUUUUGGAUCUCAAUAAUAACCAUCAUGAAACAUUACAUUUUGACUGACAUCAAGAAAUGGGGUAUCCCUUUCUUGAUAGUGGCAUCCAUGAUGCCUUCCAAGCCGUCAAUUAAGGGCUAUCGCGAUGCAUUUUAGUUGUCAGCAAAAGGUGUUUUUCUUGUACUAUAUUCACUCAAAAUCGUGUUUCAUUUAAGAUUAGUAGUAUGGUUGAAUACCAUUUGUUUUGUUAAAGAAUAUUAUACAUUAGGGAUUUUUGUAGAAAUGUCAUUUGAACUUAUACCUUAGUUUCAAUUUGUCACCUUGAAGAAAAAUUUAAGAGAAAUAUCACCUUAAUUUUUUAAAAUCCAUGAUUUGUCAUAUGACUUUAAGAUCAUCCAAUUUUCCAUCCAUUUUAAGGGUAUUUUAGACUUUUCAUUUUCAAGGAAAAAAAAGAGAUGAAAAAAGAGACCUCUCUCUUACUUUGUCCCCCAACCCAACCCCACCCGCCCCCAAAAACACAUCACAUAGGAUUGCCUCCCCCUUCCCCACUUUUCUUUUUUCUUUUUGUCAUACUUUUCCACUGUGUUUAUGUUGAAGGAUCUAAAGUUUGCUUGGUCACCAUCUUUUACGUAGGCUUCCUAAUUGUUGGUUUGGGUGGGUUGUGGGAAUUUGUGUGUGGAGGGCAAGGCUCUAUCUGACAGGACCCACCUCGAAUUCCUCGAAACCCGAGACGAAUCUUGUAGAAUUUCCGACAUCACACCGAUGCCGGGUCCACUUCUGAACUAAAUCCUCUUUUCCAAAAUUAAGGAAAAAUAGUACGAGGCUUUCUGCCAAAAUUUCGGCAGUCUUCCCUAUAAAUUUAACGUUUCAGCUUUGGAGGCCGUUCUUUCAUUUCUGCUUUGGUGGCCGGAUGAGAGAACGGCCGGCUAAAACGUGGCCAGCUGGCACUGCCGUCACGAGAGAGAGAGAGAGAGAGAGAGAGAGAGAGAGAGAGAGAGAGAGAGAGAGAGAGAGAGAGAGAGAGAGAGAGAUGUUUAUCAAACCAUUUUUGCCAAAAUUACGAUUAUGCAACUGAGGGUAUUUUGAUCGUAUCUUUUUCGUUAUAACUCCGAUUCAAGCCCACUACAUAUCUACGGACUCAUCUCGCCGUGCUCUAUGCAAUUGUAUAGUUGAAAUUCCCAAAUUCCAUCCCAGUCAAAAAGUCAACUUUAAACCUUAUAAAAUAUUCUAAGGGCAAAAUGGUCUUUUAUCUAAUUAAAUUAAUAAUUGAAAAUUUAUUUAGGACCGGGUCGUUACACUGUCGUUGAUGGACUGUGCGAUGGCACUCACACAAAGUCCUUAAGAAUAAAACACACACACACCAUGAAGAGAGUAAAACAAAUGCACAAAGAUUUAUAAAGGUUUGGCCUCCUGCCUACAUCCUCUUGGUGAUCCACCCGAGAAAUUCACUUGUACGUAAGAACAACUUUGGUUACAACUAAACCCCCUUAGCUUUCAUAAGAACCCUAGAUCUCUUUUCUCCCACCCUUGCUCCAACCCUUUGAUGCCCUUGUAAACACUCAAGAAUUCAUCCUUGAAUUCUAUCAUGUGUUACAUCUUCUCUUCUCCCCUUUGCCAACCUAACCCUACAAGUUAUAUUUAAAAUUCAUUGGACUUUAAGUACAAGUUAACUAGGAAUAGGAAACAUAAAAGACCCCAAAAAUUGGAGAAAAUAUGUCUAGAUCUCAUUAGGAAAUUGCACAACACGUGCGAUCCUCUCGAGCGCCUGCAAAAUCAUCCCUUUGCCGCUCGAGCUGCCGAUAGCUCAUGGGAUGGGGGAAUUAGAAAUUUUUUUUUUUCAAUUUUAAUUGUUUAAAAGAUAUACAAUUUAUUAAUAAUAAUUUUUCCAUUUUUAAAAUACCCUUGAAAAUAGAAAGAUUAAAAUGCCCUUAAAAAUGGAUGGAAAAUUGGAUGGUGUUAAGGUCAGAUGACAAAUCAUGGAUUUUGAAAAAUUAAGGUAACGUUUCUCUUAAAUUUUUCUUUACAGUGACAAAUUGAAAUUGAGGUAUAAGUUCAAGUUACAUUUCUGCAAAAAUUCUUAUACAUUAUGAUAUUCUAACAAUAAUUGGCUAAAAUUGAUAUGUUCCCUCUUUUAUUUUCUUUUUCUCUUUUCCUUUUCAUUUUAUGAUCCAAUCCUUUUCAUAUAUUUUUGUUCAAGACUUUGUUUUAUAAUGCUCUAUUACUAAUUUGGUACAGGUCCCUAAAAUCUCGGAGCCGCCUUAGUACAUUCAUAACGUACAUGUUCAGAGUUCAAGAAUAAUGUAUAGAAUGUGAAAUUGACGAUGCCGGCCUUUAUGAGGCAACAUCUUUAUUUCUUUGGUUAUUCCAGUUUAGAAUAUUUGCACAAAUGAGAUGACUCCAAGCAUAAAGUCACAUUCGACCAAAAAGCAUAAAGUCACACACAAAAAGAACACGGACAAUUGCUAAGUUUAUCCUUGUACCCUUAUUUUAUUGAUCCGACCCAAUUGAAAAAUAAAAAAAGAUGAUAAAAAAUAUUGUUCACUGCUUUAAAAUCUAUGAGUAGAGUCCUCCAUUUGAAAUUUGGUCAUUAUACAAAAUUGGAAUGAAAAAAGAAAAUCCUAAAGCUAUAUUUGAUAUAUUUCAUUUUCAUUUUUUGCUGGGUGUUAGGGCUCGUCAAUGGGCCGGGCCUGGCUAGCCCGGCCCGAAUUUAAUGGGCUUGGGCCAGGCCGGCCCAGGCUUUAAAGAGGAGAGAGAAAAUAUCAGGUCGAGUUUUUUAAGAAAAUUCAAAGCCCAAGCCUGACCCAUGAGCCGGGCUUGAGAAAGCCCAUCGGGCCGGGCCGGGCCUAAACGGGCCCUACUUCAUUCAAAAAAAAUCAUUAACUUAAUCAUAAGGUCAUUUUAGUCCAAAUUUGAGAUUAAACUCACUUAAUUCUAAUAUUUUUACUUCAAACCAAAUUCAUAAAACACCCAAUAAAGUCACACAACUUGUAAGAUUUUCCACAAAAAUAAUAAAACCAAGUAUUAUUUUUGAGGUUAUUACAUAAUUAGAUCGUAAUACGUUUUAAAAAAUAAUUUUUAAAAAUAAUAUUAAUAAGUAUCAAAAAAAUAUUUUUUUAAAGGAUGGUAUGAAUAAAUAUGCAAAUAUUUGGUGAUGUGUUCAAGAAAAGGAUGAUUAUAUUUGGUGGUACGAUUAUGUUUCGUGAUACGAUUAUAUUUAGUGAUGUGAUAUGUUGUUCAUCUUAUAUAUAUAUAUAUAUAUAAUUGUUGAACUAAUAAUUGACACAAAUUAAUGUGUUAAUCAUCCAAUUAUAAACUAGGAGUGAAUAAAGAAAAGUAAAUGAAAUGAAACAAAUUAUAUGUGUGAUUUAAGUGAUAUAAUCCUAAACCUAAACUCUUAUUUAUACAUAAUUAUAUAUGUAUGCGGGCCUAACGGGCCGGACUUUUGUGGGCGUGUCGGGCCGGGCUUUCUUGGGCUUAAUCAGGCUGGACCUAUGGGUCAGGCCGGGCUUCAAACACCCCAACACGAGCCUAGCCUAGCCCGCCUUGGGCCGGGCCAUCUCAAAGCCCAUAACGAGCCGGAUCGGGCUUUUUUCGAUUGGCCGGGCGGGCCCCCUCGACCCAUGAGCCCGCGGGCCAAAUGAUGAGGCCUACUGGGUGUUCAAUUUUUCUUGUUUCUUGUUGAAAAGAAAAAUGAUAAUUAAUAAAAUCUGAUUUGGUGGUUGUGCUCGUCACAAAUCAAUGAAAUGACAGCAGUGAUUUUGCAAGACAGCAUACCUUCUCUUGGGGUGCUUUUCAUUUUGCAACAUUUCUUUACGUGUAAUUUCCAGAGGAGGGUUUAUCAUUGUAUAUAGCUCUUCGGGUGGUUUUUUCUGCAAAACAAAUGUCACAAGGAAGGAGGAGAAACGGAAAAGAUUUACUUGGAAUGUCUCAAGUCUCCUUUGAGAUAAAGGCAUCGAAUGCACAACAUUGUUUUUGUGCUAUUUCAUAAUUAAAGUGUGCUUCCCAAGUCUCCUUUGCGUUUUGUAACUUGUAAUGUUUGUUUUUUUGUUUCCCCUGUUUUGUCUUUUAUAAAAGAAAGAGGAAUGCUAGCAACCUUCUCUCUAAUCUUCUCUUUUGGACCUUCUCCCUUUUCUUUUUGACAAGUGUCAUUUUCCAUACACUUAAAACAAUGACAUUAAUGCAUCACACAAUUUAGUUUUUGUUUUCCAAGUUUACCAUUUUAAAAUGUAUUGGCUUUUAUAUUUCCUUCAAUUAUUCACAUUUUGUUAUAACUUGUUUAGCACAUUAUUUUUUUUAAUUUAAAAAAAGUCAUAUUUUUUAAAAAUAAAAAUAAAGUUUGUUUCAUGACAUUGUUAUCAUUUUUAUUUUGUUUUUAACAAAACACGCAUUCUCUUUGGAAAAAUUAAAAAUUAAAAAACAAUUCAGUUUUUAUUUUCUUAUUUAAUUUUUAACAAGCUAGUAAGAAAGUUAUAAAAAAAAAUUAGCUUGUUAUUAAAAAAAAAUUAAUACAUUUAAUAAGGGUAAAUUUGGAAAACAAAAACUAGUUUGUGUGAUGCAUUAAUGACAUUGUUUUUAGUUUAAGGAAAGUGACACUUGUCAUGAGAAGAAGGGAGAAGGUCCAAAAGAGAAGGUUAGAGAGAAGGUUGUUAGCACUCCCCAUAAAAGAAAUACAGGUCUGAACCACACGGAUCUACUUGCAUAAUAAUGGACCAAAUUUAUGAUUUUUAGAAAGAACCUUCUACUGGUGGAAUCUUGGGCUACUGUUGUGGCUCUCCUCUGUGUGCCUCCUUUUUAGAAUGGUAAAAUAUUCAAAAUACCAGAAAAUGUUCAUGAUUAAUGCAAAUAUUAAGAAUUGAAAUUAUUAAUUAAAUGAAGAUAAUAUGGUAAAUUCACACUUUUUCAUAUUAAAAAAAUUAAAAUUAAAAGAAAUAUCAGAUAAUUACUCUUAUUUUUAUGGAACACAGCUACCCAUUAUCUUUUUUAAUUAUAAAAUAAAUUUAAAUUAUAAAAAAAAAAUCCUCUCACAUGCACGGAAGCGCGUGCUCAGAGGCUAGUUAAAAAUAAUGAACUUUGCUUCUGAUGUCUAUACCAGACCCACUCAACCUGCUUUAUGAUUAUACAAAGAACAAACUCGUCCUUAGACUCAUUUGGUUAAACUUAGAAAAUAAUGAAACAAAAAUAUACACACCCACAAGUAACACAGCCAGGAUUGAAAACAACUGGACAAAGAAAGGCAUGUUAAAACAGAAUUUUCAACAACUCAUCACCAUUAGACAAGAAAAAGAAAAAUCAAUACAGAAACAGAAAGAACAGAGAAUAAAUGUGGUGGAAGAAAAACGUUGAAGCCAUUUGUGAAUCCAACAACACUACCACUCUGUUUCUCUCCUUUUGUUCAGGCGGAUCUGCAUAUAUCCUAAGGCGUAUUACGGAAACAACUUCUUGCCGUUAUACUUGAAUGUUGUGGAUGCUUCAACGUUGCCAUCUGGGUGGAGUGGAUUUGUCCAAUUCACCUUCACUAUGGUUAAUCAACUAGACAGACAUAAGUCAGAAACAAUAGGUAUAUAGGUCCAAAUUGUUGUUAUUUGAAAGGCUUCUAAAUUUUAACAUUUUGAUUUCUAAAUUUUGUUUUAAUAUUUCGGCCCACUUAGUUCUUCUCAAAAUAUGUCAUCAAUAUCGUUGAAAGGUUGAACUUAGUGAAUUAUUAUAGUGCAGUACGGUAAAAUAGGCACAUGAUAUAAUUUGUCCACAUGUUCUAAUAUAAGUGAAUAUUUAUUGAUAUUAUUUUCAAAAAUAAAAAAUAUCAACCAUUACAUCCUCCCAUAUUAUAAUACAUAUACAAAUUAUACCACAUUAUCAUACUCUAAUACCAUUUUAUAAUUUCUCGUACUUAGGAGGUAUAGAGCGAGUCAAUGACAUUACAUAAUAUAUAAUUGUUCAUAUAAUGGGGCAACUAACGUGAUCAACAAGUUGUGGUGAUUAAUUUAACAUAAUAAAAAACAUACCAUUUACUAUGUAACAAUUUGUUCUUUUAAAUUGGAUUGUCAUCACUUUAAUAUGUUAUGUUUCUUAUUCUAGUCUCCCAUGUUAAGUGCUUCAGCAUUGUUUGUGGUGUGUACACAAAUUUUCUUAUAAAAUGUUUUAAUGCUUCUCACAUGUAUAUCAGAUAUAGACAGUUGAUGUGACUUAGAAAUCAAAUUGUCAAUAAAGAAAAAAAAUAUAAUUGGUGAUCGAGGUCCAAUUUAAUAGAAAAUAGUCUUAAUUUGUAUAUUAAAGGUUUCAGAUUCGAAUCCUCACUGCAUUAUUGUUGUAUGCGUACACGAGAAAUUCUAUUUCCCAAUAAUUUAGAUUAUCACUUAUACUAAAAAAAAUAUAUAUAAUAAGUUUUACGAAUGCAAACAUAAAAUUACACCAAACAAUAAUGGAAUAGAAAGAUGGAAGUUUUUUUUUUUUCCUACAUCUAAAGUAUACUUUAUAUAUAUAUUUAUUAUGGGAGUUAUAACCGUUUAAUUUUCAGUUUUUAUUUUCUAUUUAUUGUGUUAAUUUUUAUGGUUUAAUAUGUAUGGAGAUUACAAGUAUUGGAUGUCUAUAAAGGGCCACUCCUCCUUCACAUCUGAAACAAACCACCAUCUCAUUUCUGUAUUUUCAUACUUUCAUAUAUUUUCUACUUUCCAGAUUAUUAUUUUUGGGCAACGGUUUUGUGACUUGGAGAUUUCUAUCCGAUUGUUAACAUGCUCAUAACGGACCUUGAGCUUGCGUAUUGGGGAUCGUAUCUUGGAGCCUUGUAGACCUUUAUUACGUGCAUGUAGGGAGGCUACAAAUGCUUUAGGUCAGCGUCUUUGACGUACUUUUGCUUUCUUUUUUUACUUAUUUCUUCGUUUCUUUAUUUUUACUUUACUUUUAAAUCUUUAUUUUAUGUAUUAUUUAUAUUUAAAAGUUUUGAAUAAGAGUUUUACAGAAAAGGAAAAACACAAUUUCAAAUAACACAAAUUUCUCGUUUUUUGUUCUUAAAAAAGAAGAAGCAUUGAUUGGGGAGUUAUGGUAAACUCAGUUUCAAUGGUUGCGAUGAGAGGCGGUGGCGGCGAGGAGAGGACGAAGGCUUUGCUGCCGACGGGGUGGUGUGGCUGGCUGCUUGGUCCUGGGUUCUCCUUUAAUUCUCUGUUUUCUUUUUUCAUUUUCUUUUUCUCUUAGAGUUAUUGAUGUUAAGUGAAUGGACAGAUGCCAAAAUAGGGACAGAAGAUGUGAACCCAAUUAUAUACAGCUGCUGCUAUAGCUGAUUACAUAAAGUAACAAAUUAAUUAAUGCUUGAGUGGAGGACAGGCUUGAGUGGAAGAAUUGAUUAAGGCUUGAGUGGAAGACAAACUUCAGUGGAGGAAAGUAUAGAUAAGGAAAGCAUGCCUCGUUUAACGGCUUUAUCUAAUAAAGAUUACUUGUUGGCACUUGGAGUUUCUUAGGAAUGCUGGUUUUGUUUCCUUGGUGGACUUGAAAGGUGGUGCCUUGGCUCGGACAUCUCCCAAGACAUACAACUGCUCAUUAGCUGAAUAUCUCGCUCUCUUUAAAGAGAUCGAAGCAAACACAAUUUGCAAUUUGUGUGAUUCAAGCAUGAAUAUCUGAUAUAGUAACUAUACCAUUUGUUGGUUUGAUAAGAAAAGUUUGGUUAGCGAGGAUGAAACCAUAAAGUUCCCAAAACACACAAAGAACACGGACAAUUGCUAAGUUUAUUCUUGAGUUCACACAUAUUUGCACAAAUGAGAUUAUUCCAAGCAUGAUUAUACCAUUUGUUGGUUUGAUGUGAAAAGUAUGGGCAACGAGGGGUAAAACCAUACAAACACACACGAAGAACGUGGACAAUACUAAAUUUAUCUUUACGUUAUUGAUCCGACCUAACUGUAAAAUAAAAAAGAUGAAAAUAUAUAAUGUUCAGUACUUAGAUCUAUGAGCACUUGCACAAAACAUCACUUUUGGUCUUUGGUAAAUUUUUAAAAUAAAUGAAUUUUUUACUUAUUUGUGAACUGAAAUGCCUCUAAAAAAAUAAUGAUAGUUCGAAGAAUUUGAUAGAAAUUAAAAAAUAUCCUCAAAUUACUUGGAAUUGAAGACCACAUAGGCAAAAACACGAAAUUGAAACCUCACUUUAAUGAUAAAAAUGGUAAACUACAAAGACAAAAAUGACGUCUUGCCUUAUAAAUAAUUGGAAUUUGCUGGUGAUAAUAGUCGAUAUCAUCUUUUGUCGGUCCGACCUAAAAAGAAGAAAAAGUUAAAAGCAUCUUGUACCAAUUUUUGCCAAUGUGGGCCCAAACAAUUUGAAGAAGUCCACCGGCAAUUUCUCAAAAGCUAUUGUGUGAGUGUGAAGCUAAACCAAUAUUAUUUUGCAUAUCCGACCCCACAUCCCCAUGUGAUGUGAGGCUACAGAGGUGUUUCCAAAACGAAAUAUGAUAUUUCAAAACGUAGCUAUGUAUAGAGUCAUUUGUAUUUGCUUUCACAAUAACAUUUGAUUUUAUAUUUAUACAUUCUGAUAUUUUAACAAAUAAAUUGACUAAAUUUGGCCAACAGGAUUUAGCCGAAUAGAAAAGUUCUUAUUUAUGGACUAGUAAUUUUAAAUUUAAAAUUUAGACUAUCGCAUGUAUUUAAAAAAAACUAAACAAUUGGCUUAAUUUGAUAUAUUUCCUUUUUUUCCUUUUUGCAUUUUAUGCUGGUUGCCGUUAUUAAGUUUUAUCCUUAUUUUUUGUUGAAAAGAAAAUUGAAAAAAAUAAUAAUAAUUCCUACAGCUAGCAACUUCUCCACCUACAAAAAAUAAUAUUUUUUGUUUUAUCCUCAUGUGAGGCUACAGAAAAUUUUUGAAAACGAAACUGGAUAUUUUAUCUCUAACGACAGCUUUCAUACUUCGUUUACCCUGUGUUUCCAAGUUGUGCUAGCUAUUUGCAAACCUUGGAAUAUUACUUCAUCCAAAUCCCUUGCAGAGAAAAGAAAGAUAUGGCUUUGAUCGGAGAGGCCCUCAUCUCUGCUACCAUCCAGACGUUGUGUGACAAAAUUGCUUCGCCUGAGUUCACCGACUUAUUUCGGCAGAAAAAGCUCGAUGAACAACUCCUCAACAAGCUGAAGACGACGCUGUUGACCUUGUCCGUAGUGCUUAAUGAUGCAGAGGAGAAGCAAAUUGAGGAACCUUUAGUGAGAGACUGGCUUGACAAUCUCAGACAUAAUGUCUUGGCUGCGGAGGACUUACUGGAUGAAAUCGACACUGAAGCUUUGCGAUGCAAACUGGAAGAAGGUGAAGGUCAAACCCACAAUUUAACCAAGAAGGUACGUGAUUUUUAUCAACGCAUGAAUGUUGAGAUGAAAGAUUUAUUAGAAAGAUUAGAACAAUUUGUACAAGAGAAAAGUGCUCUUGGUUUGAGAGAAGGUGCUGGGAGGAAGGUUUCACGAAGAACAACAACUUCCUUGGUUCAUGAACCUUGUGUCUAUGGUAGAGAUGAAGUCAAAGAAAAUCUGUUGCCAAUUUUGUUAUCUGAUGAUGCAAGUAAGGAUGAUGUGUCUGUCCUCACCAUUGUUGGAAUGGGUGGGAUUGGCAAGACAACCCUUGCCCGACUGCUUUAUAAUGACGAUGAGGUGAAAGAACAUUUUCCACUUCACGCUUGGGUUUGUGUUACGGAAGACUAUGAUUCUAAUAGGAUAACUAAAACUCUUCUAGAGUCAGUCACCUCAAAGUCUUCUAAUAUGACAGAUCUAAAUUUACUUCAAGUUGAACUAAAAGAACAACUCAAGGGAAAGAAAUUCUUAUUUGUUUUGGAUGACCUAUGGAAUGAGAAAUAUGGUGAUUGGAAACGCCUCCAAACUCCUUUUACUUCUGGGGCAAGGGGAAGUAAAGUCAUUGUAACAACACGGAGCCAACAUGUAGUAUCUGUCCUGCAAAGUGUUCAUGUUCAUCACUUGGAACCCUUGUCGCACGAAGAUUGCUGGUUCUUACUUGCAAAACAUGCAUUUGGAAAUGAAAAUUGCAGUGAUCCAAACUUGGAAGAAAUUGGCAAGAAAAUUGCACACAAGUUCAAUGGGUUGCCUUUAGCUGCAGAAACACUUGGGGGUUUGUUACGUUGCAAUAUAGAUUCAGAGGAAUGGAAUACAAUACUAAAUAGCAGUAUUUGGGAGCUACCCUAUGAUAAAUGUGACAUUCUUCCGGCUCUUGGGUUGAGUUACCAUUAUCUCUCCUCCCAGUUAAAACGAUGCUUUGUUUAUUGUUCAAUUUUUCCAAAGGAUUAUGAGUUUAAAAAGGAAGAUAUAGUUCAAUUUUGGAUGGCAGAAGGUUUAAUUCCAAAAGCUGAGAAUGGAAAGAGCAUAGAAGCGGUAGCUAGAAAAUACUUUGAUGAGCUGUUGGCACGAUCGCUAUUUCAAAAGUCAAGCAAAUCCGGUUUCACAAUGCAUGAUCUCAUUAAUGACUUGGCCAUGUUCAUGUGUAAGGCAUUUUGCCUUAGGUUGGAAGGGGGGGAAUCACAUGUCGUAGAAAAAGUUCGGCAUUUUUCAUAUGCUAUGGAAAGAUUUGAUGCAGCUCCAAAAUUUGAGCCAUUACAUAGGGCUAAGUUUAUGCGGACCUUUCUACCCAUAUCAUUAAAUUUUGUUUCCACUUCUUAUGUAACUAAAAAGGUUCUACAAGAUUUGUUGCCGUCACUAAGAUGUUUACGGGUGUUAUCAUUGUCACAUUAUCAAAAUGUUACUGUGUUACCUGAUUCUAUUGCAAACCUCAUUCACUUGCGCUACUUGGAUCUUUCCGGUACCGCAAUUGAAAGGUUACCUGGGGUACUUUGCAAUCUCUACAACUUGCAGACAUUACUAUUGUCAAAAUGUUUCUCACUCCUUGAAUUGCCUGCAGACAUUAGAAAAUUGACUAAUUUACAGAAAUUGACAUUGCUCGGUUGUAGUUCUCUUAAUAAAUUGCCUGCAGGCAUGAAGGAGUUGACUAAUUUGCAUCAUCUUGAUGUCAGUGGAACUAAAAUUGAAGAGAUGCCGGUGCAAAUGGGUAGAUUGAAAAGUUUGAGAACAUUGACUGCAUUUGUUGUGGGCAAAUCUACUGGGUUAGGCAUAAGAGAACUGAGGCAGUUCCCGCAACUUCGAGGAAAACUAUCAAUUUUGAAGCUACAAAAUGUAGUUGAUGCGAGGGAUGCACUGCACGCCAAUAUGAAGCACAAGAAAGAUCUCAAGGAGUUAAAGUUUUCAUGGGGUGCGGAGGAUGCUGAUGAUUCCCAAAAGGAGAAAGAUGUACUCGACAAGCUCCAGCCUUGCGUGAAUUUGGAGAAAUUAUCCAUCAAAUUCUAUGGUGGAACCAAUUUUCCGAAUUGGUUAGGAGACUCGUCUUUUUCUAACAUACAAGUCAUGCAUCUCAGUGACUGUAGUUAUUGUUGGUUGCUCCCACCAGUUGGACGGCUACCGGCACUCAAAGAGCUCUGUAUAAAAAGAAUGAAGUCUUUGAGGACGAUUGGCGUUGAAUUCUAUGGCAGAAAUGGAGCUUAUCUGACUCAGCCAUUUCGAUCUCUGGAGAAGCUAGAGUUUAGGGGGAUGCCGGAGUGGGAGGAAUGGGUACCAAGUGGAAGUGCAAGUGGAGGUGAAUAUGGUCCAGACUUUCCUCGUCUCCAAAAGCUGAUUCUAAACGAGUGUCCGAAGCUAAGAGGAAGUUUGCCUUGUGAGUUGCCUUGCUUGAAGAAGCUUACGGUGUAUGGGUGUAAGGUUUUACAUGAUGGAAGGACCGCUACCGCAACUACCAAUAGUGUUAACUAUAAAUCUCUGGAAGAAUUGGAUAUAAGUGGUGGAUGCCAAACUCUGUUAUCAUUAUUAGAGACAAAGCUCCUGUCCCGACUUCGGAUUCGAAAUGUUGUUGACAUACAGUGCUUGCCCAACUGCAAUCGUCUUCAACGUUUGACUCUUUGCCUAACGCUGUCAUCGUUUCCCAAAGAUGGCCUACCCACUACAUUGACAUCACUUUAUAUAAACAAUUGUAGGAAAUUAGAAUUCCUACCUCAUGAGAUGUUGGCCAAAUUAACAUCGCUUGACUAUUUGUGCGUACAAAAUAGCUGUGAUUCAAUGAGGUCCUUCCCGUUGGGCAUUUUUCCCAAAUUGACGACGCUUCAAAUUCGUGGUUGUGAGAAUCUGGAAUCUUUUUCCUUGAUUGAAGAAGAAGGAGCUGUUGACAAUCUCAGCCAUCUCAAUUCCUUGCGUGUCUAUAACUGUCCAAAAAUGGUGUGUUUUCACGAGGGAGAAUUGCCCACUCCCAACCUGAGUCACUUUGUAGUCAUUGGUUGCGAGAAUUUGAAGUCAUUGCCCGAACGCCUUCACACCCUCACUGCCCUUCGAUCUUUGAAUAUAUGGAAUCUUCCGAAUCUGGAGUCAUUUGCAGAAGAUGGGGGUUUGCCUCCCAACCUCCGAUCUUUUAUCAUUAGGAAUUGUAAGAGACUGAGGGCACUUGACUCAGUGGGUUUGCAAGCACUUGUCUACCUUCAGAUCGAUGGAAGUGACCAUGUCUUGGAGACGUUGCUGCUCCCUACCACUCUUCACACUCUCUGCAUCUCUGAUCUAUCAACUCUGAAAUCUUUGGACGGAAAGGGUCUUGGACACCUCACUUCUCUUCAAACUCUAAAAAUUUACAGCUGUCCAAGUCUUCAAUGCCUGCCAGAAGAGGGUUUGCCGCCAUCUCUUUCUCAUCUGAGUAUCCGCUGUUGUCCUACCCUGGAGGAAAGGUAUAAGAAUAAAACGGGACAAGAUUGGGCAAAGAUAUCUCACAUUCCUUGCAUCGAGAUAGGGGAAGAAGUGAUCAUAUAAUAUGAGCUAUUCCAUAUUUCACGCUCAACCCUCAACUCUCAAAUCAAAGUCAGGUGAGGUAUGUGCCUUCUCUUACUUUAAAAAACUGCUUCUCUUCUUCUAAUUGAAUACAAAAACCAAAACACAUAUUCUCUUUCUCUUCCAAAAACCCAAAUACAUGUUGGACAUUGCCCAAAUUUGUCUCCAAAUUCCUAGUUUAAAUCAAAUUUAAUGCCUAUGGAUAGUUUGUUAAUAGGUUCAUGCCAUGAAUUAAUCUUUGGACUUUCCCAGGUACUGCAGGUUUGUUAUUAAUGUUGUGGCCUGAUAUUCGUCGUAUCAAUACGUUGAGGAGAGAGAUCGAUCAGCAAUUACAAAAUUGUUAGUGAAUUUAGCUUGUUUAUCAUCUCUCUCCUUUUGUUUGUUAAGUUUUGUUGUUCUAGGUUAAACCCUUGUCCCCGCAUUUCACAGCAACUCUGUGUUUUUCCACUCUGUUUAGAUUUCACUAGCAGGAGAGCCCGCGCGAUGCUGCGGGUUUUGAAAUUGUGUAGACAAAAUUAGAUUGUUUAUAUAUACAAUGAGAUUUAAUUUAUAACAUUAUGUUUAACUACAGGAGUGUAAGUUGCAAAAAAGUAUAUAAUAACAUAUUUUACAGGCUACUUGUUAUGGUAAAAUACUAUACUUGUUUGUAUAUACAUUGAGAUGUUUAUAGUAGGAAGUAGGCAUCAAAAUAGCAAAAGUUGGAUAGUUUUGUACAGAAUGUUAUUUAAUUGGGCAAGCUUUGUUUUGCACUUGCUUCAUGAUUUUUCUUCUCUUUCAUGGAAGUCUUGAUCCUGUUAUAAAAAAAAGUGAGAAAAUAGUAAAUGUUAAUAUUGAUGAAUGGGGGAAAUUGAGUUAGGACAAUAAUCAUAAACAUUUAAUUAUGUAUAAACAGGAAUAAUAUAAUUUAUUGAUUUAAUAAGAAAGUUAUAAAUAGUUUUUCAAUCUAGGAAAUACAAAGUUACAAAAUUAAGAGAACUAAUGAGCAAGUUGUAGAUGGUUUUCUAAUUGAAGUAAUACAAAGUAAACAUAUUUUAAAUUUUGUGUUUGUCUAAAAGAAAAGUUGAAGAGAGGCAAAAUAAUUAUGGUUGAAUAUAUGGAGAAAAGGAUGUCAAUAUAAUGUUUAGGUUUUUAUGUAUUAGGAAUAUAUGACUUUUUUGCUGUUAUUUAGAGCAAAAAUUAUUUAAGGGCUUGACAUUUCUGUUAAAAAACGGGUAGAAUCUACCCUGAAAAAUGGACAUUUUGCCAAAAAAUUCACCUGUAAACUAAUUAGUACUGAAUACCGAUUGGCGAAGGCAAGACAAUCAUAGUUGUGGAGUACAUAGUUAGAAAGAUGAAUGUGCAAACGUACAUCUAACCCCAUGAUAUACAUCUAACCCCAUGUGAACAUGAUUUAUUCUACAACAAUGAUUAUCAAUUUUCUAAUUGCUCAUUUUCCUAACCCUAAUCAUCACAAACCCAAAAUUAACUCUAAAAAUUUCAAAUAAGCAUGGUUCUAAACCAAUUUCUAACUUACUUAGCGAAGUCUUUUCUAUAAAUGAUAGUUGUUGAAGAAAAAGGGAAACGAAAAUAAGCUUUUAGUGUAUAAGUACAUUGAAGCAAAACAUGAAGAGAAUCCAAUAUAUAACUUCAAUAUAUAACUUUAAUUUUCUAUAAGUGUUGAUCUAAAUUUACAUCCCUUACCACUCUUCAAUUUAAAAAUAGUUUUAGCUACAACAAACAACUUCAGAGAGAAGAUUUGGCCCUGUUUUAUAAGGCAAAACCUCUCUAACCACAUGACAUACAUCUAACUCCAUGUGAACGUGAUUUAUUCUACAACAAUGAUUAUCAAUUUCCUAAUUGCUCAUUUCCCUAACCCUAAUCAUCACAAACCCAAAAUUAAUUCUAAAAAUUUCAAAUAAGCAUGGUACUAAACCAAUUUCCAACUUACUUAGUGAAGUCUUUUAUAUAAAUGAUAGUUGUUAAGGAAAAACGGAAACAAAAAUAAGCUUUUAGUGUAUAUGCACAGCACAGAAAUUGCAUGUAGCUUUCCGAUUUUUAUCCCAACUUCGUUUCUGUGGAAUCACAAAACUACAUACGCACAGCACAGGGAAGGGAAAAAAAAAAAAAGGCACAUUUAAGAGACACCUAUCUUCUCAUUCUACAUCACAUCCUCUUUUCCUAGCUUUCCAACCUUGCAACCAAAGCAAACAUCUUUCCUGAUAAAGGGUAGGAAAGAAAGUGGUUGUGUGAAUUGGGAUGAGAGAGACAGAGACAGAGACAGAGACAGAGAGACAAAGAGAGAGAGAGAAAAGAGAAAUCAAAGUAUAUAUAUAAAUAGUAAGUAUAGUUUAUAUCAUGCAAAGUUUUGAUGGUUUCGUUCAAAAAAAAAACAGGGAAAAAGUUUUGAUGGGUAAUUCUAGUAAUAAUGUUCUUAUAAUUCUAUAUAUAUAUAGAUAUCAAACUGUACUACCAUAUUCUUCCUAUAUAUACACUUGGUCGUCAACUACCUCUCUCUCUCUCUCUCUCUCUCUCUCUCUCUCUCUCUCUCUCUCUCUCUCUCUGUGACCUGCAUUUAUACAGAACCAAUUAUUCCAUCUUCACUAUACAUUUUCCUCAUCUUCCCAUUCAUAUUUUAUGGCUCUCUUGUUCUUCCUCCUAAUUCUUUUGGUCCCUGCAAGCAAUACUAAUUGGCCACCAUCACCUGGCUACUGGCCAAGUUCUAAAUUCAGGUCUAUGAGCUUUUAUAAAGGAUUUAAAACUCUCUGGGGUCCUCAGCAUCAAAGCUUAGACCAACAUGCAUUAACAAUCUGGGUUUAAUGAGGCCAGAAAAUUUUAAGAACUUAUCUACCAAGCAUACCAAACUGACAAAGCAAACCAUAUCUGUAUUUUAUCAUCAAUUUCAUCAAUUUUAUCACCAACAACAGAUAAAAAAAGGGAAUUUUUUCAAAAAAAAAAAAAAGGAAAAAACAUAAAUAAAAAAAGGGGCACAUUUAAGAGAGACCUAUCUUCUCAUUCUACAUCACAUCCUCUUUUCAUUUUGAAGCGGUCAUGUGUUGUGAGUUUCUUGUUUUAUAAAUUUUCAAAACUGUUGUUUAGAACUGCAAAAUUCUUCAUCAUAUAUCUUGCCUUCUAAUAUACAUUCUGUAUCAGGAAACUGGAAUGAGGCUUGCUCUUUGAGGAAGAGAAAUAAAAGAAAAAGUUGUGGCAAAGGUUCACGGAUGUAGUUGGAUUGUAGUGGGACAGAGAACAAAUUUAUUUGUUGCAGGGGAAAAGUCUCAUCCAAAUGCUAUGAAAUCAUGGCAACUUUAAAGUAUUGGACAGCAAUAAUGAAAGAAGAGGGCUAUGUUGGUGACACAGAUUCUUGCUUGCAUGAAUAAGAGGGAGAAAAGCCCCUAUGGUAUUGACUGUUGCCGCCAAGUGCAUAUUGUUAUUACUAUGCGUACUACAUCCCAAGGCCUCUCUCAGCAGGAUUACAAAGUAAACCAGAAUUACUAUCCCAGCAGUAUUCUGCAACUUUGCUCUGCACUUCCUUAUGUAAUCUCUCUCUCUCUCUCUCUCUCUCUCUCUCUCUAUAAAUAUAUAUAUACACACACACACACACACACACAUAUAUCUAGGCAUGCAUAUUUAUGAGUUCCCCAUUGAGGAGGGAUUCCCUUUUGAGGAUUUUAUAAUUAGAAUUAGACUGCCUUCUUAACCAAUAGUUGGGUUUGUGUGGUAAGGUAUGCUGGGUUUGUUGAUGUGGAUAUUUAUGCCUGGAGGUGCUUUGUUUUACUACUUCGUUGAAGUAGAAACAGACACUGACAAAGAAGCCCUUCAUUCUUUGUCUCAAUAGUGAUUGGUUUCUUUGAUCCUAUUCAUCAUAUCUGGUGGUGAGGUUGCCUAAUCAGCCAAAUGUUGGGUUCAACUACCUCUCUCUCUCUCUCUCUCUCUCUCUCUCUCUCUGUCUCUCUCUCUCUUUCUCUCUCUCUCUGUGACCUGCAUUUAUACAGAGCCAAUUAUUCCAUCUUCACUUUACAUUUUCCUCAUCUUCCCAUUCAUAUUUUAUGGCUUUCUUGCUCUUCCUCCUAAUUCUUUUGGUCCCUGCAAGCAAUACUAAUUGGCCACCAUCACCUGGCUACUGGCCAAGUUCUAAAUUGGCCAGAAAAUUUUAAGAACUUAUCUACCAAGCAUACCAAACUGACAAAGCAAACCAUAUCUGUAUUUUAUCAUCAAUUUUAUCGCCAACAACAGAUAAAAAAAGGGAAUUUUUUCAAAAAAAAAAAAAAAAAAGGAAAAAACAUGUUUAGUCUUUGCUUUCCAAUGUUUUAUCCAAAAACCUGAAAAUCAAAGUAACUAAAUAAAUGAACCCAAUCAUUCCUAAUUUCUAUUUUGUCAAAACCUAAUUAAGCUUCACUUCUUUUUUGCUUGUAUUUUAUCAUCAAUUUCAUCUAUUUUAUCACCAAUAGCAGAUAAAAAAAGGAAAUUUUUUCAAUUAAAAAAAAAAAAAACAUACUCAGUCUUUGCUUUCCAAUGUUUUAUCUAAAAACCUAAAAUCAAAGGAAUCAAAUAAAUAGGGUUUAGGGCUCAAGAACCUGAAAUCAAAAGAACCAAAAAAAUGAACACAACUCUACAUAGCACGAAAAAUCUCCCAGCCAACAAUCAAAUUCAUGAAAUAAAUACCAAAAGAUCUGUUAAAAAAUUGAUGAGAUGCAUACCUGAAAACAAAGGAUGCAACAAAGAUGGAAGCCUGAGUCGAAGCAAGAACGAUGGAAGCCUGAGUCGAAGCAAGAAAGAUGGAAGCCUGAGUCGAAGGUUGUAGAAAAGACGAAAUCUCCCGAUCCCAAAUCUGUGACACGAAGACUGAAAGCACGGCUGGAUUUGCAGCUCACCUCCCAAACAAAAAUCGACGGCCUUCAACGCAUCUCCAGCAACGAACACAACUCUUCCAUGGCUGCCCCCCAACCAGCUGGUUGGAAACGAACGGGAGAAAAUGGUUUCUCUCAGCGGACGAAACCAUCUCAACGAAGGGGGAGGGGCAAAAACGGGAACAAAAGAAACUGUUUAGUCAAGGGCAGUUUCGUCAUUUAACUGUGCUGCAGGAAAAAAAACGAAAACAGCAGAAAAAUGAGGGGCAUUUCCGUCAUUACACUGUGCUUAGCUACAGUGUUUAGUUGCAUUGGGUUUUAGUAUAUAUAUAAUUUAUGUUGUGAUUCGACUGCUGCUGUAUUUUAGAUUUAUAGGAACAGACCAAACAUGUUGAUUCUAUCACCAAAAUUAUAAAGUAUACUUCCAUUACAAUUAAUUUGUUGAUUCUAAUUUGGACUUGUAGGAACAGACCAAACAUGUUCAUACGUGGCAUUGCUCAAGUCAUCAUCAUUCGGGACAGAGAAUAAGCCUUCAAAUGUCUGCUGAGUCAAUGAACCUUUCUAGAUAUCUCAAGUGUAAUGGAAAUUGAUGAGUUACAAAGGAUUUGUAAACAUUUUCUACUGGAGGCUAGAAAUGCUUCAAAUAAAUGACUCUGUUGCAAUUAUUUUGUAGGAUCAAAGACUCUGCAAAGAGGUAAGAAAGUCAUCAUCAAGUAACUUCGCUCUUCAUACUUUUUAUUAGGGGUGGGCAUUGGAACCGCAAAACCGCAAAACCGAACCAACCCAAUCCGAAAAAAACCGAAAAAAACCGUGUUGACCGAAAAAGUCAAAAACCGAGACAAAUCCAAACCGAACCGGUUCAGACCGGUUCCGGUUCCGAUUUUCCACCUUAAGGAACCGGUCCAAUCCGAACCGGUCCAAUAUAAUUAAUUUUUAUAUUAUAUUUAUAUUUAUAUUUAAAAUAUCAAAUUUUGUAGGCCCAAACCCAACUAUUUCAUUAUACCAACAAAAAGCCCAAAUCUCCCAAGUCCAUUGCCCAAGUCCAACAAGCCAUAUUUUAAUAUCCUAAUCACAUCAAAUCUCACUUCACUCUCUCUCUCUGACGCACUCUCUCUUUUCCUCUCAGAUUUUUUUUACUCUCUUUUUCUUUCUUUCUUCUCUCUUCCGCCUCUUUUCCUCUAGGUUCUUUAACUUCUUUUUACUUCUUUCUUUCUUCACUCUUCUGCCUCUUUUCCUCAGUUUUUUCUUCUUCUUUCUCUCUUAUUCUUUCUCCUCUCAAUUCGUCUCCAUUUUUUUUCCCUCUCUUUCUCUGAUUUUCUGUUACUCUGAUUUUUUUCUUCUUGGUUUUAUGUUUCUCUCUCUCCCUCUAUAUCUCUUUCUUUGCAACUCUGUUUUUCAAUUUCUCCUUUUUUUUCUCUCUUCAUUUUUUGUUUCUCUGUACAUAUAUGUGUUCAUCUUGUAGAUCUGGGUGAAAUUCUUGUAGAUCUAGGUGAAGUUCUUGGAGAUCUGCGUUAAGUUCUUGUAGAUCUAGGUAAAGAGCCAAUUCAAAGCAGGUCAGCGUCUCUUAUCUCCCCAAUCCCUUGUGAAGAUAUGUAUUUUUUUUGUUGUCAACAAUCCAUUUUGGUGUUUUUAUAUGGUAUUGAUAUUUUCUAUGAUUUUGGGCUGAUUUGAGGUCUGAUUCUUUUUUUUUCUUUCAAUUUUUUCCUGUUGUGUUUUGAUAGACAUGUUCUCUAUUCCUGAUAUCAUUCCUCAGUGGCAAAAUCUUUGAGCGUUGUUGUAAAUUUUAGACGGGAAAGAAGCUCAUUCAUAAUUCAAAAAAAGAAAAUAAAGUUACAACAACUGACAAUUUGUUGCUCUUUGAAAUAGGUACUGAAGUAGCAUGGAUAAAAAGAAAGACUGAAGAUGUUGCAGAAGAUUGAAUAUGUUCUAUUUCUGUAAUUUGUUUGUAAUUAAAUUUGUUUAUUUUGUUUUGUUUUUAGGUUGUAAGUUUUAUUUUAAUGUUUGAUAUUUGUUGUUUUGUCAAAAAAUUGUAUUAAUGCUUGAUGGAUUCAUUCAAUUUGCAGUGCGUGGAUGUGAAUUGGGCCAAUCGGUAAUAAUUAGGCCCAAAAGGUUUUAAAUAUCAAUUGGGCUGAAACUUACAAAAAAAUUUAAGAACAAAAAAAAAAUCAAUUAAGCUGUGUGUCGGCCCAAACCGUAAAAACCGGAACCGAACCGGAUUCAAAUGGGUUCGGGUUGGUCCGGUUUUCUCAAGCAUUUUAGUAAAAAUCCGAACCGGACCGGACCGGUGAACAGUACCGGUUCCGGUUUUAAAUUGAUGCAAAAACCGGUCCAAACCGGACCGUGCCCACCCCUAUUUUUUAUUUUUAUUUUUAAAUAUCAGUAAUAACUGGGAAAGCUUGCAUCUCCUUAAAUUGCUCAUUCUUACAUCUUUUAUAGUUUGUUGAUCUUGGGCAAGUGGAGAGAGAGGCGUCAAGUGAUACGCAACAACCAUUUUCUGUGAGCUGAUUUGAUAAAGAGAAAUGGUAUGCUUUCUUGUCUUAAGCGGUGUGUUCUGCAAUUAUUUGAAACAAAGGAUGCCGCACUUCAAGUUCGAGAAAAUCAGGUAUUUUAGUAUUUUAUUCUUGAGAAAUUUGAUUUAUGUAGAAACUUGAACAUGUAAAUGAGAGAAAAAAAAAUAAAUAUAUAUAUAUAUUAUAUAUUGUAUAUGCUGUUAAUGAGUUAAUAUGGUGCUUGCUCCUAGUUGGAAAUUUAUGUAGUCAUCUACCUAUGAUCAAAUAAAGAUGAAAAAUAAAAUAAAAUUGAGAGCAUCUUCCUCUCCCCUGCUUUGCUCAUCCCUUGUUCUUCCACUUCAGCCCCACUAUUACACCAUUUUUUUCAGCCACAAUUAUAAUAGCUCCAUGAGCAUUAAGUCCCUUUCAAAUUCUGCUGACAUUCAAAAUUGGAAUCUGCUGGUGAUAUAUGAUAGCGUUAACAUAUUGUACCAUUUUGGCCAGUGUACGCAAUAUUAUUGCAUCCAACUUUGCAUAUUAACAUCAGUGGCCACAGUUACACGAUUUGAGUGCACAGAAAGGUUUCAAAAGUUGUCCCACAGAGAACAGUCGUUCAAAGUGAGAGAGUUUUGAAAGCUUAAUUACAAGUUCAUGUUGUUUACAACCUCAAAAAGCUUUCAUACUUGCUUACAAACCUGUAUUUCCAAGUUCUGCAAACCUUGGAAUAUCACUUCAUCCAAAUCCCCUUCCAAAGCAGGAAAAAAUGGCAGCAGCUUUGAUUGGAGAGGCUCUCAUCUCUGCUUCUAUCGAGGUGUUGUGUGACAGAGUUACUUCAGCCGAGUUCAUAGACUUAUUUCAGCAGAAGAAACUUGAUGAAACACUCCUCAUGAACCUGAAGACGACACUGUUGAUUUUGUUUGCGGCGCUCAAUGAUGCAGAGGAGAAGCAAAUUGUGAACCCUGCUGUGAUAGAGUGGCUUAACAGCUCAAGCAUGCUGUCUUUGAUGCAGAGGACUUACUUGAUGAGAUUGACACUGAAGCUUUGCGAUGCAAGCUGGAAGGUGAGGAUCAAACCCACAAUAAUUAACCAACAAGGAUCUUUUUGAUUGUUUGAAAGGAGGGUCUUUGAUGAUUUGAAAGGAGAGGGUUGCUUCAUUUCUGUUGGAUGCUUAAUUAAAUCUUAUCUGGACUUGAACAAGGAUUAGGUUAGCUGUAUAAUUCGUGGUAAACACCUUUUUCUAAGGUUCAUUUAGACUCCUAUUACGAUUAAUUUGUUGUUUCUAAUUUGGACUUGUAGGAACAGACCAAAUAUGUUCACACGUGGCAUCGUUCAAGUCAUCAUCAUUUCAGACAAAAUCAGCCUUCAAGUGUCUGCUGACUCAAUGAACCUUUCUAGAUAUAUCAAGUGCAAUGGAAAUUCAAGAGUUACAUAGAGAUUUGUAAACAUUUUGAAGAUUGCAACACCUGCAAGUGAGAUAGGUGGUGACGAAAUCAGAGCUGAUCUUGAAGCCUCUGAUGCCCCUGUCGUUGCAAGUUGCACCUGAGAACAUGGUUUUUUUUUGGGUAAAAAACCAGCAACAUGUUCGGGGCUGGCAAUUCAAUCCCUGAUGAACUUGAGAAGCAAAGCUCCAGUAAGGAAAUUGGUCGAGGUCACGACAGGGAUAAUUGAUGGUGAAAUGGAUGCUAUUUCUUAUUGCAGCCUGUUCUCAAAGUUCUUGUUGGCAAAAGCAAGAGAUGGAGUAUUUUGAUUGGGAGGAGAGAUAAUGACAUGUGUUGACAAUUCUAGAACAGCCCAUCUGAGUUCUUUUGUCAGGCUGCAUCAUUUAAUCCCAGCAAAAAUCCAGUUUUUGCUAAACAAUCAAAUUGUACACAUUUUUUCUUUUCGAGGAAUUUAACAUUACACAUUUUUUCAUUUUUUCAUCAAACAGUUUUCUAAUGCAUUUGUUGUCCCAAGUUACAAUGAGGAAUUUGGAUUGAGUUUCUUGUGUUAAUAACAUUAUACUUUCAUGGAAUGGUUUAUCUUCUUUUUCUGGACAAAAAUAUUUAGAUUAAUUUCUUGGAAUAAUUUUUUAAUAAUUUUUUAAUUGCAGUAGCGAAAAAAGGAAAAUUGUAUUUUUCAAAACCAAUCUUAAGUCCAGUUUCCUCUUCUUGGUCGUCACACUUGGAAAUUGCUAACCAUAUAUAACUUGGGGUAACAAUCUUAGUCCGAAUGUGUACGAUCUUAGUCCGAUCAAUGGCUACGCGUAUUGGCUCGGCCUUGGGGUCUACCAUUCCAGUGUACAAGCUUCCUGGGUCUUGGGGCAAUUCCUUCAAAUUGUACACAUGUUUUCUUUGAGAAGCAAGGCUCUAGUAAGGAAAUUGGUUAUGUAACAAAUUUUGGUCCCUUUGGAUGGAAUGAUUUACAAUGAGGAAUUUUAUUAUUAUUAUUUUGUUUUUGUUGUUAGUGUAAUGAAAAUGAUCUAGGUUCAUACACUGGGUAUAGCUCUAAUUUGGCCAAUUUCAUUAUUUUAGUUUCUUCAUAUUUUCAAUUAUUAUAAUUUGGUGCGUUGUUUUUUAAAAACAUUCAUGAGAAUCUCCAUUUUUUAGGUGUUUAAGUUAUUCAUCCACAACGGUUUUAUAAUACCGUCAUCUUUUCAAACACAACGAUGAUUUUUUAAUCUAUCGUCGUUGUUUUCUGAUCGUCUUUUUCACUUUUUGUAGUAGUGUCAAUAAGUAAGAUGAAAUAAUACAUUCACAAUCUGUUUAAAUUUUAAAUUAAAAAAAACACAAGAAAAUUUUAAAUAAGUAAGUAAUUUUAAAUAUAUAUUUCCAUUGUUUUGGUUUUCUUUUCAUAUUAGUUUUCUACUAGCUGCUAAUUUCAUUUAAAUUGUUUUUCUUACUUCAUUUAACUUUUAAGCAUGCAGAUGCAAUCAUGACUUCUUCUUUUUUUCAAUAGACUGAUUCUCUUCCCACAUAUAUAAUGCUCUCUAAGUAUUCGUAAUAUGAGUAGGAAUUUAUUUUCAUUUCACAAGAAUUGUCCAUCAAAUUCUGAUAGGUUUGUCGAUAGCACAAGCAUGCACAUAUAGACACUACAAGAACUUUGUUUCUUCAUUUUGUUUCCUAAAGAUUUGUUGGCUUCGUGCAGAUGAAUAACAAGUCUCUCUGUCCUCUAUUUCUUCUUUUUCUUUUUUAACAAUUCAUAUUCUACUUUCUGUUUUCACCCAGUAAAAAUUGAUUUUAGACAUGGGCUUCUAAAUUAUGUGCGGAUAAUGGUUGCAUUUAUAGAAUAUCCAUGGGCUUCUAGUCACCGUGGUUGUUGAUUCAGCAUGUCAUAUUACUCUUGGACUAGCUGUUGACACUACUACAUUUUACACUUUGCGCGACGAAGAACAAAACGUCGCGCAAAGUCGCAUUUAGUCGCCCCAAUUUCAGCGCGACAAAAACGUCGUCGCGCAUAUUCCGUCGCGCGAAGAUCGUGAAGAAAGCCUUUGCACGACGAGGUACAACCCUUCGUCGCGCAAAAGUGUGCGACGGGUAAACCAUCGUUGCACCAACGGUGUGGAGACGAAACAACCCUUCGUCGCAAAAAUAUUUGCGCGACGAUAAAUUAUGCGGCGCACGUAUAUUUGCGAGACGACGGGAAUUGCGCGACAAAACAUUAUUCGUCGCGCAAAAUAUGUAUGGGAGACGUAUAUGUUCGUCGCAGAACAAUUCGCGCGAUGAGAAAGUUUUCGUCGCACAUAUAAUUGCGCGACGAAAAAUUAUGUCGUCGGCCAAAUAUUUUGCGCGACGAAACAUUUCGUCGCGCAAAACGUGUUAUGUGUUCGUCGCGCAUGAAUUAAAAGUGAUAAAAAAAUAUUUGAUUUUUUUUUGUUACAUGUUGGUUUGCGCGACGAAAGAUUUUCCGUCGCGCAAAAAUAAUAUUACAAUUUUUUUUUUAUUUAUAUUUUUUAUUUGAUAUAAAAUUGGUUUCUUUUUAUUGAUUAAACAAUGAAAUUGCAAUAAAAAUAAAUUAGAAUAAAAUUUUGUUAUAAAAUAAAAUAAAAUAAAUGUAUUACAAAUAAAAUAAAUACACUAAUCAAAUAAUGAAUCAAAAUCAACCGAGUCGUCGCCAGUAUGCGGCUCGGAGGGCGGGGCGUUCACCGGGGCAGUGGUCUGGUGGGGAUGCCCGGGAUGGACGGGCUCAGAGGUCGGCGCAUCAAAAUGCGGGACUGGAAUGCCGGACUGUGCGAGGGACUGCAGAAUGACCGACAUCUGGCUCUGAAGAGUGGCCACCUGUGCUGUCAAAGCAGUGACCUGACUGUUUGACUGCGCCGAUGAACGAGGUCGAGGUUCCCUCCGCCGGGCAUUCCCCAUCCCUCGACAAUAUGUCCCCGGCCUCCUCCCGAGAGUCUGAUCCAACGUCUCCGUCAAUAUCUGAAAUCCAGCAUCCUGUGGAGGAGCCACAGACUCGAUCGGAGUCUCGGGAGGAAGCUGGGAGGCGGACUCCUGAAGAACAAGCUGGCUCCUCUCCACCAUCGUCGUCUGUUGAACAUAACAUAAAAUAUAAAUUAAAACAUGCAUAUAAAUUGAAUGCGUAACAUAAGAAUUAAAAUUAAAUAAUACUUACAUGAAGGGACUCGGCCAACUCAUUCCCGGGUCGAACAUAAACGUCACCAAAGACGUCGAUCUCUGGGAACUUGGACCCCUCCUAAAUUGAACAAGAGAAGAAAAAUAUUAGUAUGAAAAAAAUAAAUUAAUAAAAAUGACAUUAAAAAUGAAAUAAAAAUUUUGUGAUUAUUACCCGACGCCGUGCAUCCAUCCUAUAAGAAAAGGGUCUGGAGCCGGAAUGGUGGAGAAGGGUCUUCUUCUUCCUAUUACCCUUAUUCACUUGGGCUUUAUUCUGUUAUACAAAAAAUGAAACGUAUUAGUUAAAAUAUAAAAAAUUAAAUAAUAAUGAAAUAAAAAAAUAAAAUAAACAUUAAUAAGUAAUAAGUAAUAAUUAAACAAAUAUAAUUAAAAAAAUACCGCAAAUUCGGGCGCUUGAAAAUGAGCGCAGAGCCACUCCCAACUAUCCUCCCGCCCCUCAAGCUCCUUCGGGCAACCCUCCUGAAGAGCGACUUGCGGAUCAUCAUAGGCCUGAAAAUGGUGGUGCAAGUCGCUCUUCCACUGCUUGUACCUCUCAGCGAAGAGUCGGUUGACGUACGUCAACGACUCUUCGUCGAGAUCCUCCAAGUUAUAGUUCGUCUGCAAUCAAUUAAUUAGAUACGUUAAGUAAUAGAAAUAUACACAAUUUUAAAGAAAAAUAAUGAAAAUGUAAGGUACAUACCGACAACUGGCCGUGAAUCUCCGCCUGGAUCUCGUCAGGCAUGACCCUCCAAGACUUCCAUUGCAUCGGGCAAUGGGUCCGCACGACGUGGCCAAUGUCGUGGGCCAAGGAGCUAUGCAACUUCGCCGUCGGUGCAGCACGAUGGCGCUCGUCGUAUCCGAUGCUGAUACGACUGUUGGUCACCCGGGUGACCUUCGCCGUCUUCAGCUGACGACACGGUCCUCGGGUGUUCCUCUUCGCUGCAAAGAAAUAAGGUAUUAAUGUUAAAUAAAAAAACAUUGUCAAAUUUCAAUAUAAAAUUAACAAUACAAAAGUGUAGUUAUACCUGGCUGUGAUCCCGAGGCACCAGUACCGUCGGUCGAUGUCGUGUCGAUGGUGUCGGUGGGCCGGUGCCGCCGCCUAGCACUAGCUGGUUGCGCCACGGAUGACGCAGAUGACACAGGCGCCUGGGGCGCCCCGGGACCAACCACCACGUGGUCCAACAAAGCAGGAGCAGUGGCAGCAGAUGCCGACUGAGCCAGGGGAUCCGAACUCGGUGCAGUCGUCAUCGACCUACCACGUCUAAUCAAGUCUGACAUCUGCACAUAUAAUUUCAUUCAGAAUGUAAACUAAUUAAUUAAAAGCAUAGCCUGACCUAGGGUUUGGAAUUUCGGAGUAUCCGGGACUCCGAUCAACGAUCGGUCGAAUCCUAAACGAUCCUAGAAACACAAAGGUACAACUACGCGAGUUUCAGUUCGAUCCAACGGUCCGAACAUAUCAAACCUGGAAAUCGCACAAUAGGCGAAAUUCGAUCAAGACUCAAACGGUAACCAAAUUCAAAUCCGAGCAAACCUACGCGCUCGUGACAAACAGGGGAUCGCUCUGGGACACAAUGCCCCACUGCCACAGCAUCCCACGCGCCGGCAGCGCGUGGGUGUCCAAAGCGAUAACAUUCGCCGGAAAAUUCUAAAAACUAACGGCCAAGGUUCCUACCCUAGGUUGAAAACAAUAUUUGGCGCCACUUUUGUUCUCGGACCUACCCCGAAAAAUGGCCGGAAGUGGCCGGAUUUGAAAUUGCCAAACCGGCCAAAACCUAGGGUUUUAAUUCCUAUUUCCUAUACCCAUCAGCUAGAGCACAAAAAAUAGUCGAGAAAUCAUACCUCAGGCGUCGGAAAUGGUGGCCGGAGGAGAGAGAAAACGGCCGGCGAGGAAUCGGUGAAAAACCGACGAUGUGCGACGGCAGGCUCGACGGCGAAGGCAGGGGAGGCUAUGGCAGGAGCGGCGGUGGCUGAGGUGACGGCGGAGAGAGAGGGCUGAGGUGACGGCGGAGAGAGAGGCAAACGGAGGAAAAAACCAGAAAUGGGGAAGAAGGAGGCAUCGCGACGUUUCUGCAAAUUUUUACGACUUUGCGCGACGAAUCACAUCAUUCGUCGCGCAAAAUGCUAUUAAUGAAUCUUGCGCGACGCUAUAUCCGUCGCGCAAGAUCUGUCAGAACGCCAAAUUCUGAAAGUGGAUUAGGGUCUGUAAGUUUUGCGCGACGAAAUAGACAUACUUCGUCGCGCAAAAGGCUGUCUUUCCGCCAAAAUUUUGGGAUUUAGGGUUUAGCGGGAGGCUGAAACUGAAGGGUUUGCGCUUUUGCGCGACGAAGACGGUAAACGUCGCGCAAUGGUAACCUUGCGCGACGGAACGUAUUAUAUUCGUCGCGCAAAAGGCUAUCUUUCCGCCCAAAUUUUGGGAUUCAGGGUUUAGCGGGAGGCUGAAGGGUUUGCGCUUUUGCGCGACGAAGACACUAAACGUCGCACAAAAGGCUGUCUGCUGAAAUGAAUGGUUUCUGCUUUUGCGCGACGAAGACAAUAAACGUCGCGCAAAACGUUGUCGUUCCGCCAACAAUUUGGGGUUUAGGGUUUAGUGUGAAAACUGGCGCCCAGAUUGCGCGACGAAGAGUACAUAUUUCCUUCGCGCAAUCUAUUUCACUUUCACUUUGCGCGACGGAUAUGUUGGUUCGUCGCGCAAUCUUCAAGAUUUUCAUUGAAAUUUUCACUAAGUGUUCAAAGGGGAUGGAGGUGUGAAAACUGGCGCCCAGAUUGCGCGACGAAGAGUACAUAUUUCCGUCGCACAAUCUAAUUCACUUUCACUUUGCGCGACGGUUAAAUUGUUCGUCGCGCAAAAUGUAGACCCUAAACCCCCUUGUAAACCCUAAACCCUGAACCCUAAGCCAUAAACCCUAAACCCUAAAAUAGUUUCAAUGAUCCAACCGGCAAACUUAUUGUUUGAAACUUGGAGAUCAUAUACGCCAAAAAUCAAGAAGACCAAACAUUCAGAUAUCAGGGAACGGGACUAAAUAUUUCGACGGUUAUAAAUGAAAAGUCAUGAUUUAACGGUUAUUGUAACUCCGAUUUUGAUCAAUUUUGACAGCAGCAUUUGUUGACCCUAUAUGAAUACAAUGACUGAAUUUGAUCUUCAAUUUCAGAUUUUUACACUAGGGGAUACCACAUAAACGUGAAGUUACAUUUGCACAAAUGUAUAAACAAAUUUUAGGGUUUUUGGUGAAUAUAUGAUUUUGAUAGCACAUGCAGUCUACGAAACAAGUUUCAGUCAUCCAGCCGUCAAACUUGUUUUUUUAGACUUCGAGAUCAUAGACAGCAAAAAUCGGACAAAAAAAACAUUCAGAGAUUAAGCAACGGGGUAAAACUUUUCGACGGUUCUAAAUAAAAAGUGAUGAUUGAACGGUUAAUUUAACUCCGAUGUUGAUGAUUUUUUGCAGCUACAGUCCUACACUCCAUAUGAAUACAAUGAACUACUUCGAUCGCCAAUUUUAAAUAUAUAUGUGUGUAUAUAUUAUACUAUAACGUUACCUAAUAUAUAUUUGCGCGACGAAAGUUUGCUUAUCGUCGCGCAAAAAUGCCAUACGCGACGCAUGUAUAUAUGCGUCGCGGAAACUAUGCGCGACCAGUUGUAUUCGUUGCGCAAACAUUACGCGACGCUUAUGUAUGCGUCGCGUAUGGUAUGUUUGCGCGACGAUAUGGAGCCCUUCGUCGCGCAUGGAUUUGGCGCCAUAAAUCCUCAUUGAUUUCAAAUUGUGUAUGCUUUGUAUUUUUUAGAAAGGUUUUGUAUUCAUCAUUUUUUAUGCUUUGUAUUUUGUGGAAAGGCUUUGAAAUAUUCAUUUCUUUUGUUAUUUUUAUUGAAGCUUUAACUUGUUCUGUUCCGCAGAAAAUUCCAAUGAAGUUUGUGAUGAAAUAUGGAGAAUGAAUACACAACUACAUAUGGACAACUACACAUAUUCAAAGAUUUGUAUUACACAAAAUUAAUACACUAACAUAAUAAAUUUACAAAUAAAUUCAUUAUUCAUCAUCUGAACUAUAAUAACUUUCGUUAUCGUCGCUAGCUUUAACUUGUUCUGUUCCGCAGAAAAUUCCAAUGAAGUUUGUGAUGAAAUCUGGAGAAUGAAUACACAACUACAUAUAGACAACUACACAUAUUCAAAGAUUUGUAUUACACAAAAUUAAUACACUACAUAAUAAAUUACAAAUAAAUUCAUUAUUCAUCAUCUGAACUAUAAUAACUUUCGUAUCGUCGCUAUCAUCACUCUCGGUCUCCCAAUCUUCUUCCUCCUCCUCCUCUAUAACUGCAUCAUCGGCGUUGCUAGGGCCCACUGCAACAUCGUAUCGGGGAAGAUCACCGAGGUCAAUUGUAAUUGACUGAAUCGGUAUUUCGACUGAAGACACUCCUUCUAUUUGAAACGGUUCUUGUAUAACAUUUGUAUCUCGAAGUGUUUCCGCAUCAUUUUCCAUUGAAGAUUCUAAACGAUGGUCAGCCACAUUGUCGACGUCGUUGUCACUUGGGUCUAGUUCUGGUAUAUUAUACACGUUCCUAUGAUCCAUCUUCUGCACAACUUUCCACCCGUUCCCGGCUUUAGGGUCAUCUAGAUACACAAUUUGGGACGCCAUGUUUGCCAAAAUGUACGGGUCGUCAUCAUACCAAGUUCUGUUAAUAUUCACAGACAGUACUCCAUGGUCGAUUUUAACACUUCCCGCCCUAUUUGGGUUGGUAUCGAACCAUCGACACUUAAACAUGAUGACUUGGUAUCGAUCUUUGUAAAGCAAUUGCACGACAGUUGUCAGUUUGCCAUAGAAAUCAAUGUCUGUACUUUCGCCUCCACCUGGGACAUGAACACCGCUAUUUUGCGUACACAACUUGUCAUCUCGUGCGGCCCCUAAAAAUUUGACGCCGUUAACAUUACAACCCGAGAACAAUUCAGCGCGAAUUGGGCCGAACGCCAAGUUAUAUAACUCAUCACUGUAAGUGGGGGAAUUCGAUGAUUUCAAUUUAUUCACCUAAUAGUAUACAAAACCAUUUACAUGUUAGUCUGACAAAAUUAAAUACUAAAAUUUAUAUUUGUCAAUUACAAAACACUUAUAACUUACAGAAUCCAAAAACCAUUGUGGAAAUAAUUCACGGUGUUUCCGGGCAACCAAAUGUGAUGGAUGUUCUCGCUUCAUCAUCUGUUCAUGCUCAUCUAAGUAGGCCAUUAUCUCAUCACAAUUGUUCAGUACGAACCAAUGCGCUACCUCCAUGUCAUUUCUAGAAAACGACUCUCCUCGUCCAGGAUCUCCAAAUGGUCGUGCGCUUUGGGCAAAAACAGAAAGUUUUUCAUUUCUCAUACCUCCGUCAUUAUUGCGGUGAGGACGAUUGAAAACCGUCUCCACAUCUUUUAAAUACAUUCCACAGAAAGUAAGCGACUCAUAUUGAACCCAAGCCUCUAUAAUUGAUCCUUCGGGCUUUGCCCUGUUGCGUACACUUUUUUUCAGCUCUCCGAGAAGCCUGCCAAAAUAAAACGAUAUGAUACAAAUUAGCAAAGUGUCGAUAAUGAUGCAUACACAAAUGAUAAAGAUUAUAUACCUUUCUAUUGGAUACAUCCAGCGAUAGUUGACAGGACCAGCAAGCAAUGCCUCUUCUGGCAAGUGAACCAUCACGUGCAUCAUACUUAUAAAGAAAGCUGGAGGAAAUAUCAUCUCAAACUUGCAUAGGACUUGGACAAUGUCAUGGCGCAACUGAAACAUGUCUGUCCUUCGCAAUGUUUUUGCCGUCAGUUGGGAAAAAAAUCUGGAUAACAACAUGAUUGGCUUCACCACAUCUUCCGGCAGUAAGUGUCGAAUACCCACAGGAAGUAGGCGUUGCAUGAACACAUGGCAGUCAUGGCUCUUAAGUCCAGUAAAUUUACCCCCAUCGACAUUCACGCAACGUGCGAUAUUAGAAGCAUACCCAUCGGGAAAUUUGACAGACGAUACAAACUUUAGAAACUCCUUUUUGUCAUUCGGUUUCAUAGAAAAGAAUGCAAGAUCCCUUCUAGCUUUAUCACUGUCCCUAUUCAUCCAUAAACCCCUUCGUAUGCCCAUUCUUUCCAAAUCAAGACGAGCUUUGAUCGUGUCCUUCGUCUUCCCCUCGAUAUCUAGAAUCGUGCCCACCAAUGUGUCGAAAACAUUUUUCUCAACAUGCAUCACAUCUAGAUUGUGCCUCAAUUUCAGUUUCGACCAAUAUGGGCGCUCAAAAAACAUAGACUUGUGCGUCCAGUUCAAAUGUGUAGAAGGUCGGGUCCGACUAACUGUUUUCCCGAACGGAGCAAAAUCCAAACGGUUCAGCUGUUCCAAGAUCUCAUCACCGGACCAUUCUCUAGGUCUGAGGCGACGCUCUGUGUUCCCGUCGAACUCUUUAUCUUUUUCUCGCCACUCGUGGUCCCAUGGCAACCAUCUCCGAUGACCAAGGUAACAAACUUUUCCCGCGUGCCAACCAGAAGUUACAUCUUCCUUGCAUACAGGACAUGCCAUAUAACCCUUUGUGCUCCACCCAGAAACCAUUGCAUAUGCUGGAAAAUCAUUCACAGUCCACAUAACUGCUGCUCGCAAAGUGAACAUCCUCCCAGUUGAUUUAUCGUACGUGCGAACACCGUUUGUCCAUAAAUCCUUCAGCUCAUCAACCAGAGGCCUUAAGUACACAUCAAUUGACCUGCCAGGAUCCUCAGUUAUCAAAACAGUCAUCAUCAUGUAUUCUUUUUUCAUGCAUUUCCAAGGCGGCAAAUUAUAUGGGAAUGCGAAAAUCGGCCAAGUGCUGUGGUGUUGGUUUAGAACCCCAUACGGAUUGAAUCCGUCAGUGGCAAGUCCCAAUCUAACAUUUCGGGGAUCAGCAGCAAAUUCGGGGAACGUUCGAUCGAACUCUUUCCAUGCCUCCCCAUCUGCAGGAUGCCGCAUCACAUCAUCGUCUACCCGUUUUUCCUUAUGCCAUCUCAUGUCUGUGGCAGUAUGCGUUGACAUAUACAAUCGCUGCAACCUAGGUUUAAGGGGCAGAUAACGCAUGACUUUUUGUGGUAUCUUAGUCGUUCUAUUCUGGGAUGUCAGUUUGAACCUCGACUCAUUGCAUAUAGGGCAUGUAUCCAACGUUUCAUGCUCUUUGUAGAAUAACAUGCAAUUGUUUUUGCAAGCGUGGAUUUUUUCAUAACCCAAUCCAAGACCGUGCAACACCUUCUGUGCAUGUUUAUGGUCUUUCGGCAAACAAUUGUCCGUCGGAAGCAUUCUCUUGAAAACCCCCAAAAAGUAAUCAAAACACAAGUUCGACAUACGAUACUUUAUUUUUCCGUGCAUUAGCUCCACAAUGGCAGUGAGAACGGAAAACCUCUCGCACCCCGGGUAUAACUCUUGGUUGGCAUUUUUUAACAGUUUUUCAUACUGUUCAAACUCCGCACUGUCUAUUGGUGUAGGCACGUCAUCUUCCCCUUCCUGAUUGAUGUUGGUCGAUGCGAAUGGAAAAGCAUCCUGUAUAAUACCCAUGACUUGAUCAUUAGGAUCCACAAUAGGUUCAACAUUGUCCACUCUCGGGGCAUUUGAAGACGAAGCAUGGUCUACUUGUUCGCCGUGAAGGUUCCAAAUGCUAUAUGUUUCAAUCAUUCCAUUCCUUACUAAAUGAAAUCCAACAUUUUCAAUUGUCUCCCACAACGUGUUGUUACACCUCCUACAAGGACAACGGAUUCUAGUUGCACCCGGGUUGUGUCUACGUGCAAACUCAAUAAAAUCCUCGAUUCCAUCCAAGUAUUCGUCUGCGCAUCUAUUCGGGUUCUGUAUCCACCUUCUGCUCAUAAUUCCUGAAACCACAAUCACGACACAACAAUCACAACAACUUCAUACGAAGUUAUAAUGUCACCUUAUGCCUCCGGUAAGGGCCCUAUCCCAUUCGGGAAUGCAUAGUCCUGUCACGUAACCUACGGCUACAUGAGAUUAGAUUUCGACGUGGAUUAAUUUCAGCAGCAUCUCGACACAGUUCUUGAAGUGGGCAUAGGUAUAAAUACCUACGUACCACCCGAAGAACGUACCGAGAUGACACCGAAAUCUCCACAAUCGAAACCUAAUCCUGUAGCCGAAGAUUAUGUGACAACACUAUGCAUUACCAAACUGUCCAAAUAAUGGGACAAUUCAAGAAUUAAUUGGACCGCAGUCAUGCAUUACGCAUCCAUGCACGAAAUUCAACUAAUCUCGAACGGGAAACUACGUGUUACUAAACAUAAAAAUAAAAGUACGAAGUUAAUUUCAAUUAACUUCGUACAUCACAACACAUUGUGCUAUGUCACGCACAAUUUCACAACAUUAUACACAUAUAACUUCACAAAAAAAUUACAAACAUAACAAACAAACUUUUACAAUAACAUACCUUCUCAAUCGUUCUCCACCAAUCACAAAUAUCCCUAACGAUAACAAAAUUAAUAGCGUUACUACGAAUUUACAUUAAUACAUUUAAACUAACGACAAAAAAUACAUACCCAAUGAACGUACUGAAUUCACAGUAGAGCAACGGCAGAGAGAGUGAGAGAGAGGUAGAAUGCAGUGGGAGAGUGAGAGAGAGGCAGAAUGCAGAAACUGCAUUCUGCCUCUGCAAUGGAACUGGCUAAAAUGAAGAAGAAGGACUUUGCGCGACUAACAAUCCAAUCCGUCGCGCAAAAUGCCGUCGCGAAAACCCACUUUUCCGUCGCACAAAAAAACAUUUCCGUCGCGCAAUUACCUGCCGACAUCAGGUUUUUUGCGCGACGAAUACAAUUAUCCGUCGCACAAACAUCCGUCGCGCAAAUAACAUUAUUCGUCGCGCAAGGUUUAUAUUACGUCGCGCAAAUAACACUUAUUUCGUCGCGCAAGAAAUUACACUUUACGCGACGAAGGUAAUUCCGUCGCGCAAAAAAGUUUUUUCCACCCUGCAUUUUGCCGCCAAAAUUAAGUAACCCUCGUUUUCUUACGCGACGGUACAUAUUUCCGUCGCGCUAAGGCGUCUUUUGCGACGAAAAUGUUCGUCGCGCAAGAUUCUGGCGCCAAAAACAUAAACUGGGGAUUUUUCCCCGACCUUUGCUCGACGAAAUUAGUUUUGGUCGCGCAUAGAUUGUUUGCGCAACGAAGAUUGUUCGUCGCGCUAGUGUUCUGCUGUUUGCGCUACGGUAUUUUUUUUUCGUCGCAAUAGUGAUUUUUGCGCGACGAAAAUAUAUUCGUCGCGCAAACGUCCGUCGCGCAAAUAGUAAAUCGUAGUAGUGUGAUUUGGUUUAGACUUGGUUUAAUUAUCAUUGUUGUGGUUGGUUCACCAAAAAGAUUUGGCUUAGAAUUACCAGUUUUGUUGUUGGUUUAGUUAUGCUUGGCAUUUGAGGAUCCUAUGCUUACUUGUAUGGGUAAUACAUUUUAUUGAUCGUUUCAUAUACUAAUUAUGAACUUUUAGUUCCAUUGUGCAUUUAAGAGUACACAUAUUUCAUAUGUAAUUCGAAAGUUUGUCGCUGAAAUUUCUGAGAAUUUGAAACUAGAUAAGCACACCUUGCACAAAGUUCAUAUAUUUUCUUCCAGCAAGUCUGUCUAUUAACCCCCCUUAUCUGAAAUUAAUUGUUAAAAGUUCUGAUUCAUCUUUAAUCAUUGUCUUACCCUUGUUGAAUAACACUCCUCAUUCUAAUUUAUAUUCGAAGUUUGAGGUUUCAAUUUCAAUUGUGGGCUUUGAUUUUACAGAUUUUGUUUGUCAAUUUCAAUUUGGACAAAGCAUAUGCAAACAAAGUAAGGCAUUAUCUAUUAUUUGGAUCAUUUCCAUAUGUUUAUAUGUUUUUAAUAUCAUUUGCCUAUGUAGUUGACAUGUUAUAACAUUUUCGUAGUGUUGAAUAUAUAUAUAUAAUAAUUUUAUUUUAGUGGAUGUGAGAUCUCAGUUUGUUGCUUUAUAUAAUUAUUUCUUUGCAAUUUAAUUUUUUUUAUCAGUCAUACUAUUGUUGACGGCUAAAAACCAUCAAGAAACAACUCUUAAGUUUUUUAAAAAAUAAAUAAAUAAAUAAAGAUUUGUUGAUGCUUAAAAAGCAUCAAGAAAAGAUAGUUUCUUGACGGUUUUGUGACGUUUCAUAACCGUCAUGAAACAUUACAUUUUGACGAACGUCUUUCUGAUAGUGGCAUCCGUGACGCUUUCCGAGCCAUCAAUUAAGGGCUAUCGUGAUGCUUUUUAGUUGUCAGCAAAAGGUGUUUUUCUUGUACUGUAUUCACUCAAAAUCGUUUUUCAUUUAGGGUUGCUAGUGUGGUUGAAUGCCAUUUGUUUUGUUAAUGAAUAUUAUACAUUAUGGAUUUUUGUAGAAAUGUCGCUUGAAAUUAUACCUCAGUUUCAAUUUGUCACCUUAAAGAAAAAUUUAAGAGAAAUGUCACCUUAAUUUUUCAAAAUCCACGAUUUGUCAUCUCACUUUAACAUCAUCCAAUUUUCCAUCUAUUUUAAGGGUAUUUUAGUCUUUUCAUUUUCAAGGGAAAAAAAGAGAGGAAGAAAAAGACCUCUCUCUUACUUUCUCCCCCAACCCAACCCCACCCGCCCCCCAAAACACAUCGCAUAGGACCGCCUCCCCCUUCCCCACAUUUCUUUUUUCUUUUUGGCCUACUUUUCCACUAUGUUUAUGUUGAAGGAUCUAAAGUUUUCUUGGUCACCAUCUAUUACGUAGGCUACCGACUUGUUGGUUUGGGUGGGUUGAGGGAAUUUGUGUGUGGAGGGCAGGUGUUCAUGUUGUGUGCACCAAGACCUUAUCGUUGAUGAACUAUGUGACGGCACACACACAAACUCGUUGAGAAUAAAACAAACAUACCACCAAGAGAGUAAAACAAACACACAAGGACACAAAGAUUUAUAGAGGUUCGGCCUCCUGCCUACGUCUUUUUGGUGAUUCACUCGAGAAAUUCACUAGUAUGUAAAAAUAACUUUGGUUACAACUGAACCCCCUUAGCCCUCACAAGAACCUUAGAUCUCUUUUCUCUCACCCUUGCUCAAACCCUUUGAUGCCCUUGUAGACACUCAAGAAUUCACCCUUGAAUUCUAUCUUGUGUUACAUCUUCUCUUCUCCCUUUUGUUAACCUAACCCUAAAAGUCCUAUUUAUAAUGCAUAGGACUUAAGUUACAAGUUAACUUGGAAUAGGAAACAUAAAAUACCCCAAAAAUUGGAGAAAAUCUGUCCAAAUCUAGCCUGCAAAAUCAUCCUUCUGCCGCUCGAGCUGCCGGUGGCGCUCAUGGGAUGGGGGAAUUGGAGAUUUUCUUUUCAAUUUUAAUUGUUUAAAAGAUAUACAAUUUUUUAUUAUAAUAAUUUUUCCAUUUUUAAAAUACACUUGAAAAUAGAAAGCUUAAAAUGCCCUUAAAAAUAGAUGGAAAAUUGGAUGGUGUUAAAGUCAGAUGACAAAUCAUGGAUUUUGAAAAAUUAAGGUGACAUUUCUCUGAAAUUUUUCUUUUAAAAGUGACAAAUUGAAACUGAGGUAUAAGUUCAGGCGACAUUUCUACAAAAAUCCCUAUACAUUACAAUAUUAUAACAAUAAAAUUGGCUAAAAUUGAUAUGUUCCCUCUUUUCUUUUCUUUUUCUCUUUUCCUUUUCAUUUUAUGCUUUGUUGCUAUUGCUAUGUUUAUCCUACAAAUAUAGCAACUUCUCCACCAUUCAUUUGUUAGUGACUACGAUGCUUAGUAACUUCUUCAGCUCCCCUUAUUUCCAUGUACUAACCAGGGACACCAGGUCAGCAUCUUCGGUAAGAAUCCUAACUCAAUCAAACAAUGACAUCUGUAAAUAUUCAAAAUUGGAAUUUGCAUUGUGAUAGUUGAAAGCAUCCUUGUCCCAAAAAAAGCCAAAAAAUAAAAUAAAAUUGAGAGCAUUAAGUCCUUUUCAAAUUAUGCUAAUAUGCAAAAUUGGAAUUUUGAUGGAGUUGCUUCCUUGACUUUUCCACCUUUGUAUCCAGUCCACUUUGCACAAGGAGCCAAGUUUGAGAGAUAGUUUUCUGUAUUUACACCAUCCAGGAGAAAAUUAAAAAACUAUUUCAUGCCAAACUAACUACGGAUUCUUGCAAAGGACCCAUUAGUGUAGUGGUUUGGAGUAUUUACUCCCUCAGGCAAGGUCUUGGGUUCGAGUCCUAGCAUUCAUGUUGUGUGUGUGAGUUUAAUAUGCUAUCACCCCUUCCAAUAGGAAAGGACCUCAAAAAAAAAAAAAAAACUACAGAUUCUUUAAUUGAAAGAAACCCCAUAUUAAUCAUCCUUUGGCACAUAAAUGUUUGGUAAUUGGCAUUAAAGUAUCUAAAGGUUACGAAAUUAAAGAUUUUAAUGCAAACCUAAAAUUGGAAAAGAGGGCACCAAUUCAUGUAAAAUAUGGUGUACUUAGUAGAUCCAACAUAUUUUUUUAGCAACCAAGGACAAUCAUCAUUUUUUUUUUUAAGAACCAAGGAUAGCUUACAUUCUAGUUUGUCCAUCAUGUCAACACAUUUAUAAUUAAAACUUCUUUUUUGGUGAGGUUUCAAUUUUUGUCACUGUAACAAGACCACAAUUGCCAUUCAGUAUGCUAACAUUGUCACUAUGUUUGCCAAUUGCAUAUUAUCUAGAACAUAAAGGCUUUGGUGUUUUGUAUAUCCUCGGGGUGCCAAACCUGUCUUUAUAAAAAUGGUCCUUAUGAUACUACUUUAACAACAAAAAAAUAUAAUAAACUAGGCCUUUGUAGUCACUGAACGAAUGUUUUCUCAUAGAUAUGACUAUUUAAAUGUAAUUACGGGAUUAAAACAUUAUAAUAAAUUGGAGUGAACCAUAACAUUAUAUAUGAUCCAAUCCUUUUCAUAUAUUUUUGUUCAAGACUUUGUUUUAGAAUGCUCUUUUACUAAUUUGGUACAGGUCCCUAAAAUCUACGCCUUUAUGAGGCAACGUCUUUAUUUCUUUGGUUAUUCCAGUUUAGAAUAUAUUUGUACAAAUGAGAUGACUCCCAACAUAAAGUCACAUUCAACCAAAAAGCAUGAAGUCACACACAAAAAGAACACGGACAAUUGCUAAGUUUAUCUUGUAUCCUUAUUUUAUUGAUCCAACCCAAUUGAAAAAUAAAAAAGAUGAUAUAAUAUAUUGUUCACUGCUUACAUCCAUGAGUAAAGUCCUCCAUUUGAAAUUGCGUGAUUAUACAAAAUUGGAAUGAAAAAAGAAAAUCCUACAACUAAAUUUGAUAUAUUCCUUUUCAUUUUAUGUUGGAUGUUAAGUUUUCUUGUUUCUUGUUGAAAAGAAAAAUGAAAAGAAAUAAAUAAAUUACACAGCUAGCAACUUCUCCACCUUCCCUUCUUCCCAUGUACUGACAACAAGGGAGGCCUUCAAUCCAAAAUAAAGACAAGGGAUGCCAGGUCAGCAUCUCAGAUAAGUAUCCCAACCAAAACCAAUCAAAUAAUGACAUAUGUAUCUCUUUUUGUGUUUUGUUCUAUUUCUCUUUGAAUUAACUGCGAAGUUUCAUAAGCGUGUCCUCCUUUUGAAAUUGUGUAUUAUUCAAAAUUGGAAUUUGCUGGUCAUACUUGAUAUAAGCUAAAACAGUUUCCAACAUCUUGUACCAUUUUUUUCCAGUGUGGGUCAUAACUUGAAGAAGCCCACCGACAAUUUCUCAAAAGCUAUUACCAUCCAACUUUGAAAAAUAAAAGUUUCAAAAGUUACCCCAAACAACAGCCCUUGAAAGAGAGUUUUCCAAGGCUAAAGAUUACAAGGAUGUUAUUGGCACAUGCAUUAACGUGUGACAAGAAGUUAGUUAUAUUUAUAAAGUAAAAGAACGAAGUACAUAACAUGUAAGUUGAUGCCAAAUAUUUGAUCAACAGAGCUAAACAUAAAACCACGACAAUAUAACGUUGUUCACCAAAAAUUGUGUUUCGUUGAGGGUCAGUAGUGUAGGUUUCAAGAUACGAUUUAUUUUGUUAAAGAAUAUUCUGAUAUUCUAACAAUAAAAUUGGCUCAAUUUGAUAUGUUUCUUUUUUUUUUUGUUUUUGUUUUCCCUUUCAUUUUAUGCUUUGUUGUGCUAUUGCUAAGUUUAUCCUAGAGACCAGGGAUGCUUAGCAAGUUUCUUCACCUGCCCUUCUUCCCAUGUACUAACUAGGGAUACCAUGUCAGAAUCUUAGAUAAGAAUCCCAACCCAAUCAAACUAUGACAUCUGUAAGUAUUCAAAAUUGGAAUUUGCAUUGUGAUAGUUGAGUGGAAGAAUCGAUUAAGGCUUGAGUGGAAGACAAACUUCAGUGGAGGAAAGUAAUUAAUCUCACAAGACAUAGCCCAUCAGUUGGCUCAUUUUUCUUGAGUGUGUAGUCCUGGCCUUGAGGCGAGGCCACAUUGCUUUGGAGAUUUCUUUCUACUUGGUGAAAUUAUAAUUUAGAAGAAGCAAACUGCGUUUUGCAAUUUGUGCGAUUCAAGCAUAUCUGACACUAGUAAUUAGACCAUAAUCUUUGUCCGACCAGAAAAUAAGAAAAGUUGUCUUGUACCAUUUCUGCCAGUGUGGGUCCCACCCACCCCAUACGAGUAAUUUGAAGAAGUCCACCGACAAUUUCCCAAAAGCUUUGGCGUCCAACUUUGCCGACCCCAUCCCCAUGUGAGGCCAUAGAAAAGUUUUCAGCCACAAUCAAAGAAGGGAACAGUCCUUGAAAAGAGAGGGUUUUCCAAGGCCAAGAUUACAAGUUCAUGUUAUUUACAGUCUCAAAAAGCUUCCAUACUUGUUUACAAACCUGUAUUUUCAAGUUGUGCUAGCCUAGCUAUUUGCAAAUCUUGGAAUAUUUUACUUCAUCCAAAUCCCUUGCAGUCUGCAGAGAAGAUAAAAGACAUGGCUUUGAUUGGAGAGGCUCUUAUCUCUGCUUCCGUCCAGGUGUUGUGCGACAGAAUUACUUCACCCGAGUUCGUUGACUUAUUUUGGCACAAGAAACUCGAUGAGCCACUCCUCAGGAAGCUGAGGACGACACUGUUGGCCUUGAACUUGGUGCUCAAUGAUGCAGAGGGGAAGCAACUUGUGAACCGAGAUGUGAAAAAGUGGCUUGACGAGCUCAGACAUGCUGUCUUUGAUGCGGAGGACUUACUGGAUGAGAUUGACACUGAAGCUUUGCGAUGCAAGCUGGAAGAAGGUGAAGAUCAAACUCACAAAUUUACCAAUAAGGUGCGGAACUUGCUCUUUUCUCCUCGUAGUCAUUUUUAUCAGAGCAUGAAUGAUAAGAUAAAAGAGUUACUAGCAAGGUUAGAAAACUUUGUACAACUGAAAAGUGCUCUUGGUCUGGGAGAAGUUGCUGGGAGGAAGGUUUCGCAAAGAACUCAAACAACCUCCUUGGUUCUUGAACCUUAUGUAUAUGGUAGAGAUGAAGUCAAAGAAAAGUUAUCAAAAGUGUUGCUAUCUGAUGAAGCAGGCAAGGAUCCUGUGUCUUUCCUCACCAUUGUUGGAAUGGGUGGGGUUGGCAAGACAACCCUUGCUCGAAUGCUUUACAAUGACGAUAAGGUGAAAGGGCAUUUUAAACUUAAAGCUUGGGCUUGUGUUUCAGACUACGAUGAUUAUAUUAAAAUUACUAAAACUCUCCUUGAGGCAGUCACUUCAAAGCCUUGUAACACGGCAAAUCUGAAUUUGCUUCAAAAAGAUCUAAGAGAGCAAUUGAGGGGAAGGAAAUUUUUAUUUGUGUUGACCUAUGGAAUGAGAAUAAUGAGGAUUUGAACUACCUUAGAGCUCUUUUUAUUACUUUAGGAACAAUGGGAAGUAAAGUCAUUGUAACAACACGGAACAAAAAUGCAGCAUCUGUCAUGCAAAAUGUUCAUAUUCAAUACUUAGAACCAUUGUCGUAGGAGGACUGCUGGUUAUUACUUGCAAAACAUGCAUUUGGAAAUGAAAAGUGUAGUGCACAUUCAAACUUGGAAGACAUUGGAAAGCAAAUUGCACUCAAGUGCAAAGGGUUGCCUUUAGCUGCACAAACACUUGGGAGUUUGUUACGUUGCAAUAUGGAUUUCGAGUACUGGAAUAGAAUACUAAAUGAUAGUUUUUGGGACCAACCCUAUGAUAAAACUAACAUUCUUCCGGCUCUAGGGUUGAGUUACCAUUAUCUUCCUACUCAGUUGAAACGAUGCUUUGCUUAUUGUUCAAUUUUUCCAAAGGAUUAUGAGUUUGAAAAGGAAGAUAUAGUUCAAUUAUGGAUUGCAGAAGGUAUAAUUCCACAAGCUGAGAAUGGAAAAAGGAUGGAAGCAUUGGCUAGAAUAUACUUUGAUGAGCUGUUAUCACGAUCGUUGUUUCAAAAGUCAAGUAAAUUCAGCUUCAUUAUGCAUGAUCUCAUUAAUGACUUGGCUAUGUUCAUGUCUCAGGGGUUUUGCCUUAGGCUCGAAGAUGGGGUAUCCCGUGAAGUUAAAAGAGCUCGUCAUUUGUCAUAUGCUAGGGGAGAAUUUGAUGCUGCUCCAAGAUUUGAACCAUUAUAUGAGGCUAAAUGUUUGCGGACCUUCCUACCUACCAUUUGUUGUGGGCAAAUCUACUGGAUCAGGCAUAAGAGAACUGAGGCAGUUCCCGCAACUUCGAGGAAAACUAUCAAUUUUGAAGCUACAAAAUGUAGUUGAUGCGAGGGAUGCACUGCACGCCAAUAUGAAGCACAAGAAAGAUCUCAAGGAGUUAGAGCUUUCAUGGGGUGCGGAGGAUGCUGAUGAUUCCCAAAAGGAGAAAGAUGUACUCGACAAGCUCCAGCCUUGCGUGAAUUUGGAGAAAUUAACCAUCAAAUUCUAUGGUGGAACUAAUUUUCCGAAUUGGUUAGGAGACUCGUCUUUUUCUAACAUACAAGUCAUGCAUCUCAGUGACUGUAGUUAUUGUUGGUCGCUCCCACCAGUUGGACCGCUACCGGCACUCAAACAGCUCUGUAUAAGAAGAAUGAAGUUUGUGAAGACGAUUGGCGUUGAAUUCUAUGGCAGAAAUGGAGCUUAUCUGACUCAGCCAUUUCGAUCUCUGGAGAAGCUAGAGUUUAGGGAGAUGCCAGAGUGGGAGGAAUGGGUACCAAGUGGAAGUGCAAGUGGAGGUGAAUAUGGUCCAGACUUUCCUCGUCUCCAGGAGCUGAUUCUAUACGAGUGUCCGAAGCUAAGAGGAAGUUUGCCUUGUGAGUUGCCUUGCUUGAAGAAGCUUACGGUGUAUGGGUGUAAGGUUUUACAUGAUGGAAGGGCCAUUACCGCAACUACCAAUAGUCUUAACUAUAAAUCUCUGGAAGAAUUGAAUAUAAGUGGUGGAUGCCAAACUCUGUUAUCAUUAUUAGAGACAAAGCUCCUGUCCGGACUUGAGAUUCGAAAUGUUGUUGACAUACAGUGCUUGCCCAACUGCAGUCGUCUUCAACAUUUGACUCUUUCGAAUUGUCCAACGCUGUCAUCAUUUCCCAAAGAUGGCCUACCCACUACAUUGACAUCACUUUAUAUAAACAAUUGUAGGAAAUUAGAAUUCCUACCUCAUGAGAUGUUGGCCAAAUUAACAUCGCUUGACUAUUUGUGCAUACAAAAUAGCUGUGAUUCAAUGAGGUCCUUCCCGUUGGGCAUUUUUCCCAAAUUGACGAGGCUUGAAAUUCGUGGUUGUGAGAAUCUGGAAUCCCUUUCCUUGAUUGAAGAAGAAGGAGCUGUUGAGAAUCUCAGCCAUCUCAAUUACUUGCAAGUCUAUAACUGUCCAAAAAUGGUGUGUUUUCACGAGGGAGAAUUGCCCACUCCCAACCUGAGUCACUUUGUAGUCGGUGGUUGCGAGAAUUUGAAGUCAUUGCCCAAAAGCCUUCACACCCUCACUGCCCUUCGAUCUUUGUCGAUAUGUAAUCUUCCGAAUCUGGAGUCAUUUGCAGAAGAUGGGGGUUUGCCUCCCAACCUCCGACAAGUAAGUAUUAGGAAUUGUGAGAGACUGAGGGCUUCAUCAGUGGGUUUGCAAGCACUUGACUCCCUUGAGAUCAGUGGAAGUGACCAUGUAUUCUCUAUCACACUCUUCACAUCUAUUCUCUAUCAACUCUGAAAUCUUUGGACGGAAAGGGUCUUGGACACCUCACUUCUCUUCAAGAGCUAGAUAUUAACAGGUGUCCAAGUCUGGAAUUCCUGCCAGGAGAGGAACUUCAACACCUCACUUCUCUUCAAAAUCUAUACAUUUGGAACUGUCCCAGUCUUCAAUGCUUGCCAGAAGAGGGUUUUCCAUCAUCUCUUUCUCAUCUGAGUAUCCGCCGGUGUCCUACCCUGGAGGAAAGGUAUAAGAAUAAAACGGGACGAGAUUGGGCCAAGAUAUCUCACAUUCCUUGCAUCGAGAUAGGCAACGAAGUGAUCAUAUAAUAUGAGCUAUUCCAUAUUUCACGCUCAACCCUCAACUCUCAAAUCAAAGUCAGGUGAGGUAUGUGCCUUCUCUUACUUUAAAAAACUGCUGCUCAAUAACACUCUUCGCACUCUAUAUAUUAUGGCCUGUCAGUCUAAAAUUCCUGCCAGGAGAGGAACUUGAACGCCUCUCUUCACUGCAAAGGCUACAUAUUUGUGGGUGUGACAAUAUCCAAUUCCUGCCAGAAGAGCGUUUGCUGCAAUCUCUUUCUUAUCUGUGCAUCGACCAUUGUUUUGCCAUGUAGAAAAGGUAUCUCACAUUCCUUGCGUCAAGAUAGGUGAAGAAGUGAUCAUAAGAUAUGAGCUCUCUCUCCCUCUCGCUCACAUACAAAGUACUUAAAACACUCAAUCUGAUUUCUAUUAUUAUUUUGCUCAGUAAAUUUUGUUUAAAUUUGCUUUGUUUCUCAUUGCGCUUGUUCUGCUUAUCACAACUUAUAUCCUAUUUAAAUCUCAAAUGCUGAAUAGUUAGCAGUCUUUUCGCAGGACAGCAUAUCUUCUCUUGGAGAGCUAUUCAUUUGCAAGGUUUCUUUAUGUGUCAUUUCCAGAGGAGGGUUUACUAUUUAAUAGAAAGGUUCACCUGGAAUAUCUCAAAUGACACAUUCCCAAAUACAGGCAUUGAAUGCACAACAUUUUGAGGUACUAUUUUUGUAAUAAAAAUGUACUUGAGUCUCAUUUGAGCUAGUUUAAAUUGUAUUCAAUGUCUAUGGAUAACCUGUGAGCUUAAGUUGUAAGAUAAAACUCACAGUAUAUUAUUAGGGUUUAGGGUUCAACAGGUGAGCUUAAGUUGUACUUUCCUAGGUACUGCAUGUAUAUUAUCUUAGUAUCAACACUUGGUCUUAUGUGGACGAGAGAGAACAUUUGAGGAAUUACAAAAUCUUCUUAGUGAAUUAAGCUUGUUUCAGCUCUGUUUGUCAUCCCUCACAUUUUCUUUGUUAAGCCUUGAUUUUUUAUUAGACAUACGAAAAAAUGCUUUUAUAAGACAGGAGAUGAAUGCUUUUAUAUGUUGAUGUCGUAGUCAGUCUUCAACCACACUCUGUUUUUAGAAUUCAUUUAUGUUACUAGUUGAGAGCUGCUGUAUUUUAUAUUUCGUUCCUGUAAUGUUUGGAUGUUUAGCUUGAGCAGUCUAGCUUAUCCAGUAGAUAACUUGUCCCCUGUUUUGUAAUGUUUUUGUUUCCUCUAAUGAAAGCAGGUUUUACUUAUCUUGAACUGCAGAAGCCUACUUUUUGACAUAGGUGGCAUGGCACAAACUCGCAUCCGCAUUUCCAUCCCCAUUGGCAUGCUGUCUCAUCUUUUCUAUUCUGUUACCAGCUUGAAGCUUGUGUGGACAUGUUAUGCUCUUGUAAUUCUGAUCACAAACAUCACUUGACAAAUGGAAAGUCACAAUCAGAUCUUUCAGGUGAUCUGGAGGUUUACUUUCUAACAUUUGUUUUCGUGGGGGGGAGACAACAAUACAGAAUUUAAAAUUUCUGAUAAUCAAUAGUAGUUUGCAUAUAUCAGCUGGGACCUGUAUGACUGUAUUAUGUAAUUAAUUAUUUCUCUUAUUGUUUGGGUACUGUUAAAAGGAGUUAGCCACACAACAUAAAAAAGGAGGUCUCUUAUUUCAUACAAUUUUUCAAAUGUGAUCAUUAAUCCGUUUCUUUUUCAACAAUAGAGGAAUGUAUACUAAUCGUCUGGUCCAUCUGCUGCUUCACUCCCUAGUAGCUUCAUCUCCUGUCCUUUGCUUUAUUUCUGUUGAUGAAUGUUUUGUCUGGGUUAUUUAUUUUCAUUUCAUGUCCAUUGCUUUAUUUCUGUUUGGAUUCUUAAUUAAAUCUGUCCUGGACUUGAACAAGGGUUAGGUUAGCUGUAUAAUUUGCGGUUUUAUAUACACAACUGUCUACAUUGAUUAAAACCAGCAUUAUUCUAAGGUUCAUUUAGAAUGUAUUAUCACCAAAAUUAUAAAGAAUACUUCUAUUACAAUUAAUUUGUUGAUUCUAAUUUGGACUUGUAGGAACAGACCAAACAUGUUCAUGCGUGGCAUUGCUCAAGUCAUCAUCAUUCGAGACAGAGAAUAAGCCUUCAAGUGUCUGCUGAGUCAAUGAACCUUUCUAGAUAUCUCAAGUGUAAUGGAAAUUGAUGAGUUACAAAGGAUUUGUAAACAUUUUCUACUGGAGGCUAGAAAUGCUUCAAAUAAAUGACCGUGUUGCAAUUAUUUUGUAGGAUCAAAGACUCUGCAAAGAGGUAAGAAAGUCAUCAUCAAGUAACUUUGCUCUUCAAACUUUUUAUUUUUAUUUUUAAAUAUCAGUAAUAACUGGGAAAGCUUGCAUCUCCUUAAAUUGCUCAUUCUUACAUCUUUUAUAGUUUGUUGAUCUUGGGCAAGUGGAGAGAGAGGCGUCAAGUGAUACGCAACAACCAUUUUCUGUGAGCUGAUUUGAUAAAGAGAAAUGGUAUGCUUUCUUGUCUUAAGCGGUGUGUUCUGCAAUUAUUUGAAACAAAGGAUGCCGCACUUCAAGUUCGAGAAAAUCAGGUAUUUUAGUAUUUUAUUCUUGAGAAAUUUGAUUUAUGUAGAAACUUGAACAUGUAAAUAAAAUAAAUAAAAUAUAUUAUAUGCUGUUAAUGAGUUAAUAUGGUGCUUGCUUCUAGUUGGAAAUUUAUGUAGUCAUCUACCUAUGAUCAAAUAAAGAUGAAGAAUAAAAUAUAAUUGAGAGCAUCUUCCUCUCCCCUGCUUUGCUCAUCCCUUGUUCUUCCACUUCAGCCCCACUAUUACACCAUUUUUUCAGCCACAAUUAUAAUAGCUCCAUGAGCAUUAAGUCCUUUUCAAAUUCUGCUGACAUUCAAAAUUGGAAUUUGCUGGUGAUAUAUGAUAGCAUCUUUGUCCGACCAAAAAGAGAAAAAAAAAAAGUUGAUAGCAUAUUGUACCAUUUUGGCCAGUGUACGCAAUAUUAUUGCAUCCAACUUUGCAUAUUAACAUCAGUGGCCACAGUUCCAUGAUUUGAGUGCACAGAAAAGUUUCAAAAGUUGUCCCACAAAGAACAGUCGUUCAAAGUGAAAGAGAGAUUUCAAAGCUUAAUUACAAGUUCAUGUUAUUUACAAUAUCAAAAAGCUUUCAUACUUGCUUACAAACCUGUAUUUCCAAGUUCUGCAAACCUUGGAAUAUCACUUCAUCCAAAUCCCCUUCCAAAGCAGGAAAAAAUGGCAGCAGCUUUGAUUGGAGAGGCUCUCAUCUCUGCUUCUAUCGUGGUGUUGUGUGACAGAGUUACUUCAGCCGAGUUCAUAGACUUAUUUCAGCAGAAGAAACUUGAUGAAACACUCCUCAUGAACCUGAAGACGACACUGUUGAUUUUGUUUGCGGUGCUCAAUGAUUCAGAGGAGAAGCAAAUUGUGAACCCUGAAGCUUUGCGAUGCAAGCUGGAAGGUGAGGAUCAAACCCACAAUAAUUAACCAAAAAGGAUCUUUUUGAUUGUUUGAAAGGAGGGUCUUGAUGAUUUGAAAGGAGAGGGUUGCUUUAUUUCUGUUGGAUGCUUAAUUAAAUCUUAUUUGGAGUUGAACAAGGAUUAGGUUAGCUGUAUAAUUAGUGGUAAACGCCUUUUUCUAAGGGUCAUUUAGACUCCUAUUACGAUUAAUUUGUUGUUUCUAAUUUGGACUUGUAGGAACAGACCAAAUAUGUUCACACGUGGCAUCGCUCAAGUCAUCAUCAUUUCAGACUGAAAAUCAGCCUUCGAGUGUCUGUUGAGUCAAUAAACCUUUCUAGAUAUAUCAAGUGCAAUGGAAAUUCAUGAGUUACAUAGAGAUUUUUAAACAUUUUGAAGAUUGCAACACCUGCAAGUGAGAUAGGCGGUGACGAAAUCAGAGCUGAUUUUGAAGCCUCUGAUGCCCCUGUUGUUGCAAGUUGCACCUGAGAACAAGUUUUUUUUUUCUUUGGGGUAAAAAACUGGCAACAUGUUCGGAGCUGACAAUUCAAUCCCUGAUGAACUAGAGAAGCAAAGCUCCGGUAAGGAAAUUGGUCAAGGUUGUGACAGGGAUGAUUGAUGGUGAAAUGGAUGCUAUUUCUUAUUGCAGCCUGUUCUCAAAGUUCUUGUUGGCAAAUGCAAUUGAUGGAGUAUUUUGAUUGGGAGGAGAGAUAAUGACAUGGCUUGACAAUUCUAGAACAGCCCAUCAUUAAUCCCAGAAAAAAUCCCGUUUCUGCUAAACAAUCACUUAUGGCAAGGCCAACUCUGUAAAUGGAAUUUGUGAUCCCUUCAAAUUGUACACAUUUUUUCUUUUUGAGGAAUUUAAUCAAACAGUAUUCUAAUGCAUUAUGAUAGCACUACACGCUUUUGUUGUAACAAAUUACAAGGAGGAAUUUGGAUUGAGUUUCUUGUAUAAGCACACCUUACACAAAUUUCGUAUAUUUUCUUCCAGCAAGUCUGUUUAUUAACCCCCUUAUCUGAAAUUAAUUGUUAAAAGUUUUGAUUCAUCUUUAAUCAGUGUCUUACCCUUGUUGAAUAACACUCCUCUUUCUAAUUUAUAUUUGAAGUUUGAGCUUUCAAUUUCAAUUGUGGGCUUUGAUUUUUCAGAUUUUGUUUGUCAAUUUCAGUUUGGACAAAGCAUAUAUGCAAACAAAGUAAGCAUUUUAUGUUAUACUUUUGAACUAGGUGUUGAUUUGAUUUAAUCAUAAGUUUUGCUGGUGCAUUUACUAGGCUAAUCAUUCAAUACUUUUGAUCAUAGAACUUCUUUGGUUGAUAUUAUCUUUGUUAAGUUUAACCAUAACUUUAGAGAGGGGACUUCAACAGAUUUAUAAUCUCAUCAUUAUAGUAUUAAAAAUUAGAGAUUAUUUAAGGCAUUGUCUAUUAUCUGAAUUCUGCUUACUUUUAGUUCAUAUGUUUACAUCUUAGCAUAUUCAUGUGAUUAGUGCGGCUCAUACCACAAAGGCAAUUUUAGGCUCAUCAAGUGCUAAGCAAUGUCAAGCUUCCAAAUGACAAGUUCUCUACAUAGUUUGAGACCUACACUUACUAGAUAUUAGAUCAUUUCGAUCAUUUCCAUAUGUUUAUAUGUAAUUGACAUGUUAUAACAUUUUUGUAGCGUUAUAUAAUUAUUUAGCAAUUUAAUUAUUUCUUUGCAACUUAAUUUUUUUUGUCAAUCAUACUAUUGUUGACUGCUAAAAACCAUCAAGAAAUAGUUCUCAAGUUAUAAAAAAAAAAAAAUUUUAAAAAAGAUUUGUUGAUGCUUAAAAAGCAUCAAGAACAGAUAGUUUCUUGACGGUUUUGUGACAUUUCAUAACUGUAGGGGGCUUUUUCUUCCGACAGCUGUAAAUGGGCUGGGCUGCCGUAAAGGGCAGACUGAUGAAAUUGUCCCCUUUUGUAUGAGCUCAAAAAUUAAGCCCCAAAAUACUUUGAAAGGGCAGCAGAGCCUUAGGAAGUAUUUUGGUUACCCUCACCAACUAAAACAACAACAACUUACAGGUAAUUACUUAAUGCUUAUGGAUGAACUCUUGAGCUUGGCAUGAGAGACAUAUGGCAUGGAAGCAAAAUCAACAUGAGUUUAGCACUGAGGGGAAAUUUAGGCUCUCUUGGGGGAAAAAGGGAAGUGUUAAGGUGAGAGAGGAGAAGUUUGUAGGAGAUUUAGCUAAGAAAGGAGAAAUAUAGAACAAUGCUCUUUUGGCAGCUUGACAGAUGCUCUGUUUGCCAGAAAAGGAAGAUGGAGAAGAAAUGUGAAUAGUGCAAGAGUUUGCUAGAUUUUUGCAGGUAAGAGAGGAAGCUUGCUCUCUGGGUCUGAGUUGAGUUUUUUUGUGUGGAAGAGACCUCAUUUUAUAGCCCUUGGAAACCAUCACUUCCCAAGAAACCCUAAUGGCUUCUACCCAUUUUGGCCAAGCUUUUCCCUUCCUUUCUCAUUUCCUUCCUUGACUUUACCCCUCUUGAUGAAAUCCCCUCUGCCUAUUUGCACCAUAUCAGAGUUUUUUGAAGCUCAAGGCCCCUUUUUCCCGCAGUUGUCUCAAUGGGAGACUUCCAUUCCCAGUCAUCUCCUUUAUUGCUUUCCUUUCUUUUUUUCAUGGCCAAGUUUGGUGGGGAAAGGAGUUGGGAUAUAUAUGCUGGUUUGAAGGGUGCUUCUCUUCCUGGCAUCUUACACACUAAUACCCCUUGGUUCCUUGAAUGUUUUGGCUUUGAAACUUGCUCUCCCCCCCCCCCCCCCCCCCCCCAUGUACUGGAACCUACCAGCAGCUCUAUUCAAUGAAUCUUCAGACCUUCUCUUCGUGGCUUUUAUUUUUUAUCAACGGGCUGGGGCUUUUGUGGCUCAUUGUGGCAAUUGUAUGGGCUAAGGUGGUUCAUUAAGUAAGUGGGCUAUUUUUAUUAAACAUUAGGCUUUUUGGUUGAGUCACUAGGCUAUUUUGAUUGGGCUAUUGGGCUAUUUUUUUCCUCUCUUGUGCUCACCCACAUGUUUGGACCAAAGAAAUGAGCUUGAGUCCUGAGGCUCCCAAGCGACCCGAGACUUUCCAUUUCUGGCCCAUCAAUGGGCCUCAUGUUGAUUUAUUACCAUCCAUACCACAACCCACUCAAGCAGGCUCCGGGCAUUUGAAUGACUUGGGCGCACUUAGGCUUGUAGUGUGGUUGGGUGCGAAAUAACGAUUUCGUGCUUGGCAUGUUUUAAUUUUAUCAUCCUUGGGAAAGGCUGCGAUGUUUGAUUUCGGCAUGGGCUUGUAGAGCUGGUAUGCUUUAUUUCAACUCCUAGCAUGACGAAUUAUUUAUUUAGCAUGGCACGUGAAUUACAACUCGCAUGUGGUGGGUUUUUGUGUACUACACCUUACGCCUCUUCUUAAUAGAACAUCGUUUUGGGCUGAUAAUUUAUUCGGGCCAAACCGUGAAUUUUUUGGGUCUCAAUAAUAACCAUCAUGAAACAUUACAUUUUGACUGACGUCAAGAAAUGGGGUAUCCCUUUCCUGAUAGUGGCAUCCAUGAUGCCUUCCAAGCAGUCAAUUAAGGGCUAUCGUGAUGCAUUUUAGUUGUCAGCAAAAGGUGUUUUUCUUGUACUGUAUUCACUCAAAGUCGUGUUUCAUUUAAGAUUAGUAGUAUGGUUGAAUACCAUUUGUUUUGUUAAAGAAUAUUAUACAUUAGGGAUUUUUGUAGAAAUGUCAUUUGAACUUAUACCUUAGUUUCAAUUUGUCACCUUGAAGAAAAAUUUAAGAGAAAUGUCACCUUAAUUUUUAAAAAUCCAUGAUUUGUCAUAUGACUUUAAAAUCAUCCAAUUUUCCAUCCAUUUUAAGGGUAUUUUAGUCUUUUCAUUUUGAAGGAAAAAAAAGAGAUGAAAAAAGAGACCUCUCUCUUACUUUGUCCCUCAACCCAACCCCACCCGCCCCCCAAAACACAUCACAUAGGAUUGCCUCCCCCUUCCCCACUUUUCUUUUUUCUUUUUGUCCUACUUUUCCACUAUGUUUAUGUUGAAGGAUCUAAAGUUUGCUUGGUCACCAUCUGUUACGUAGGCUUCCCAAUUGUUAGUUUGGGUGGGUUGUGGGAAUUUGUGUGCUCGAAACCCGAGACGAAUCUUGUGGAAUUCCCGACAUCACACCGAUGCCGGGCCCACUUCUGAACUAAAUUCUCUUUUCCAAAAUUAAGGAAAAAGAGUACGAGGCUUUCUGCCGAAAUUUCGACAGAGUAUUCCCUAUAAAUUUAACAUUUCAGCUUUGGUGGCCGUUCUCUCAUUUCAGCUUUGGUGGCCGGAUGAGAGAACGGUCGGCUAAAACGUGGCCAGCUGGCACUGCCGUCGCGAGAGAGAGAGAGAGAGAGAGAGAGAGAGAUUUUUAUCAAAUCAUUUUUGCCAAAAUUACGAUUAUGCAACUGAGGGUAUUUUGAUCGUAUCUUUUUCAUUAUAACUCUGAUUCAAGCCCACUACGUGUUUACGGACUCAUCUCGCCGUGCUCUAUGCAAUUGUAUAGUUGAAAUUCCCAAAUUCCACCCCAGUCAAAAAUUCAACUUUAAACCCUACAAAAUAUUAUAGGGGCAAAAUGGUCUUUUAUCUAAUUAAAUUAAUAAUUGAAAAUUUAUUUAGGACCGGGUUGUUACACUGUCGUUGAUGGACUGUGCGAUGACACUCACACAAAGUCCUUGAGAAUAAAACACACACACACCAUGAAGAGAGUAAAACAAAUACACAAGUACACAAAGAUUUAUAAAGGUUUGGCCUUCUGCCUACGUCCUCUUGGUGAUCCACCCGAGAAAUUCACUAGUACGUAAGAACAACUUUGGUUACAACUAAACCCCCUUAGCUUUCAUAAGAACCCUAGAUCUCUUUUCUCCCACCCUUGCUCCAACCCUUUGAUGCCCUUGUAAACACUCAAGAAUUCACCCUUGAAUUCUGUCAUGUGUUACAUCUUCUCUUCUCCCCUUUGUUAACCUAACCCUAAAAGUUAUAUUUAUAAUUCAUAGGACUUUAAGUACAAGUUAACUAGGAAUAGGAAACAUAAUAGACCUCAAAAAUUGGAGAAAAUAUGUUUAGAUCUCGUUAGGAAAUUGCACAACACGUGCGAUCCGCUCGAGCGCCUGCAAAAUGAUCCCUUUGUCGCUCAAGCUGCCGAUAGCUCAUGGGAUGGGGGAAUUAGAGAUUUUUUUUUUUUUCAAUUUUAAUUGUUUAAAAGAUAUACAAUUUUUUAAUAAUAAUUUUUCCAUUUUUAAAAUACCCUUGAAAAUAGAAAGAUUAAAAUGCCCUUAAAAAUGGAUGGAAAAUUGGAUUGCGUUAAGGUCAGUUGACAAAUCAUGGAUUUUGAAAAAUUAAGGUAACAUUUCUCUUAAAUUUUUCUUUAAAGUGACAAAUUAAAAUUGAGGUAUAAGUUCAAGUUACAUUUAUGCAAAAAUCCUUAUACAUUAUGAUAUUCUAACAAUAAAAUUGGCUAAAAUUGAUAUGUUCCCUCUUUAUUUUCUUUUUCUCUUUUCCUUUUCAUUUUAUGAUCCAAUCCUUUUCAUAUAUUUUUGUUCAAGACUUUGUUUUAGAAUGCUCUAUUACUAAUUUGGUACAGGUCCCUAAAAUCUCGGAGCCGCCUUAGUACAUUCAUAAUGUACAUGUUCAGAGUUCAAGAAUAAUGUAUAGAAUGUGAAAUUGACGAUGCCGGCCUUUAUGAGGCAACGUCUUUAUUUCUUUGGUUAUUACAGUUUAGAAUAUUUGCACAAAUGAGAUGAUUCCAAGCAUAAAGUCACAUUCGACCAAAAAGCAUGAAGUCACACACAAAAAGAACACGGACAAUUGCUAAGUUUAUCCUUGUACCCUUAUUUUAUUGAUCCGACCCAAUUGAAAAUUAAAAAAAGAUGAUAAAAAAUAUUGUUCACUACUUUAAAAUCUAUGAGUAGAGUCCUCCAUUUGAAAUUUCGUCAUUAUACAAAAUUGGAAUGAAAAAAGAAAAUCCUACAGCUAAAUUUGAUAUAUUUCCUUUUCAUUUUAUGCUGGGUGUUAGGGCUUGUCAAUGGGCCGGGCUAGGCUAGCCCGGCUCAAAUUUAAUGGGCUUGGGCUAGGCCGGGCCAAGCUUUAAAGAGGAGAGAGAAAAUAUCCGGCCGAGUUUUUUAAGAAAAUUCAAAGCCCAAGCCCGAAUCACUGCUGUCUAGCCCGGCCCAAAUUUAAUGAGCUUGGGCCAGGCCGAGCCAAGCUUUAAAGAGGAGAGAGAAAAUAUCCGGCCGAGUUUUUUAAGAAAAUUCAAAGCCCAAGCCCGAAUCACUGCUGUCAUUUCAUUGAUUUGUGACGAGCACAACCACCAAAUCAGAAUUUACUCACGAAAAUAUCAAGUAUGUCUAGCAAAUUUCAAUUUUGAAUAAUACACAAUUUCAAAAGGAGGACAUGUUGCAAGACAGCAUACCUUCUCUUGGGGUGCUUUUCAUUUUGCAACAUUUCUUUACGUGUAAUUUCCAGAGGAGGGUUUAUCAUUGUAUAUAGCUUUUCGGGUGGUUUGUCUACAAAACAAAUGUCACAAAGAAGGAGGAGAAACGGAAAAGAUUUACUUGGAAUGUCUCAAGUCUCCUUUGAGAUAAAGGCAUCGAAUGCACAACAUUGCUUUUGUGCUAUUUCAUAAUUAAAGUGUGCUUCCCAAGUCUCCUUUGUGUUUUGUAACUUGUAAUGUUUGUUUUUUUGUUUCCCCUGUUUUCCCUCUUAUAAAAGAAAUACAGGUCCAAACCACACGGAUCUACUUGCAUAAUAAUGGACCAAAUUUAUGAUUUUUAGAAAGAACCUUCUGCCGGUGGAAUCUUGGGCUACUGUUGUGGCUCUCCUCUGUGUGCCUCCUUUUUAGAACGGUAAAAUAUUCAAAAUACUAGAAAAUGUUCGUGAUUAAUAUAAAUAUUAAGAAUUGAAAUUAUUAAUUAAAUGAGGAUAAUAUGGUAAAUUCACACUUUUUUAUAUUAAAAAAAUUAAAAUUAAAAGAAAAAUCAGAUAAUUGAUAUUAUUUUUAUGGAACACAGCUACUCAUUAUCUUUUUUAAUUCUAAAAUAAAUUUAAAUUAAAGAAAAAAACCCCUCUCACAGGCACGGAAGCGCGUGCUCAGAGGCUAGUUAAAAAUAAUGAACUUUGCUUCUGAAGACGUCUAUACCAGACCCACUCAACCUGCUUUAUGAUUAUACAAAGAACAAACUCGUCCUUAGACUCAUUUGGUUAAACUUAGAAAAUAAUGAAACAAAAAUAUGCACUCCCACAAGUAACACAGCCAGGAUUGAAAACAACUGGACAAAGAAAGGCAUGUUAAAACAGAAUUUUCAACAACUCAUCACCAUUAGACAAGAAAAAGAAAAAUCAAUACAAAAACAGAAAGAACAGAGAAUAAAUGUGGUGGAAGAAAAACGUUGAAGCCAUUUGUGAAUCCAACAACACUACCACUCUGUUUCUCUCCUUUUGUUCAGGCGGAUCUGCAUAUAUCCUAAGGCGUAUUACGGAAACAACUUCUUGCCGUUAUACUUGAAUGUUGUGGAUGCUUCAACGUUGCCAUCUGGGUGGAGUGGAUUUGUCCAAUUCACCUUCACUAUGGUAUAUACGUCCAAAUUGUUGUUAUUUGAAAGGCUUCUAAAUUUUAACAUUUUGAUUUUUAAAUUUUGUUUAAAUAUUUCGGCCCACUUAGUUCUUCUCAAAAUAUGUCAUCAAUAUCGUUGAAAGGUUGAACUUAGUGAAUUAUUAUAGUGCAGUACUGUAGAAUAGACACAUGAUAUAAUUUGUCCACAUGUUAUAAUAUAAGUAAAUAUUUAUUGAUAUUAUUUCUAAAAAUAAGAAAUAUCAACCAUUAUAUCCUCCCAUAUUAUAAUACAUAUACAAAUUAUACCACAUUAUCAUACUCUAAUACCAUUUUAUAAUUUCUCGUACUUAGAGCGAGUCAAUGACAUUACAUAAUAUAUAAUUGUUCAUAUAAUGGGGCAACUAACGUGAUCAACAAGUUGUGGUGAUUAAUUUAACAUAAUAAAAAAUAUACCAUUUACUUGAGUGAUGUAACAAUUUGUUCUUUUAAAUUGGAUUGCCAUCACUUUAAUAUGAUAUGUUUCUUAUUAUAGUGUCCCAUGUUAAGUGCUUCAGCAUUGUUUGUGGUGUGUACACAAAUUUUCUUAUAAAAUGUUUUAAUGCUUCUCACAUGUAUAUCAGAUAUAGACAGUUGAUGUGACUUAGAAAUCAAAUUGUCAAUAAAGCAAAAAAAUAUAAUUGGUGAUUGAGGUCCAAUUUAAUAGAAAAUAGUCUUAACUUGUAUAUUAGAGGUUUCAGAUUCGAAUCCUCACUGCAUUAUUGUUGUAUACGUACACGAGAAAUCCUCUUCUCCAAUAAUUUAGACUAUCACUUAUACUAAAAAAAUAUAUAUAUAUAAUGACUUUUACGGAUGCAAACAUAAAAUUACACCAAACAAUAAUGGAAUAGAAAGAUGCAAGUUAUUUUUUUUUUUUUUACAUCUAAAGUAUACUUUAUAUAUAUAUUUAUUAUGGGUGUUAUAACCGUUUAAUUUUCAGUUUUUAUUUUCUAUUUAUUGUUUUAAUUUUUAUGGUUUAAUGUGUAUGAAGAUUACAAGUAUUGGAUGUCUACCACUCCUCCUUCACAUCUGAAACAAACCACCAUCUCAUUUCUGUAUUUUCAUACUUUCAUAUAUUUUCUACUUUCCAGAUUAUUAUUUUUGGGCAACGGUUCUGUGACUUGCAGAUUUCUAUCCGAUUGUUAACAUGCUCAUAGCGGACCUUGAGCUUGCGUAUUGGGGAUCGUAUCUUGGAGCCUUAUAGACCUUUAUUACCUGCAUGUAGGGAGGUUAUAAAUGCUUUAGGUCAGCAUCUUUGACGUGCUUUUGCUUUCUUUUUUUUUUUACUUAUUUCUUCGUUUCUUUAUUUUUACUUUACUUUUAAAUUUUUAUUUUAUGUAUUAUUUAUAUUUAAAAGUUUUGAAUAAGAGUUUUACAGAAAAGGAAAAACACAAUUUCAAAUAACACAAAUUUCUCGUUUUUGGUUCUUAAAAUAAAUGAAUUUUUUACUUAUUUGUGAACUGAAAUGCCUCUAAAAAAAUAAUGAUAGUUUGAAGAAUUUGAUAGAAAUUAAAAAAUAUCCUCAAAUUACUUGGAAUUGAAGACCACAUAGGCAAAAACACCAUUUUGGACAAAGGCUGGUGAUAAUAGUCGAUAUCAUCUUUAAGUACUUUAAUAUGAUAUGUUUCUUAUUAUAGUGUCCCAUGUUAAGUGUUUCAGCAUUGUUUGUGGUGUGUACACAAAUUUUCUUAUAAAAUGUUUUAAUGCUUCUCACAUGUAUAUCAGAUAUAGACAGUUGAUGUGACUUAGAAAUCAAAUUGUCAAUAAAGCAAAAAAAUAUAAUUGGUGAUCGAGGUCCAAUUUAAUAGAAAAUAGUCUUAACUUGUAUAUUAGAGGUCUCAUAUUCGAAUCCUCACUGCAUUAUUAUUGUAUGCGUACAUGAGAAAUCCUCUUUCCUAAUAAUUUAGACUAUCACUUAUACUAAAAUAUAUAUAUAAUGACUUUUACGAAUGCAAACAUAAAAUUACACCAAACAAUAAUGGAAUAGAAAGAUGGAAGUUUUUUUUUUUUUUCCUACGUCUAAAGUAUACUUUAUACAGUCCCGAUCUCUUGGACCACAGGAGUCCAAGAGAUUGUGGUCACCCACCGUUGGAUAUUAAUCCAAUGGUUCAAAAUGAUAUAUAUAAAUGCAAUAUGACAUAAAUGAUUAUUACCCGAUCCAAGUCAACCGUUGAAUUUACAUUCAACGGUGGGUGACCAUAAAUCUCUUGGACUACAGGGGUCCAAGAGAUCAGGACUGAUACUUUAUAUAUAUAUAUAUAUAUAUUUAUUUAUUAUGGGAGUUAUAACUGUUUAGUUUUCAGUUUUUAUUUUCUAUUUAUUGUUUUAAUUUUUAUGGUUUAAUGUGUAUGGAGAUUACAAAUAUUGGAUGUCUAUAAAGGGCCACUCCUCCUUCACAUCUGAAACAAACUACCAUCUCAUUUCUGUAUUUUCAUACUUUCAUAUAUUUUCUACUGUCCAGAUUAUUAUUUUUGGGCAACGGUUCUGUGACUUGGAGAUUUCUAUCCGAUUGUUAACAUGCUCAUAGCGGACCUUGAGCUUGCGUAUUAGGGAUCGUAUCUUGGAGCCUUGUAGACCUUUAUUACCUGCAUGUAGGGAGGGUACAAAUGCUUUAGGUCAGCGUCUUCGACGUACUUUUGCUUUCUUAUUUCUUCGUUUCUUUAUUUUUGCUUUACUUUUAAAUCUUUAUUUUAUGUAUUAUUUAUAUUUAAAAGUUUGAAUAAGAGUUUUACAGAAAAGGAAAAAUACAAUUUCAAAUAACACAAAUUUCUCGUUUUUUGUUCUUAAAAAAGAAGAAGCAUUGAUUGGGGAGUUAUGGUAAACUCAAUUUCAAUGGUUGCGAUGAGAGGCGGUGGCGGCGAGGAGAGGACGAAGGCUUUGCUGCCGACGGGGUGGUGUGGGUGGGUGGAGACCUCGGCUGGCUGCUUGGUCCUGGGUUCUCCUUUAAUUCUCUGUUUUCUUUUUUCUUUUUCUUUUUCUCUUAGAGUUAUUGAUGUUAAGUGAAUGGACAGAUGCCAAAAUAGGGACAGAAGUAGGGGUGGGCAUCAAUCCGGCCGAUCCGGUCAAUCCGGCCGAACCGAUUAUAUUGGAUUGGUUUGGUUUGGUUUUGACCAAAGAAAAAGUCAACAUUUUGAAAAACCGAACCGAACCGGUUUGGUUUGGUUCAGCUGUGGUUUGAGAGUUUUAAAAACUGUCCUAAACCGAACCGGACCGAUUAUAAAUCAAUUUAUUAUUUAUUUAAUUUAGUUUACAUGUGGCAAGGUUUGUGUGCGUUUUGUGAGUCCGCGUAUCUGAAUGUUGGUGCACGUUUUGAUCUUCUAAUUUGCAUAUCCCAGUUAUUUGUGUGUGCUUGUAUUUCCCUCUCUUUCUAUCUCUACUAUGUGUGUUUGCUCUUUGUGUUGUGUGGCUCUUCUUACUCUAUCUAUCUUAAUUAAUGGGUCCAUUUCAUAAUUUCAUACGCAUUCAAACUCCACCUCUGUGAUAAAAACAUUUACCUCUUUGUGAUAAAAGCUUUUCAUUUGUUUGUAUUUCUCUUUGGCUUUUUGACUCACUCACUGUCUUUCUUUCUUUUAAUGCUACUUGUGAUGAAUGCAAUGAGUAAAUUUAAUGCUACUUGGUUAAUGCAAAUUUUGUAUAUGUUUGUUUUGAUGGAAAUUGUGAACUUAGAUGCAUGCUAGACAUUGGACAACCUUUGAAUAAAUGGAAUGAUGUUGUAUUAGCCUUUGAUGGAAUGAAAUGAAAUGAUAUAAUGGCAAAAUGUUAGCAUUAUAAUGUAAGAGCAGGUUGAAAAAUGCAUGGUUUUGUGUUAGGCACAAACCGGCCGAACCAAUCCGAACCAAACCGAUUACAAGUGGUUUGGAUUGGUUCGGUUUCCAUUAUGAUUUUAGGCUAAUCCGAACCAAACCGGACCGUUAUUUUCUUAUUGGUUCAGCUGUGGUUUGAGAGUAAAACCGAACCAAUCCGGACCGUGCCCACCCCUAGACAGAAGAUGUGAACCCAAUUAUAUACAGCUGAUUACAUAAAGUAACAAAUUAAUUAAUACUUGAGUGGAGGACAGGCUUGAGUGGAAGAAUUGAUUAAGGCUUGAGUGGAAGACCAACUUCAGUGGAGGAAAGUAUAGAUAAGGAAAGCAUGCCUCGUUUAACGGCUUUAUCUAAUAAAGAUUAGUUGUUGGCACUUGGAGUUUCUUAGGAAUGCUGGUUUUGUUUCCUUGGUGGACUUGAAAGGUGGUGCGUUGGCUCGGACAUCUCCCUAGUAAUUAAUCGAAGGUGGAAUCUUACAAGACAUACAGCUGCUCAUUAGCUGAAUAUCUCGCUCUCUUUAAAGAGAUCGAAGCAAACUGCAAUUUGCAAUUUGUGUGAUUCAAGCAUGAAUAUCUGAUAUAGUAACUAUACCAUUUGUUGGUUUGAUAAGAAAAGUUUGGUUAGCGAGGAUGAAACCAUAAAGUUCUCCAAAACACACAAAAAACACGAACAAUUGCUAAGUUUAUUCUUGAGUUCACACAUAUUUGUACAAAUGAGAUUACUCCAAGCAUGACUAUACCAUUUGUUGGUUUGAUAUGAAAAGUACGGGCAACGAGGAUAAAACCAUACAAACACACACAAAGAACGUGGACAAUAUACUAAGUUUAUCUUUGCGUUAUUGAUCCGACCUAACUGUAAAAUAAAAAAGAUAAAAAUAUAUAAUGUUCACUACUUAGAUCUAUGAGCACUAAAGUCCUCCUUUUGAAAUUGCACAAAACAUCACUUUUGGUCUUUGGUAAAUUUUUAAAAUAAAUGAAUUUUUUACUUAUUUGUGAACUGAAAUGCCUCUAAAAAAAUAAUGAUAGUUUGAAGAAUUUGAUAGAAAUAAAAAAAUAUCCUCAAAUUACUUGGAAUUGAAGACCACAUAGGCAAAAACACCAAAUUGCAACCUCACUUUAAUGAUAAAAAUGGUAAACUACAAAGACAAAAAUGACGUUUUGCCUUAUACAUAAUUGGAAUUUGCUGGUGAUAAUAGUCUACCAUCUUUUGUCGAUUUGCUGGUGAUAAUAGUCUAUCAUCUUUUGUCGGUCCGACCUAAAAAGAAGAAAAAGUUGAUGGCAUCUUGUACCAUUUUUGCCAAUGUGGGCCCAAACAAUUUGAAGAAGUCCACCGGCAAUUUCUCAAAAGCUAUUGUGUGAGUGUGAAGCUAAACCAAUAUUAUUUUGCAUAUACGACUCCACAUCCCCAUGUGAUGUGAGGCUACAAAAGUGUUUCCAAAACGAAAUAUGAUAUUUCAAAACGAAGCUAUGUAUAGAGUCAUUUGUAUUUGCUUUCACAAUAACAUUUGAUUUGUGAAAGCAUUUUAUAUUUAUACAUUCUGAUAUUCUAACAAAUAAAUUGACUAAAUUUGGCCAACAGGAUUUAGCCGAAUAGAAAAGUCCUUAUUUAUAGACUAGUGGUUUCAAAUUUAAAGUUUAGACUAUCGCAUGUAUUUAAAAAAAAAAAAACAAUUGGCUUAAUUUGAUAUAUUUCCUUUUUUUCCUUUUUCAUUUUAUACUGGGUGCCGUUAUUAAGUUUUAUCCUUAUUUUUUGUUGAAAAGAAAAUUGAAAAAAAAUAAUAAUUCCUACAGCUAGCAACUUCUCCACCUUCCCUUCUUCGCAACUAGGGAUGCCAUUGCAAGGUCACCAUCUCAGAUUAAGUCCUCCUUUUAAAAUUGUGUCGUUAUUCAGAAUUGGAAUAUAAUCCUGUACCACUUUGGCCACUUUUGAAGAUGUUCACCGACAAUUUCUCAAAAGCUAUUAAGCUGUACAUCCACAAUAUUAUUGCAUCCAUCCCCAUGUGAGGCUACAGAAAAAUUUUGAAAACGAAACUGGAUAUUUUAUCUCUAACAACAGCUUUCAUACUUCGUUUACCCUGUGUUUCCAAGUUGUGCUAGCUAUUUGCAAACCUUGGAAUAUUACUUCAUCCAAAUCCCUUGCAGAGAAGAGCAAGAUAUGGCUUUGAUCGGAGAAGCCCUCAUCUCCGCUACCAUCCAGACGUUUUGUGACAAAAUUGCUUCGCCUGAGUUCACCGACUUAUUUCGGCAGAAAAAGCUCGAUGAACAACUCCUCAACAAGCUGAAGACGACGCUGUUGACCUUGUCCGUAGUGCUUAAUGAUGCAGAGGAGAAGCAAAUUAAGGAACCUUUAGUGAGAGACUGGCUUGACAAUCUCAGACAUAAUGUCUUGGCUGCGGAGGACUUACUGGAUGAGAUCGACACUGAAGCUUUGCGAUGCAAGCUGGAAGAAGGUGAAGGUCAAACCCACAAUUUAACCAAGAAGGUACGUGAUUUUUAUCAACGCAUGAAUGUUGAGAUGAAAGAUUUAUUAGAAAGAUUAGAACAAUUUGUACAAGAGAAAAGUGCUCUUGGUUUGAGAGAAGGUGCUGGGAGGAAGGUUUCACAAAGAAGAACAACUUCCUUGGUUCAUGAACCUUGUGUCUAUGGUAGAGAUGAAGUCAAAGAAAAUCUGUUACAAAGAAGAGGAUUUGCCGUCAUCUCUUUCUCAUCUGAGUAUCUCGCGGUGUCCUGCCCUGGAGAAAAGGUAUAAGAAUAAGACGGGACAAGAUUGGGCAAAGAUAUCUCACAUUCCUUGCAUCAAGAUAGGAUACGAACUGAUCAUAUAAUAUGAGCUAUUCCAUAUUUCACUCUCAACCCUCAACUCUCAAAUCAAAGUCAGGUGAGGUAUGUGCCUUCUCUUACUUUAAAAAACUGCUUCUCUUCUUCUAAUUGAAUACAAAAACCAAAACACAUAUUCUCUUUCUCUUCCAAAAACCCAAAUACAUGUUGAACAUUGCCAAAUUUGAUCUCCAAAUUCCUAAUUAUUUCACGCUUUUUGUUAUUUUGUUGCUUAGUAAAUUAUGGUUGCUGGUCACAAAUUAUAGUCUGUUAAUAGGUUCAUGCCAUGAAUUAAUCUUUGGACUUUCCCAGGUACUGCAGGUUUGUUAUUAAUGUUGUGGCCUGAUAUUCGUCGUAUCAAUAGGUUGUCUUACGUUGAGGAGAGAGAUCGAUCAGCAAUUACAAAAUUGUUAGUGAAUUUAGCUUGUUUAUCAUCUCUCUCCUUUUGUUUGUUAAGUUUGGUUGUUCUAGGUUAAACCCUUGUCCCCGCAUUUCACAGCAACUCUAUGUUAUUCCACUCUGUUUAGUUUCAUUUAUGUUGUGAUUCGACUGCUGCUGUAUUUUAGAUUUCGUUCAUGUAAUGCUAGGAUGUUUAAUCUCUUAUCUGUGGUGGUAGUUGAGUAGUCUAGCUAAUCCAAUGAUAACUUGUCCCCUGUUUUGUAUUGUUUUUAUUUCUCUGGUAAUGAAAGCACGUUUCUUAUAAAUAAAUAAAAAAUAUUUCAUUGAUAUUCAUUGCUUAUUUUGAACUGCAGAAGCCUACUUUUGUCAGAGUCAGUAGAUGCCAGAAUGAAGUCAUUGCCUAAACACAUUGGCACCCUCACAGCCUUCGACAUUUUGGGAUAUAUGAUCUUCAAAAUCUUGUGUCAUUUGCCUCCCAACCUGCAAUAUUUUCAUAUUUUAAAUUGUGACAGACUGAGCCCUUUGGUGGGAGAUUACUGGGGUUUGCAAGGACUUGGUGGCAAUAUCUUGUAGACGUUUCUCAAGGAACAGCUGCUCAAUACCACUCUUCACACUCUAUAUAUUAUGGCCUGUCAGUCUAUAAUUCCUGCCAGGAGAGGAACUUGAACGCCUCUCUUCGCUGCAAAGGCUACAUAUUUGUGGGUGUGACAAUAUCCAAUUCCUGCCAGAAGAGUGUUUGCUGCCAUCUCUUUCUUAUCUGUGCAUCAACCAUUGUUUUGCCAUGUAGAAAAGGUAUCUCACAUUCCUUGCGUCAAGAUAGGCGAAGAAGUGAUCAUAAGAUAUGAGCUCUCUCUCCCUCUCGCUCACAUACAAUGUACUUAACACAAACACUCAAUCUGAUUUCUAUUAUUAUUUUGCUCAGUAAAUUUUGUUUAAAUUUGCUUUAUUUCUCAUUGCACUUGUUCUGCUGAUCACAACUUAUAUCCUAUUUAAAUCUCAAAUGCUGAAUAAUGAGCAGUCUUUUCGCAGGACAACAUAUCUUCUCUUGGAGAGCUAUUCAUUUGCAAGGUUUCUUUAUGGGUCAUUUCCAGAGGAGGGUUUACUAUUUAAUAGAAAGGUUCACCUGGAAUAUCUCAACUGACACAUUCCCAAAUACAGGCAUUGAAUGCACAACAUUUUGAGGUACUAUUUUUGUAAUAAAAAUGUACUUGAGUCUCAUUUGAGCUAGUUUAAAUUGUAUUCAAUGUCUAUGGAUAACCUGUGAGCUUAAGUUGUAAGAUAAAACUCACAGUAUAUUAUUAGGGUUUAGGGUUCAACUGUUCAACAGGUGAGCUUAAGUUGUACUUUCCUAGGUACUGCAUGUAUAUAAUCUUAGUAUCAACACUUGGUCUUAUGUGGACAAGAGAGAACAUUUGAGGAAUUACAAAAUCUUCUUAGUGAAUUAAUGUUGUUUCAGCUCUGUUUGUCAUCCCUCACAUUUUCUUUGUUAAGCCUUGAUUUUUUAUUAGACAUAAGAAAAAAUGCUUUUAUAAGACAGGAGAUGAAUGCUUUUAUAUGUUGAUGUCGUAGUCAGUCUUCAACCACACUCUGUUUUUAGAAUUCAUUUAUGUUACUAGUUGAGUGCUGCUGUAUUUUAUAUUUCGUUCCUGUAAUGUUUGGAUGUUUAGCUUGAGCAGUCUAGCUUAUCCAGUAGAUAACUUGUUCCCUGUUUUGUAAUGUUUUUGUUUCCUCUAAUGAAAGCAGGUUUUACUUAUCUUGAACUGCAGAAGCCUACUUUUUGACAUAGGUGGCAUGGCACAAACUCGCAUCCGCAUUUCCUUCCCCAUUGGCAUGCUGUCUCAUCUUUUGUAUUCUGUUACCAGCUUGAAGCUUGUGUAGACAUGUUAUGCUCUUGUAAUUCUGAUCACAAACAUCACUUGACAAAUGGAAAGUCACAAUCAGAUCUUUCAGGUGAUCGGGAGGUUUACUUUCUAACAUUUGUUUUCAUUGGGGGGAGGACAACAAUACAGAAUUUAAAAUUUCUGAUAAUCAAUAGUAGUUUGCAUAUAUCAGCUGGGACCUGUAUGACUGUAUUAUGUAAUUAAUUAUUUCUCUUAUUGUUUUGGUACUGUUAAAAGGAGUUAGCCACAAAAUAAAAAAGGAGGCCUCUUAUUUCAUACAAUUUUUCAAAAGUGAUCAUUCAUCCGUUUCUUUUUCAACAAUAGAGGAAUGUAUACUAAUCGUCUGGUCCAUCUGCUGCUUCACUCCCUAGUAGCUUCAUCUCCUGUCCUUUGCUUUAUUUCUGUUGAUGAAUGUUUUGUCUGGGUUAUUUAUUUUCAUUUCAUGUCCAUUGCUUCAUUUCUGUUUGGAUUCUGUCCUGGACUUGAACAAGGGUUAGGUUAGCUGUAUAAUUUGCGGUUUUAUAUACACAACUGUCUACAUUGAUUAAAACCAGCAUUAUUCUAAGGUUCAUUUAGAAUGUAUUAUCACCAAAAUUAUAAAGUAUACUUCUAUUACAAUUAAUUUGUUGAUUCUAAUUUGGACUUGUAGGAACAGACCAAACAUGUUCAUACGUGGCAUUGCUCAAGUCAUCAUCAUUCGGGACAGAGAAUAAGCCUUCAAAUGUCUGCUGAGUCAAUGAACCUUUCUAGAUAUCUCAAGUGUAGUGGAAAUUGAUGAGUUACAAAGGAUUUUUAAACAUUUUCUACUGGAGGCUAGAAAUGCUUCAAAUAAAUGACUGUGUUGCAAUUAUUUUGUAGGAUCAAAGACUCUGCAAAGAGGUAAGAAAGUCAUCAUCAAGUAACUUUGCUCUUCAAACUUUUUAAUUUUAUUUUUAAAUAUCAGUAAUAACUGGGAAAGUUUGCAUUUCCUUAAAUUGCUCAUUCUUACAUCUUUUAUAGUUUGUUGAUCUUGGGCAAGUGGAGAGAGAGGCGUCAAGUGAUACACAACAACCAUUUUCUGUGAGCUGAUUUGAUAAAGAGAAAUGGUAUGCUUUCUUGUCUUAAGCGGUGUGUUCUGCAAUUAUUUGAAACAAAGGAUGCCGCACUUCAAGUUCGAGAAAAUCAGGUAUUUUAGUAUUUUAUUCUGGAGAAAUUUGAUUUAUGUAGAAACUUGAACAUGUAAAUGAGAGAAAAAAAAAUUUAUAUAUAUAUAUAUUAUAUUGUAUAUGCUCUUAAUGAGUUAAUAUGGUGCUUGCUCCUGGUUGGAAAUUUAUGUAGUCAUCUACCUAUGAUCAAAUAAAGAUGAAAAAUAAAAUAAAAUUGAGAGCAUCUUCCUCUCCCCUGCUUUGCUCAUCCCUUGUUCUUCCACUUCAGCCCCACUAUUACACCAUUUUUUCAGCCACAAUUAUAAUAGCUCCAUGAGCAUUAAGUCCUUUUCAAAUUCUGCUGACAUUCAAAAUUGGAAUUGCUGGUGAUAUAUGAUAGCAUCCUUGUCCGACCAAAAAGAAAAAAAAAAAAAGUUGAUAGCAUAUUGUACCAUUUUGGCCAGUGUACGCAAUAUUAUUGCAUCCAACUUUGCAUAUUAACAUCAGUGGCCACAGUUCCAUGAUUUGAGUGCACAGAAAGGUUUCAAAAGUUGUCCCACAAAGAACAGUCGUUCAAAGUGAAAGAGAGUUUUCAAAGCUUAGUUACAAGUUCAUGUUAUUUACAAUAUCAAAAAGCUUUCAUACUUGCUUACAAACCUGUAUUUCCAAGUUCUGCAAACCUUGGAAUAUCACUUCAUCCAAAUCCCCUUCCAAAGCAGGAAAAAUGGCAGCAGCUUUGAUUGGAGAGGCUCUCAUCUCUGCUUCUAUCGAGUUGUUGUGUGACAGAGUUACUUCAGCCGAGUUCAUAGACUUAUUUCAGCAGAAGAAACUUGAUGAAACACUCCUCAUGAACCUGAAGACGACACUGUUGAUUUUGUUUGCGGUGCUCAAUGAUUCAGAGGAGAAGCAAAUUGUGAACCCUGCUGUGAGAGAGUGGCUUAACAGCUCAAGCAUGCUGUCUUUGAUGCAGAGGACUUACUUGAUGAGAUUGACACUGAAGCUUUGCGAUGCAAGCUGGAAGGUGAGGAUGAAACCCACAAUAAUUAACCAAAAAGGAUCUUUUUGAUUGUUUGAAAGGAGGGUCUUGAUGAUUUGAAAGGAGAGGGUUGCUUUAUUUCUGUUGGAUGCUUAAUUAAAUCUUAUUUGGAGUUGAACAAGGAUUAGGUUAGCUGUAUAAUUAGUGGUAAACGCCUUUUUCUAAGGGUCAUUUAGACUCAUAUUACGAUUAAUUUGUUGUUUCUAAUUUGGACUUGUAGGAACAGACCAAAUAUGUUCACACGUGGCAUCGCUCAAGUCAUCAUCAUUUCAGACUGAAAAUCAGCCUUCAAGUGUCUGUUGAGUCAAUAAAACUUUCUAGAUAUAUCAAGUGCAAUGGAAAUUCAUGAGUUACAUAGAGAUUUGUAAACAUUUUGAAGAUUGCAACACCUGCAAGUGAGAUAGGCGGUGACGAAAUCAGAGAUGAAGCCUCUGAUGCCCCUGUUGUUGCAAGUUGCACCUGAGAACAUGUUUUUUUUUCUUCUUUGGGGUAAAAAACUGGCAACAUGUUCGGAGCUGACAAUUCAAUCCCUGAUGAACUAGAGAAGCAAAGCUCCGGUAAGGAAAUUGGUCAAGGUUGUGACAGGGAUGAUUGAUGGUGAAAUGGAUGCUAUUUCUUAUUGCAGCCUGUUCUUAAAGUUCUUGUUGGCAAAUGCAAGAGAUGGAGUAUUUUGAUUGGGAGGAGAGAUAAUGACAUGGCUUGACAAUUCUAGAACAGCCCAUCAUUAAUCCCAGAAAAAAUCCAGUUUCUGCUAAACAAUCACUUAUGGCAAGGCCAACUCUGUAAAUGGAAUUUGUGAUCCCUUCAAAUUGUACACAUUUUUUCUUUUUGAGGAAUUUAAUCAAACAGUAUUCUAAUGCAUUAUGAUGGCACUACACGCUUUUGUUGUAACAAAUUACAAGGAGGAAUUUGGAUUGAGUUUCUUGUAUAAGCACACCUUACACAAAUUUCGUAUAUUUUCUUCCAGCAAGUCUGUCUAUUAAACCCCUUAUUUGAAAUUAAUUGUUAUAAGUUUUGAUUCAUCUUUAAUCAGUGUCUUCCCCUUGUUGAAUAACACUCCUCUUUCUAAUUUAUAUUUGAAGUUUGAGGUUUCAAUUUCAAUUGUGGGUUUUGAUUUUACAGAUUUUGUUUGUCAAUUUCAGUUUGGACAAAGCAUAUGCAAUCAAAGUAAGCAUUUUAUGUUAUACUUUUGAACUAGGUGUUGAUUUGAUUUAAUCAUAAGUUUUGCUGGUGCAUUUACUAGGCUAAUCAUUCAAUACUUUUGAUCAUAGAACUUCUUUGGUUGAUAUUAUCUUUGUUAAGUUUAACCAUAACUUUAGAGAGGGGACUUAACAGAUUUAUAAUCUCAUCAUUAUAGUAUUAAAAAUUAGAGAUUAUUUAAGGCAUUGUCUAUUAUCUGAAUUCUGCUUACUUUUAGUUCAUAUGUUUACAUCUUAGCAUAUUCAUGUGAUUAGUGCGGCUCAUACCACAAAGGCAAUUUUAGGCUCAUCAAGUGCUAAGCAAUGUCAAGCUUCCAAGUGACAAGUUCUCUACAUAGUUUGAGACCUACACUUACUAGAUAUUAGAUCAUUUGGAUCAUUUCCAUAUGUGUAUAUGUAAUUGACAUGUUAUAACAUUUUUGUAGCGUUAUAUAAUUAUUUAGCAAUUUAAUUAUUUCUUUGCAACUUUAUUUUUUUUGUCAGUCAUACUAUUGUUGACUGCUAAAAACCAUCAAGAAAUAGUUCUUAAGUUAUAAAAAAAAAUUAUAAAAAAAAAGAUUUGUUGAUGCUUAAAAAGCAUCAAGAACAGAUAGUUUCUUGACGGUUUUGUGACGUUUCAUAACUGUAAGGGGCUUUUUCUUUCGACAGCUGUAAAUGGGCUGGGCUGCCGUAAAGGUCAAGACUGAUGAAAUUGUCCCUUUUUGUCUGAGCUCGAAAAUUAUGCCCCAAAAUACUUUGAAAGGGCAGCAGAGCCUUAGGAAGUAUUUUGGUUACCCUCACCAACUAAAACAACAACAACUUACAGGUAAUUUCUUAAUGCUUACAGAUGAACUCUUGUGCUUGGCAUGAGUGACAUGUGGCAUGGAAGCAAAAUCAACAUGAGUUUAGCACUGAGGCGAAAUUUAGGCUCUCUUGGGGGAAAAAGGGAAGUGUUAAGGUGAGAGAGGAGAAGUUUGUAGGAGAUUUAGCUAAGAAAGGAGAAAUAUAGAACAAUGCUCUUCUGGCAACUUGACAGAUGCUCUGUCUGCCAAAAAAGGAAGAUGGAGAAGAAAUGUGAAUAGUGCACGAAUUUGCUAGAUUUUUGCAGGUAAGAGAGGAAGCUUGCCCUAUGGGUCUGAGUUGAGUUUUGUUGGGUGGAAGAGACCUCAUUUUAUAGCCCCUGGAAACCAUCACUUCCCAAGAAACCCUAAUGGCUUCUACCUAUUUUGGCCAAGCUUUUCCCUUCCUUUCUCAUUUCCUUCCUUGAGUUUACCCCUUUUGAUGAAAUCCCAUCUGCCUAUUUGCACCAGAUCAAAGUUUUUUGAAGCUCAAGGCCCCCAUUUUCUUGCAGUUGUCUCAAUGGGAGACUUCCAUUCCCAGUCAUUCUCCUUUAUUGCUUUCCUUUCUUUUUUUCAUGGCCUAGUCUGGUGGGGAAAGGAGUUGGGAUAUAUAUGCUGGUUUGAAGGGUGCUUCUCUUCCUGACAUCUUACACACUAAUACCCCUUGGUUCCUUGAAUGUUUUGGCUUUGAAACUUGCUCCCCCCCUCCCCCCAUGUACUGGAACCUCCCAGCAGCUCUGUUCAAUGAAUUUUCAGACCUUUUCUUCAUGGCUUUUAUUUUUUUAUUAACUGGCUGGAGCUUUUGUGGCUCAUUGUGGCAAUUGUAUGGGCUAAGGUGGUUCAUUAAGUAAGUGAGCUAUUUUUAUUAAACAUUGGGCUUUUUGGUUGAGUCACUAGGCUAUUUUGAUUGGGCUAUUGGGCUAUUUUUUCCUUUCUUGUACUCACCCACAUGUUUGGACCAAAGAAAUGAGCUUGAGUCCUGAGGCUCCCAAGCGACCCGAGACUUUCCAUUUCUCGGCCCAUCAAUGGGCCUCAUGUUGAUUUAUUACCAUCCAUACCACAACCCACUCAAGCAAGCCCCGGGCAUUUGAGUGGCUUGGGCCCACUUAGGCUUGUAGUGUGGUUGGGUGCGAAAUGACGAUUUCGUGCUUGGCAUGUUUUAAUUUUAUCAUCCUUGGGAAAGGCUGCGAUGUUUGAUUUCGGCAUGGGCUUGUAGAGCUGGUAUGCUUUAUUUCAACUCUAGCAUGACGAAUUAUUUAUUUAGCAUGGCACGUGAAUUACAACUCGCAUGGGGUGGGUUUUUGUGUACUACACCUUACGCCUCUUCUUAAUAGAACAUCGUUUUGGGCUGAUAAUUUAUUCGGGCCCAACUGUGAAUUUUUUGGGUCUCAAUAAUAACCAUCAUAAAAUAUUACAUUUUGACUGACGUCAAGAAAUGGGGUAUCCCUUUCCUGAUAGUGGCAUCCAUGAUGCCUUCCAAGCCGUCAAUUAAGGGCUAUCGUGAUGCAUUUUAGUUGUCAGCAAAAGGUGUUUUUCUUGUAUUGUAUUCACUCAAAAUCAUGUUUCAUUUAAGACUAGUAGUAUGGUUGAAUACCAUUUGUUUUGUUAAAGAAUAUUAUACAUUAGGGAUUUUUGUAGAAAUGUCAUUUGAACUUAUACCUUAGUUUCAAUUUGUUACCUUGAAGAAAAAUUUAAGAGAAAUGUCACCUUAAUUUUUAAAAAUCCAUGAUUUGUUAUAUGACUUUAAGAUCAUCCAAUUUUCCAUCCAUUUUAAGGGGAUUUUAGUCUUUUCAUUUUCAAGGAAAAAAAAGAGAUGAAAAAAGAGACAUCUCUCUUACUUUGUUGCCCAACCCAACCCAACCCCACCCGCCCCCCAAAACCACAUAGGAUUGCCUCCCCUUUCCCCACUUUUCUUUUUUCUUUUUGUCCUACUUUUCCACUGUGUUUAUGUUGAAGGAUCUAAAGUUUGCUUGGUCACCAUCUGUUACGUAGGCUUCCCAAUUGUUGGUUUGGGUGGGUUGUGGGAAUUUGUGUGUGGAGGGCAAGACCCUAUCUGACAGGACCUGCCUCGAAUUCCUCGAAACCCGAGACGAAUCUUGUGGAAUUCCCGACAUUACACCGAUGUCGGGCCCACUUAUGAACUAAAUCCUCCUUUCCAAAAUUAAGGAAAAAGAGUACGAGGCUUUCUGCCGAAAUUGCGGCAGUGUCUUCCUUAUAAAUUUAACAUUUCAGCUUUGGUGGCCAUUCUCUCAUUUUAGCUUUGGUGGCCGGAUGAGAGAACGGCCGGCUAAAACGUGGCCAACUGGCAUUGCCGUCGCGAGAGAGGAGAGAGAGAGAGAGAUUUUUAUCAAACCAUUUUUGCCAAAAUUACGAUUAUGCAACUGAGGGUAUUUUGAUCGUAUCUUUUUUGUUAUAACUCCGAUUCAAGCUCACUACAUGCCUAUGGAUUCAUCUCGCCGUGCUUUAUGCAAUUGUAUAGUUGAAAUUCCCAAAUUCCAUCCCAGUCAAAAGUCAACUUUAAACCCUAUAAAAUAUUCUAGGGGAAGAAUGGUCUUUUAUCUAAUUAAAUUAAUAAUUGAAAAUUUAUUUAGGAUCGGGUCGUUACACUGUCGUUGAUGGACUGUGCGAUGACACUCACACAAAGUCCUUGAGAAUAAAACACACACACACCGUGAAGAGAGUAAAACAAAUACACAAGUACACAAAGAUUUAUAAAGGUUUGGCCUCCUGCCUACGUCCUUUUGGUGAUCCACCCGAGAAAUUCACUAGUAUGUAAGAACAACUUUGGUUACAACUAAACCCCCUUAGCUUUCAUAAGAACCCUAGAUCUCUUUUCUCCCACCCUUGCUCCAACCCUUUGAUGCCCUUGUAAACACUCAAGAAUUCACCCUUGAAUUCUGUCAUGUGUUACAUCUUCUCUUCUCCCCUUUGUUAACCUAACCCUAAAAGUUAUAUUUAUAAUUCAUAGGACUUUAAGUACAAGUUAACUAGGAAUAGGAAACAUAAAAGACCCCCAAAAUUGGAGAAAAUAUGUCUAGAUCUCGUUAGGAAAUUGCACAACACGUGCGAUCCGCUCGAGCGCCUGCAAAAUCAUCCCUUUGCCGCUCGAUCUGCCGAUAGCUCAUGGGAUGGGGGAAUUAGAGAUUUUUUUUUUUUCAAUUUUAAUUGUUUAAAAGAUAUACAAUUUUUUAAUAAUAAUUUUUCCAUUUUUAAAAUACCCUUGAAAAUAGAAAGAUUAAAAUGCCCUUAAAAAUGGAUGGAAAAUUGGAUGGUGUUAAGAUCAGAUGACAAAUCAUGGAUUUUGAAAAAUUAAGGUAACAUUUCUCUUAAAUUUUUCUUUAAAGUGACAAAUUGAAAUUGAGGUAUAAGUUCAAGUUACAUUUCUGCAAAAAUCCUUAUACAUUAUGAUAUUCUAACAAUAAAAUUGGCUAAAAUUGAUAUGUUCCCUCUUUUAUUUUCUUUUUCUCUUUUCCUUUUCAUUUUAUGAUCCAAUCCUUUUCAUAUAUUUUUGUUCAAGACUUUGUUUUAGAAUGCUCUAUUACUAAUUUGGUACAGGUCCCUAAAAUCUCAGAGCCGCCUUAGUACAUUCAUAACGUACAUGUUCAGAGUUCAAGAAUAAUGUAUAGAAUGUGAAAUUGACGAUGCCGGCCUUUAUGAGGCAACGUCUUUAUUUCUUUGGUUAUUCCAGUUUAGAAUAUUUGCACAAAUGAGAUGACUCCAAGCAUAAAGUCACAUUCGACCAAAAAGCAUGAAGUCACACACAAAAAGAACACGGACAAUUGCUAAGUUUAUCCUUGUACCCUUAUUAUCCGACCCAAUUGAAAAAUAAAAAAAGAUGAUAAAAAAUAUUGUUCACUGCUUUAAAAUCUAUGAGUAGAGUCCUCCAUUUGAAAUUUCGUCAUUAUACAAAAUUGGAAUGAAAAAAGAAAAUCCUACAGCUAAAUUUGAUAUAUUUCCUUUUCAUUUUAUGCUGGGUGUUAGGGCUCGUCAAUGGGCCGGGCCAGGCUAGCCCGGCCCAAAUUUAAUGGGCUUGGGCCAGGCUGGGCCAGGCUUUAAAGAGGAGAGAGAAAAUAUCAGGCCGAGUUUUUUAAGAAAAUUCAAAGCCCAAGCCCGACCCAUGAGCCCGGCUUGAGAAAGCCCAUCGGGCCGGCCCGGGCCUAAACAGGCCCUACUUCGUUAAAAAAAAAUCAUAAACUUAAUCAUAAGGUCAUUUUAGUCCAAAUUUGAGAUUAAACUCACUUAAUUCCAAUAUUUUCACUUCAAACCAAAUUCAUAAAACACCCAAUAAAGUCACACAGCUUGUAAGAUUUUCCACAAAAAUAAUAAAACCAAGUACUAUUUUUGAGGUUAUUACAUAAUUAGAUCGUAAUAUGUUUUAAGAAAUAAUUUUAAAAAAUAAUAUUAAUAAGUAUCAAAAAAAUAAUUUUUUAAAGGAUGGUAUGAAUAAAUAUGCAAAUAUUUGGUGAUGUGUUCAAGAAAAGGAUGAUUAUAUUUGGUGGUACGAUUAUGUUUCGUGAUAUGAUUAUAAUUAGUGAUGUGAUAUGUUGUUCAUCUUAUAUAUAUAUAUAAUUGUUGAAUUAAUAAUUGACACAAAUUAAUGUGUUAAUCAUCCAAUUAUAAACUAGGAAUGAAUAAAGAAAAGUAAAUGAAAUGAAACAAAUUAUAUAUGUGAUUUAAGUGAUAUAAUCCUAAACCUAAACUCUUAUUUAUACAUAAUUAUAUAUGUAUGCGGGCCUAACGAGCCGGACUUUUGUGGGCGGGUAGGGCCGGGCUUUAUUGGGCUUAAUCGGGCUUUAUUGGACUUAAUCGGGCUGGGCCUAUAGGUCGGACCGAGCUUCAGACAUCCAAGCCCACGCCUAGCCUCGCCCGCCUUGGGCCGGGCCAUUCUUUUUUUGGGGUUCUAUUUCUCUUUGAAUUAACUGCUGAGUUUCAUGAACAUGUCCUCCUUUUGAAAUUGUGUAUUAUUCAAAAUUGGAAUUUGCUGGACAUACUUGAUAUUUUCGUGAGUAAAUUCUGAUUUGGUGGUUGUGCUCGUCACAAAUCAAUGAAAUGACAGCAGUGAUUUUGCAAGACAGCGUACCUUCUCUUGGGGUGCUUUUCAUUUUGCAACAUUUCUUUACGUGUAAUUUCCAGAGGAGGGUUUAUCAUUGUAUACAGCUCUUCGGGUGGUUUUUCUACAAAACAAAUGUCACAAAGAAGGAGGAGAAGCGGAAAAGAUUUACUUGGAAUGUCUCAAGUCUCCUUUGAGAUAAAGGCAUCGAAUGCACAACAUUGUUUUUGUGCUAUUUCAUAAUUAAAGUGUGCUUCCCAAGUCUCCUUUGUGUUUUGUAACUUGUAAUGUUUGUUUUUUUGUUUCCCAUGUUUUGUCUCUUAUAAAAGAAAGGCUUUUUAUCACAAAUGGUCCUUCAGGUUUACAAAAUUAUCACAAAUCGUCCUUCAAGUUUUUUUGUGACACUAAUAGUCCUUCAGGUUAUCAUUUACCCAUCAAAAUGGUCCUUCUGUCAGUUUCUGUCAAAACUGACGUUAAAUUCCUGUGCUCAGCCUGCUUUUGAAAUGAUAAUCUCAUCUUUUCCACUCAACCUUCAACCAAACUCAACUGUCAGAACCCUUUCCCUCCAUUUCCUCAUGGUCCUUCCAGUUUGGCGCCCCUGUAAUAUAUAACCAAUCUUAAAAAUUAAACUUCUGAAGAAAUUGAAACAAUCCAAGCUCAAGAGAAAGACCAACAAUUGAGAACUGCAGAGAAAGAUCAAACUCAUGGAUCAAUAUGGUAAAGCCAAAUUGAAAAACAUAAUUUGCUAAAGAUAAAGCCAAACUGAAAAACCAAACUGAAAAACAUAAAGAUAUCAUUGACAAAUAUAAAAAGUUAAAAAAUAUUGCACAAUCAAAAUACAACCACAUGUUUCACAAAACAAAACAAAACAACCACAUUUGCAGACAAGCUGUAGUUUACACUUUAACAAAGAUUAAAAAACUAACCUGUAUACUUUGGUUGUUUCCCCCCCUUUCGAAAGAACUCCUCGGACUCAUCCAUCUAGUCACUUUUGUAAGAAGAAUAAUGCGUAUUUGACUCUUACGAACCCAGAUAUUCCUUUUGCAGACCAGCUUUAUCAAUUAAAAACCCAAAAAACCUUAAUUGUGCAGGGCCCGAGGAUGAAAUGGAGGGAAAAGGUUAUAUAUGCGGUUUAGAGCGCCAAAAUGGAAGGCCCGAUGAAGAAAUGGAGGGAAAGGGUUAUUUCAGUUGGGUUUGGUCGAAGGUUGAGUGGAAUGAUGCGAUUAUCAUUUCAAAAGGCAGGCUGAGCACGCGACUUUAACGUCAGUUUUGACAGAAACUAACAGAAGGACUAUUUUGAUGGAUAGAUGUUAAACUAAAGGACUAUUAGUGACACAAAAAAACCUAAAGGAUGAUUUGUGAUAAUUUUGUAAACCUGAAGGACCAUUUGUGAUAAAAAGCCUAAAAGAAAUACAGGUCCAAACCACACGGAUCUACUUGCAUAAUAAUGGACCAAAUUUAUGAUUUUUAGAAAGAACCUUCUACUGGUGGAAUCUUGGGCUACUGUUGUGGCUCUCCUCUGUGUGCCUCCUUUUUAGAACGAUAAAAUAUUCAAAAUACCAGAAAAUGUUCAUGAUUAAUGCAAAUAUUAAGAAUUGAAAUUAUUAAUUAAAUGAAGAUAAUAUGGUAAAUUCACACUUUUUCAUAUUAAAAAAAUUAAAAUUAAAAGAAAUAUCAGAUAAUUACUCUUAUUUUUAUGGAACACAGCUACCCAUUAUCUUUUUUAAUUAUAAAAUAAAUUUAAAUUAAAAAAAAAAUCUCUCUCACAGACACGGAAGCGCGUGCUCAGAGGCUAGUUAAAAAUAAUGAACUUUGCUUUUGAAGACGUCUAUACCAGACCCACUCAACCUGCUUUAUGAUUAUGCAAAGAACAAACUCGUCCUUAGACUCAUUUGGUUAAACUUAGAAAAUAAUGAAACAAAAAUAUACACACCCACAAGUAACACAGCCAGGAUUGAAAACAACUGGAAAAAGAAAGGCAUGUCAAAACAAAAUUUUCAACAACUCAUCACCAUUAGACAAGAAAAAGAAAAAUCAAUACAGAAACAGAAAGAACAGAGAAUAAAUGUGGUGGAAGAAAAACGUUGAAGCCAUUUGUGAAUCCAACAACACUACCACUCUGUUUCUCUCCUUUUGUUCAGGCGGAUCUGCAUAUAUCCUAAGGCGUAUUACGGAAACAACUUCUUGCGGUUAUACUUGAAUGUUGUGGAUGCUUCAACGUUGCCAUCUGGGUGGAGUGGAUUUGUCCAAUUCACCUUCACUAUGGUUAAUCAACUAGACAGACAUAAGUCAGAAACAAUAGGUAUAUACGUCCAAAUUGUUGUUAUUUGAAAGGUUCUAAAUUUUAACAUUUUGUUGUAAAUGUGGAGAGAAAAAGUAGAGAAUUGGAAUAGAGAGGAGAGACUGAUUUUCUCAUUCAUAUGUUCAGAUGAAUGUCUUCAGUGUAUAUUUUACAAGUAGGGGGAGGUAUCUAUUUAUAGGCUAAGGUUUUGGUAAAAUACAGGGAAGGAAAGUUCCUGGAAGAUGCAAGGAAACUUCCUCUGUGGGCUCCACCUUCAAACUUUUACAACACUCCCCCUUGGAGACCACAAAUGAUAUGGAAUAUGCCUCGUUAAAAACCUUGCCAGUAAAAACCCAGUGGGACAAAAACUGGUCAAAGGGAAAAAGAGUACAUAAUGAUGUGUAACAUAAAAUUCUGUGUAUAUUGACGCGCGUGCGACACUGCCUCGUUAAAACCUUGCCAGGAAAAACCCAGUGGGAUGAAAACCUGGACGAAGGAAAAAGAGUACAGUGUUUGAAGAUCUUUAUUGAUAGCAUGCUCCCCCUGAUGCUUGGUAAAAUAUCUUUAAGUCAUACUGUUGAUCACCUUUCUGAAUAUCGUAGUUGACACUGCUGCUGUGAGUCAAUCUUGAGCGACACUGCCUCGUUAAAACCUUACCAGGAAAAACCCAGUGGGAUAAAAACCUGGAUGAAGGAAAAAGAGUACAGUGUAUGGAGGUCUUUAUGAAAAACCACGCUCCCCCUGAAAAAUAUCUCCCCCUAAAAAAUUUCAUGACUAGCUUUUCCAGUAUGCGACCAUAGAAAUUUUCAUAGUAUACUCUAAACCCUUGAGCGACACUGCCUCGUUAAAACCUUACCAGGUAAAACCCAAUGGGAUAAAAACCUGGAUGAAGGAAAAAGAGUACAGUGUGGAGCUGACCUCUAUCUGGUCUAGUAUACUUCCGGAAAAACAUUUAAGGUGUCCAACGGAUAAUCCUCAUAAAAAUGCUUCAAUACUUUCUUAGUAUAAGCAAGAAUCUCGUUGGCAUAAUGCUCGAUCUUUAAGUCGAGACAAAUAUUUCGUGACUUCUGCAGAAGCUUUAAUGUGUUGCAAACACAUUAUAAACAAUGUACUCACUGAGGUAAUUUAUGCAUAUUAAUAUUGAGUACAAAUUUUGUGCUUCAAGCACAUGUCCUUUAGGGACUUGCUUUAUGCAAUGUCAAUCCUCUCAACGGAUUUUGUUUAAAAGGGGAUUAAACUUUAUGACACAUUAUAUAGCUUUAACCCAGCUAUUUAUACAUCUUUAGGGAAUCACUUCAAGUGAUAUGCUCUGUGCAUUUAAUAACCCUUAAAGAUAACAUGUUGGUCUCCGUAAUUGUGCAGUAAGGGGGGAGGCACAAUUGAAUCUGUAAAUAUGGAAAAGACCCAACAUUCAUUGUUUCUGCCAGAAACAUUGUGUCAUACAAAGUAGGUAUAUUCCCUUUUAUUCCGAACACCCAAGUAUAAGUUUCAAUAUUAACAUCUUUUGGGGUUCGUACUGUGGGUUUGUUCUUUCACGUUCAUUCUCAUCUAUAAUGGAAUUACCUCUUUCCAUUUUGGCCAAUGAUAUUGUCGACAUCUAAUAAUUGAACGUGGUUCCAAUCAACACAGCCCAUUGAUGAUUUGAGUAGCUACUCCAAAACCAAAAAUUGUCAUUCAUCAAUUCAUUAUCCCACCAUUCUCAUGUGCAUGCGCAUGCAUCAAUUAUAAGCAUUUCUUUGCUUUUGGGUACCCAAGCCACUUCAGGGGGCUUUUAUUAUGUGAGAAUGUGGAUUAUAACCUCCAAUGGAGCGUUAUUUUGCAGUAGGGCGUGGAUAAUCUCCAUUUAGGGAGUUGGAACAUUUAGAACCCAUAUAUCUGUCAUGCUGCAGGCAUGCCACAGAUUAAUACAUACAUGUCAAUUAGUUUAUGGGACUUUAACCCAUAUGAUGGGACUUUAACCCAUGUAAUUUGCUACGCAUUCGGCGUGCAUAAUCUCAAUAUUGACAUGUCAAAGGAUUGUCCAUUCGGGACUUCAAUCCACAUCAUUUGCUACGCAAUAGGCGUGCAUCAUAUUGAUCACUGCUAUACCCAUAUUCUGUUCUUAUGGGACUUUAAUCUGUGCAAUGUAUUAUCAAUGUAUCCAACUUGCAAUCUGUAAAAUUUGCAUUAAUAAUACAUGGAUACAUACAAGCCAUUCUUUUGGGACGGACUUAUCUCCCCAUUUGGUUACCUUUCAAUAUAAAAUAUCAAAUAGGUAUAUAAGCAUAAAAUAACACAAGUAUUGCUUACAUCCUUAGGUGGGAGAAACUUUUCUCAAGUAUCGCUUGAUGAUCUUGUUAUAUCCUGCAAGAGCAAAAAUCACAAUUCCUUUCUCUGUCAAAAACAAAUAAGAGGAAUAGGUAGAACCGGUGAAUUUCAAAUUAACCAUAGGAAAAUUGCGAGAUUCUCGGGAUGCUUUUGAAAAAGUAGCUCCGUGAAAUCCGUAAAGCAAGAUUGGCUUUGAAAAUAAUACUUGAAAACGCCGAAAGUGCCGACAGGCAUUAUUAGAGGCCACGUGAAGUUUUGGACUUCUAGGAAAGAAAAAGAUAAUAUGGGGAUUCGAGAAGAUAUUGGGGUCUUGAAAAACAGUAGCCAUAUUUCCUCCUAUAGAUAUGGCCUUUGCAACAAUUGCGCACCUUCUUAAACUUGCACCUGUGGUUUUUACGCCUUUUCAAAAUGACGGUUUGGAACCUUGUGCCUUAUAGGUUCAAAUAACCACAUUGUUUCUCCCAAAUUUCAUAUUUUAUCGCAUGGUAGCCCGAAACUUUUGGCCUGGGCACAAAUUCAGAAUUUAUUUGCCCUUUUCAAAUGGACAUGAAAUAUGAAUUGAGUAAAAGCCAUGAUAAUAUCGCAAUAUAGUAGUGAAGAGCAUUAACUACUAUAUACCCACAACUUCAAGUUCAGGAUCUCUCAUAUAUUUGGAUCCAUGGGUUUCCGGCCCAGAUAUAACAAAAUAUGUGGGGAGCCUCAAUUCAUCAUUUGAGGUUCAUACUGAUAUUAUCCAUUUCACGGUGUAUUCUUGACAACCGGAAUUCACAAAAUAUAUUUCUUCCUUGAAGUGUCGAUUAUAACAAAAUCGAACUUUAAAUUCAUCAUCUUCUUAUGCCAAAGAAAUAUGUGGCAUACCACAAUUUGCAAUAAUACCUCAAGGGUUGUCCAUUUAAUUGUUGGAACUUCAGGUUCUCAACACUGUUAGAUUUUGAACUUCUGGCCAAAAUCACAUAUUCUCAUGGUAUGGACAUUCAAUCCCCUUAGAUUUUGAACUUCGGGCCAAAAUCACAUAUUCUCAUGGUAUGGACAUUUUUACAAUUUUCUGUACAUAUUUCUGGACUUCAAGCCCUUACAUAAUUGUCCAUAUUUUGAGGAACUUCUGGCAUCUCAUUUAAUUGCUCAUCCAUGAGUUUAAGGAACUGCAGGUUCCCUUUUGAAUGGUGAUGGUUUACCCAAAAUGGUAAAUACUUAUGCAUACAUCACUAUUCAUGUAUACGGCACUAUUUAUGUAUACAGUACAUUUGCCAGUACAGUUAUCAUCCAUGUGUACGGCAUUAUGAACAAAUACGGUACUGUUACAUCAUUAAGGAACCCCAUGUCCUUAUUUACAUGUCAGGGAUCAAGGACCCUCAAGUCCGAUCACAUGUUUACAAAUAUAGUACCGGAGAGACUGCCAGCUCUCAUAUUAACAUCAUCAUCAAGGAUCUUCAAGUCCUGAUGUAAUUGUAUGAUGAGGAUCAAAGAACUUCUGGUCCUGAUCUGUAUACUGUAAAAACUCAUCAUACAGCACAUUUAAUCCAUAGAAUAAAUUGCUGGUAAAUAAAUUACUGGUAUGGACGAUAAACUCGCACCAUACUUUAAAUAAAUAUUGCCUUACAUACACUUACAGCAUCAAUAAUUGAUAUCCAUCCAUGAUCCACCUGUAUAAAUGUAUAUAUAUAUAUGUAUAUAUAUAUAUAUUAUUUUUAUUUGGACUUAAACAGAAACAGGCAUUUUCUAUAGCUGUAAGUAUAAUUGUACCUGCCUACGCUGAAGAUUCCUUUCAUUGUUGCAGGAUGGUGGGCAUUCAGUUUAAAUAAAGCAAACACACACAUUUCAAAUUUUAAUUGAAUUUCAAAUUAGCAGUUUACUUACAUGCCCAUCCAUGACGUAAAAAGCAGAGACAAGUGAUUGUCUUUCGACAAUGACAUGAUAUCACAGUAGUGGGGAUAACGCUAUGAUAUUGGCCGAUCGGCUUCGCUGUAUCCCUGCACACCUUUAAUAAUUAUAUAAUAUUAAAAUAAUAUAAUUAUGUACCUGCACUAUAGACCUGCAUCUUAAGCUUCUUCCCUUUAUGGGGUCUGCCGCUUUGCCUUUUGUUUCCUUUGCUUUGCUUUCCACUGAAGCAAGUUGGCCAGCACCAAUAAUGCCGCCCACAAUGCAAAAAUCAAGUUGGCCAGCACCAAUAAUGCCGCCCACAAUGCAAAAAUCAAGUUGGCUACUUUUGCCUGUUGCUUUCUCAAUUUCCUCCACCCUUUCAUUGUCUUUUCUUCUUUCACUACUUCUCAUCUUCUGCCUCUCUCUUGCCUUUUUUUUUUCUUUUUUUUUUUUUGUAUUCGAUUUUCUGGCAAGCCUCCAAAGACAGCAACGACCAAGUUGCCUUGUCAUGGCUGGCGGCCAUUGCAAAAGCCUUUUCCAUGAAGAAAUGGACUUGGACACGAGGCUGGUUGAUUAUGUAGUUGGAGAUGAAGAAAGCAGCUGACAGUCUAGGGAGGGAGCGAACCAGAGAGUUUGUUACUCCACUGGUGUGGUUGGGAGGUAGGGAUCGUCUGUGGUUGGUACAGAGUUUUCUUCCUCAGCUCAAGCAAGGCAAUAGAGGUAGGUUUGUUUGCUCAGCUCAGCUCAACCUGUGCUCUCUGUGUUUGUUUGCUGGGUUAUCUGGGAGAGUAAUUUUCUUCGGGUUCGGUUCUGGUAUGCUUUUGCAUAUAGAAAACAGAGAACCCAGAAAGGAAAUCCAAGAGAGAGACUUUGGUUGAGAAAAUGGCAAUUUUUGAGAAAAAUGGAGAUGCUGAGGUUGGUUGGACAACACCGAAUGGAAGUUGUUGGGCUCGGAGCAGAGAAUUGGUUCUCUAGAUCGGAGGUUUUGUGUGAAAUUUUACUGGCAAGCAAUCCGUGUGGCUCUGUACAAAACUGGGUUGGUUUUGGGUGGGCAAUCUGGGCUUGGUUUCGAACUGGGUGUCUUGAUCAAUUUCUGGGAUCAAGAAAUCAGAGAUUUCAGCCGGUUAAAGACUCGUGCUGAUAUCGUGUUGUAAAUGUGGAGAGAAAAAGUAGAGAAUUGGAAUAGAGAGGAGAGACUGAUUUUCUCAUUCAUAUGUUCUGAUGAAUGUCUUCAGUGUAUAUUUUACAAGUAGGGGGAGGUAUCUAUUUAUAGGCUAAGGUUUUGGUAAAAUACAGGGAAGGAAAGUUCCUGGAAGAUGCAAGGAAACUUCCUCUGUGGGCUCCACCUUCAAACUUUUACAACACAUUUUGAUUUUUAAAUUUUGUUUUAAUAUUUCGGCCCACUUAGUUCUUCUCAAAAUAUGUCAUCAAUAUCGUUGAAAGGUUGAACUUAGUGAAUUAUUAUAGUGCAGUACGGUAGAAUAAGCACAUGAUAUAAUUUGUCCACAUGUUAUAAUAUAAGUGAAUAUUUAUUGAUAUUAUUUCCAAAAAUAAGAAAUAUCAACAAUUAUAUCCUCCUAUAUUAUAAUACAUAUACAAAUUAUACCACAUUAUCAUACUCUAAUACCAUUUUAUAAUUUCUCGUACUUAGGAGGUAUAGAGCGAGUCAAUGACAUUACAUAAUAUAUAAUUGUUCAUAUAAUGGGGCAACUAACGUGAUCAACAAGUUGUGGUGAUUAAUUUAACAUAAUAAAAAAUAUACCAUUUACUUGAGUGAUGUAACAAUUUGUUCUUUUAAAUUGGAUUGCCAUCACUUUAAUAUGUUAUGUUUCUUAUUAUAGUCUCCCAUGUUAAGUGCUUCAGCAUUGUUUGUGGUGUGUACACAAAUUUUCUUAUAAAAUGUUUUAAUGCUUCUCACAUGUAUAUCAGAUAUAGACAGUUGAUGUGACUUAGAAAUCAAAUUGUCAAUAAAACAAAAAAAUAUAAUUGGUGAUCGAGGUCCAAUUUAAUAGAAAAUAGUCUUAACUUGCAUAUUAAAGGUCUUAUAUUCGAAUCCUCACUGCAUUAUUGUUGUAUGCGUACACAAGAAAUUCUCUUCCCCAAUAAUUUAGACUAUCACUUAUACUAAAAAUAUAUAUAUAUAAUGACUUUUACGAAUGCAAACAUAAAAUUACAUCAAACAAUAAUCACUACUACAAAAAAGCAAAAAGACGACGGUAAAUCACCGUCGUGUAUUGGGGUUUUCAAUGGUCGUGGAAUCCACCGUCAUCUUUUCCCUCAUAAACCACGACGCUAAAUAACCGUCGUUGUUAAAAUAUACAACGUCAUCAACAAAUACAAAACGACGUCUUUGUACUGCAAAAAGAUCUAAAAAAAGCAAUCGAGGAUGAUAAUAGACGACCAACUCUCUAAAAAAACCGUCGUUAAAAAGAAAAAAUAUGACACAUAUUAAGAGAACAAGGCCGCAAGAUAGACAUACAACGACGAAAAUAAAAAUACGACGACGUUAAAUAUAAUUUUCACGACAAUAAAAAAUAUGACGUCUUUAAAUACAUUAGAAGACGACGUUAUUGAUACAUACUACGUCGCAUAUAUAAAAACAACCGUCGUAAAAUUAAUUUUCCACUUCGAUUUUUCGAUAAAAGAUGACGUGGAAAUAGUUGUCAGUGUCAUUAUUUACGACGUAUGUGUUUAUAGAUUAGACGUUGAAAAACUAAACAACGUCGGUUACAAAUAUAUGAGAGUCGUAUUACAAAAUUUAUACGUCCUAUUUUCAGAAACAAACAACGACGAUAAAUAUUAGACGUUGUUAAACAAAACAACGUCGGAAAAAUAAAAACAGACGUGUUUAGUCUGCUAAAGUUCUAGAAAAUAGUCGAGGAUGAGAAUAGACAACCAACUCAAAAAAAUCACCGUCGUUAAAAAGGAAAAAUCUGACACAUAUUAAAAGAACAAGGCCGCAAGAUAUACAUACAACGACGACAACUAAAAUACUACGCCGUUAAAUAUAAUUUACACGACAAGAAAAAAUAUGACGUCUUUAAAUACAUGAGAAGACGACGUUAUUGAAAUCUACUACGUCUCUUAUUUACAAAAAACCGUCGUGAAAUAAAUUUUCCACUUCGAUUUUUCUAAAAAAGAUGACGUGGAAAUAGUUGUCAGUGUCAUUAUUUACGACGUACACAUUUAUAUAGUCGACGUUGUAUUUAUAUGUAUUCAUUACUCACGACGCACUUAAUAAUAUAGACGACGUUGAACUUCUAAACAACGUCGGUUCCAAAUAAAUGAGAGCCGUAUUACAGAACAUAUAGACGGCGUAGAUUAUGAUGAGAGCCGUAUUACAAAUAACGUCGUUUAAUUGUUAUUAGACGGCGGUUAUAAUGAAUUUCCGUCGGAAUUCAUUUCGUUCCUCUUCGUUUAUAAAAGAACUUGCGACGUGGAAAAUGUAUGAUGACGUCGUAUUUUUUAACGUUCAGAUUAUAUAUCUCGUUUUUAGACGUCGGUAUUAUGGGAUUGGAGUCGUGUUAUUUUGAAUUACAUGGCGGUUCUUAAUCCUUCACCGACGUGAUAUCCUGAAUAAUUGCUUCACAAUAGCGUCGUGGUUCUUCAUUGUUACGUUGCUUUAAGACGUCGGUAAAUAUGCUGAAUAACUGAUUCACAAUAACGUCGUGUUUUAUUUGAACGUAGAAAGUGAAGAAAUCACAUUACAAUAUAUUACAAAAUUAAUGUCAUACACUGCCAAUUACAUAAGCAUCAUUCAAUCCAUAUAUCUUCACACCCAUCUCGAAUAUUUUGACCGCCUAACUCACCCACCAGUUCAUCAAAUGUGUCAACAUUUGGCAUCCCUCUAGUAAAUGGCUCACACUCAAUUAUCACAUCACCUAAGACUUCAUCACCAAUAACAUCAUUAUAUUCUCUAUUAGGCAUUGAUAACACUACCGACCAACCACGAUGCAUCGGGUCGUCAACAAAAAAUAUUUGUUUGACUUGAGAAGCCAAAACAAAUUGGUCAUUCCUAUGUCCAAUUUUACUCAAAUCUACAAGGGUAAAUCCAAGUUCGUCGACUACAAGACCAGAACUAUCUAUCCAAUCACACCUAAAGACUGGGAUUGUAAACUUUUGGUAGUCAAGGUCCCAAAUUUCUUGAAUGACACCAUAGAAACCCAUAUUUGAGAGAAUUGGGUUUUUAUCCUUGGCACUAGCAACUUGCAUGGUAUGUGCAAGUAAAUAAACUCCACUAUUUUGAGUUGUCCGCACAUCAUCUUGUGCCUUGAUAUUGAAUUUAAUACCUUUAAUAAGAUAGCUCCUAUAUAAUGGCACUGACAUGUUUGGACCAGCUGCUAGCCACCUUAAAUUUUCUGAUACGCCAUGAUUGUCUUCCUCAAGUUCACUUUGAACCUGCAAAUUAAUCAUAUCUUAAUUCAAUCUAACAUAUAAAUAAGAAGAAAAUUAAAAGAGAAAUAUGUUAUUCAACAACAUAUACCUUGAAGCGUAGCCAUUGAAUGAAAGUGCUAUUGUGCUUAUCCUGCAGCCACUUUGUUCUCUUUCUAAAUUUUGGAUAAGCAGUCUUGAUGUGGAUCAUAUGUUGCCCACAUGACACGAAAAAUUCAAGCAUUACGAUCCUAAAUAUAGAAGAUAAACAUAAGAAAUAAUUUAAAAUGGAAACUUAAAGAAUAAAGCUCAUACGUACUCGAUAUAAGGUAGGACUUCCUCCGUAUUCUCCAAGACAUAUAGAUGUGCUUGAUUCAACAGGUCCUGAUCAACUACGCUCACUGUGCAACCUGAUAAUGGCUUUGAAAGCCCCAUCUUUUGGCUUGAAGGCACUCCAACUGUACUAACAUCAGAUAAAUGCUGAGUACAACACUCUACCGCUUCUUCAGCUAUAUACCGCUCAGCAAUGCAACCUUCGGGACGAGUACGAUUCUGAACAUACCCCUUCAGCACUUUCAUAUAUCUUUCAAACGGAUACAUCCACCGAAAAUAUACUGGCCCACAUAGACGAACUUCUCUGACAAGAUGUACUACUAGAUGAACCAUGAUAUCAAAGAAUGAAGGGGGAAAGUACUUCUCAAGCAAACACAGAGUAACUACUACAUCUUCUUCCAACUUAUCUAGCUUGGAAACAUCAACAGUCUUUGCACAUAUAGCAUUGAAGAAGAAGCACAAACGAGUUAUUGCAUACCUUGCAGGCUUCUCCAAAACAGAACGAAUUGCCACAGGGAGCAAUUGUUGCAUUAAGGUAUGACAAUCAUGUGAUUUAAGGCCAAGAAGUCUUGAAUCUUGUAAAGAUACAAGAUUUUUAAUAUUUGAAGAAUAACCUUCAGGGACCUUCAUACCAUAGAAAGAAUUGCAAACCUCUCUCUUCUCUACUCUUGACAAAUUCCAAGGCCCAGGAGGCAAACGAGUACGUCUUUCUCCAUACUCGGGUUGCAAAUCAGUUUUGACCCCCAUGUUCAAUAAAUCUAAUCGAGCAGCAAUCCCAUCUUUAUUUUUUCCAGGGAUCUCCAGCAAUGUACCAAUGAUACUAUCACAAACAUUCUUCUCAAUGUGCAUAACAUCUAGGGCAUGCCUUACAGGAAGGUAUUUCCAAUACUCGAGAUCAAAGAAUAUUGAUUUCUUCUUCCAACAAACUCUGUCACCAUUUUCAACCAUAUGCAGCACUUCUUCUCCGGUUAAUGGCUCGGGAGGUAUGCCAUAUUCAGGUUUCCCAUUAAAAGCUGCACGUUGCCUCCUAUAUGGAUGAUUGAUUGGUAACCAUUUUCUAUGCCCAAUGUAACAAAUUUUGUGGCCAUUUUUCAACCUGUGACUAGGUGUAUCAUCGCCGCAUAUUGGACAAGCUUUAUAUCCUUUAACAACACAACCAGAUAAGUUUCCAUAGGCGGGGAAAUCAUUAAUUGUCCACAUUAAUGCAGCUCUGAGUGUAAAGUAUUCUCCAUUAUGUGCAUCAUACACUCCUCUAAUCCCAUCCCACAAAGAUUUUAAAUCAUCAAUCAAAGGCUCCAAGUAGACGUCUAUAUCAUUUCCGGGUUGUUUAGGACCGAAAAUCAAUAAGGUUAACAUCAUGAACUUUCGUUUCAUGCACAGCCAUGGAGGGAGAUUAUAUGUAACUAAGAUAACCGGCCAACAACUAUAUCUGCUACUUAGAGAACUGUGGGGAUUGAAUCCAUCAGAUGAAAGAGCCAAUCUCAAGUUUCUCGGCUCAUUACCAAACUCAGGCCAUUUAUCAUCAAGAAGUUUCCAAGACGGGGAAUCCGCCGGAUGAGACAUCUGACCGUCAAUUGAUUUUCUAGGAGCAUGCCAAGUCAAACUCUUAGCUGUCUCAUGUGAUUGAAACAUCCUUUUAAACCUUGGAAUUGGAGGAAAAUACCACACCACCUUCGCUGGCACACCCUCUUUCAAGAUUGAAUCUUUGCCUUCCUUCCACCUUGAGAUACCACAAGUAGGACAAUUAGUUGAAUCCUCAUACUCCUUCCUAUACAAGAUGCAAUCAUUGGGGCAUGCGUGCAUUUUCUCAUAACUCAGCCCCAAUGCACACAAAGUCUUUUUAGCCUCAUACAUAGAGGUUGGUAUUGUAUUUCCUUAUGGAAGCAAAUCGCCUUGAAGUAUCAAUAAUUCUGUAAAACAGACAUCACUCAUCCCAUGUUUUGCCUUCAAAUUAUACAACUUCACUAAUGCCGAUAACUUCGUGUACUUUCUACAACCAGGGUACACUGGUUGAUCUCCAUCCCCAAUCACAUUGGCAAACUCAUACGGAUCGGAACCAAAAUCAUUAUCAUCCAUAUCAAUUUCUUCAGACACAAAACUGUACCUACUAUGGCCAUCAUCUUCUUCAACAUUUCUACUAGCAUUAGUAGUUGCUUCCCAAGGUUCUCCGUGAAAUGUCCAAUUCUUAUAGCUUUGGUCAAUUCCAUUAAAGUAUAAGUGAUCCCUUAUAAUUCCAACCCCAAACAACUUCAAAUUAACACAUUUAACACAUGGACAACGGAUAUGUGUUGUAGUUAGAAGAUUUUCUACAGCAAAGUUCAAAAAUGCUUCCACCCCAAACUCAUAUGCCUUCGAUCUUCUAUCCGAGUGCAUCAUUGACUUAUCCAUCUCCGACACUAUAACCUAUUAUCUAUAAUAAAGUGAAAAUACAGGCAAUGACCAUCACUAUAGCAGAUUAUACAAAGAUCUAAUAGCAAGUAAUACACAACAAAGACGACGGGUUUUAAACAAAAACAGACGUAUUUGGCAUAUAUAGACGACGGAUUUUCAACAGACGUCGUCUAAUAUAAGUAAUACAAACGACGGUUUAUGAAAAAACCGUCGUGUAUAAGUAAUACAACGACGGUUUUUUCAUAAACCGUCGUGUAAUCGUCGGCGUAUGCCUAAAAAGGCGUCGUGUCUCAGUUUAUUUUCAAGAACCCAAAACCCAUUAAGAACACAACAUAUAUAUGAAACCAAGCAAGAAAACAACAUAUACAUGAAACCAAGCAUGAAAACAAUAAAUCCAUUCCCAAUUCAACAUAACAUAGGGUGAUUAAAAGAUCCGACAAAAUUAAAUCCAUUCCCAAUUCAACAUAACAGAUAAUGUAAUCCAUGAACCCAUUAAACAGAAAAUCCAUGAACCCAUACUUAUAAGCACAUUAUUAACAGAUCGCAAAGCAUAUACCUAAAACCCUUUAACAAAACAACCUAAUAUCAUUCAAUGAAUUUACAAGGGGAAGAUAGGGUUUGUACUUACAGGUUGGACGAGCUCACAGAUUCGACGGAGCAGAAGUGAGAGAGCAACUUUUAAUUAGAGCAGAAGUGAGAGAGCGAAAUGUUAUGUUGCGCGAAAUCUGAAAAUUUUAGGGUUCAGGGUUAGAAGAAUAAGAAUAAGAGCCAAAUAUAAAAAAAUUUAGGACGCGUGAAAAUUUUUAGAGCGCGCGCUCUUUAAAACUUCGAAAGAAAAACCAUGGCGAAAGUUCUACAAGAACCGACAUAAAUGUAAUAUUCCACGACGGAAACACUGAACGUAACGCCGUUUAUUUUGACGCUUCAUUUUUCGGAUUAAUUUUAAAUUUAUUUUCAAUAUUUUGAUAUAAAGACGACUGAAAAACCACGUCGGGGUUAAGAAAUUGAAAACGUUGUAAAUUAUAAUAGACGACUUACAUAUUAAAAUGACGUCGUUUAAAGUAGAAACUAUGUCGGAUAAUUUACUGCACGACGUAACAUAUGUAUUCCACGACUCAACCACCGUCGUUAACAAUUAAUACCCUAAACCCUUAAAACUAAAUUAUAUAAUUUUAAAAAUUAACUUUAUAAAAGGGUUUAUGGUUUUACAGCCUAAUAUAUACCCUAGACUACCCAAAAAUUAUACUUUAAAAAUAAACCCCAAUAAAUAACAACCCUAAUCUCUAAACCCUAGACUCUAAACCCUAAACCAUAAAACUAGAAGUGAUUUUAUGACUCAUCAAAACAAUUUUGUUUUGGAUGUUCAUUUUAAAUUUUUGUAAUUCAAAAUGAAUUUUUUCAAGGUUUAGGGGGAAGAAAAUAUAUCAAUGACUUCAUAGGAGUUGACUUUGCAUUUUUCUGAUUUAUUUUAAAUUUAUUUUGAAUAUUUUGAUAUAAAAAUAAUAAAAUAUUCUUAUCACAACAACAAACCACGUCGGUGUUGAUAAAUUGUAGACGUUGUAAAUUGUAAUAGACGACUAAGUUGUUAAAAUGACGUCGUUUAAAUGAGAAACGAUGGCGGAUAUUUAACUAUCCGACGUAAAAUAUAUAUUCCUCGACUUAACCACUGUCGUUACAAAGUACUACCCUGAACCCUUAAGAAAUUGAAGACGUUGUAAACCAUAAACGACUCCAUUGUUCAAAGAACGUCGUCUAAAUAUCCUUUUACGCCGGAUUUGUUUAAAACGAAACCACAAAAAACGACGGCUUUUGACUUUAUUACGUCGUUGGAAAAUUAUUACACGUCGGUUACGCAUUUUGUAUGUUUGUUUUUGUUUUUACUUUAAGAAAACCUCAACAAAUUUUUACAUUAUAUAUUAUAGACAAAAUUUGUACAUUAUACAUAAAUAUCAAGUGUUCAAUAAUUCCCCUAUUCCAGUUGAAUGCAAACAAACUCUGCCCAUUCAUUCCGGACUUCAUCAAUUGCUUCUUGGGGGUAUGGCUCUUCCUGUUUUCCCUUCGCAUACUGCAUAAAAACAAUGACUAUUAGGGUUUAUAAAUAAAAGGAAAUUCAAUCACAGACGACCAUAACCGACGUAGUAUAUCUAUUCAACGACGGUAAUUUUACAUGACCGUCGUUGAUAAUACAAAAAACGACGUAAAAUGUUUGAAGGUUAUUUCUUCUUACCUUCUUCUCAAACCCCAAGGAAGGAUCCAUGAUGAUGUCCUUCAUGAAGCGCAUCACGUAAUACCCGCAUUCGACAUUGCUGGGUUGCUUUGGUGUGCCUGACAGGGUUUUCCAAAUGACUGCCUUACGGCCUGAUCUGGCUAUGUGGGAAUUAUAAAUUUUUAUGGCACUGUUCACGAUGUCUUUGGCCUCUUCAUCGACCACACGAUUUCCUGGCAGAGGAUCCAGAAAAUAGACUGUUUCCCUCUUUGCUCUUACAAUCAGCAAGAUCCAAUGACGGCUGCACAAAAUUAAUAUAAAAACGACGGUUAUUUACAAAAACGACGUAUUAUAAUAUUUCACACGACGAAAUAAAGUAGCAAUCGACGACAUUAUAUAUUUAUAACGACGAUAAAUAACUACCGACGUGGUUAGUCGUUUCAAACGACUCAAUAAAAUAAAACACCGACGUGGUUAGUUUAUACGCUGUCAUUUAUUGAAAAUCAUAAAAACAAAAUCCUGUUAAGGAGACUAACCCUGGAUUGUAAGGCAUGAGGAAAAUCUGUUCACCGUCAGUCUUCUGAAGUCGUGAUGCUACAAGCCGUGAUCUGUCAGCUAUUGUGCCAGAGCUGGCACUAACUGUAGCAGGGUCGAUAAAGCCAACCAUUGUGCACAUAUUUGCUUGUUUUAAAACAUCGUGUAAGUACCUAAAUAUAUAAAAUAAUAUAAACAAGUCAGCGCAAAAAAAACACACGACGGUUAUGUAUAACAAAACGACGUAUUAUAAGGUUUCACACGACGUACUGAAAUAGACAACGACGUUAUAAUAAAUUUAUCACGACGGUACAUACUAACGACGUGGUUAGUUAGUUAAGACGACGCAAUAAAUAAACCAACGACGUAUUAUUUUAGAAUGACAAACCUCAUAUAUACAGCAAUGACUGUAGCUCCUAUUUCCUCCAUGCCUGCAAAUUGUGUAAUAUCUUCAGGCAGGAGGAAGGUAUCGCGCUCUAGACCAAACACCUCCUUAUCAAUUGUAAAGUGCAGGGUCUUAUCUUGAGUUACGAGUGUCGUUUCCACAUAACGACAAAGGGUUUGUAAAGAAGAUGGCGCCUCCAUAUUUGAAUAAUCAACAACUUUAGUAACCUGUUUAAAGAAAUAAAAAAAUGACGUGGUAAUUCAAUAAAAACGACGGUUUAAGGAAUAAAAUGUCGUUUGAAAACAAUUUAAACGACGGUGAAAAAACCGUCGUGGUGAAUUAUUUAUUACGUCUUAGAAAACAAUUCCGCCGUCUAAGUUGUAAACAAACGACGGUUUAAAGAAAAAUAUCGACGUCUGGAAUUUUGAAAACAAAUAAAAAAGGUAAAGUUAUGUGAACAUACCUGGUCGUCAUCUUCUUUCUCCUUUUCAUCUUGUUUUUCUUCCUUAUUCUCUUCAUAUAUGACGUCGGGAAUGAUUAACUCCGUCAUCUAAAAACCACAAAGUUUUAAAAAUAACGACGUUUAAUGGCGUGUAAAACAAGUAAACUAAAUACGACGUGGUAUUGAAAUACAAACGACGGUUUAUUUUUAAAAUCGUCGUGGUAUGUAUUUCAAACGACGGUUUUAUUAAAAAUAACGACGUCUAAUGGUUUUUAAAAAAACAGAGAAUUCAAAGUUCAGAUAUGUUACCUUUUCUUCCUGAUGUUUCCCAUUUUUGGCAGUAUCAUCCUCAAAAUGCUGGGAUCUCACAUCACCUCCAGAGCAGCUUGCUUUGUCAGACAUUGGAUUUUUGGGACUUUGGCUAAUUCUGGGUUUAAGCAUGCUUGGAUCAAAAUUGGGAAUUAAUUGGGAAAGCUGACUCAGGAAAUGCUCCCUCUCAGCCUCUACCAAUUGUUUCGUUCUAGCCUCCAUUCUUAAAGCCUCUUCCCUUGCCUUAGCCUCCAUCUUUUUAGUCUCUUCUUGAAGGAGAACUCUUAAACUGUCCUUCAAACGGUCGUCAAAGCUCACUCUCUGUGGUUUGGGUAAAUUGAAAUAUUGCUUUGGUGAGAUCCCAGCACCUACUCCUCUGACUCUGCCUGGAUGCUCGGGGCCCAAAGCCAUGGUCAGCACAUCAUUGCUGCCAGAGACGGUGACUUUGCCUUCCGAGACUUGUUUUUGCAAAUCAUCCUAAAACAAAGAUAUAUAAAAAAGUAAGAACAAAAACACACGACGGUUAUUUAUAUACAAACGACGUAUUAUAUAAUUUCACACGACUCAAUAACAUAUAAAUCGACGUUAUUAUAAUUUAUCACGACGGUAGUUAUACCGACGUGGUUAGUUCUUUAAAACGACGAAAUUAAUAAACCACCAACGUCUUAUGUAACAGAGGGAUGAUUCAAUAUUCACACCUUUAACGACGUUGUUUAAAACAUUUCGACGUAGUAAUUUAAUACAGACGACGCGAAAUUGAACCACCGACAUCUUAUGCUAUAAUUACAGAAAACAGAGUUCUGAUUCCUAUUUAGACCUUUAACGACGUGUUUUAAAAAAUGUCGACGUGGUAAUAUCAUUCACACGACGCAAAAUAUAACAUAAGACGUAAUAAGAAUUAUUCACAGUUUAAUAAAAAUUUAAAACAGAGUGAGUAGGCUUACAAUUAAUUUUGCUUUCUCUGCCACCUUUGGAUCAGGGAUGUUACCAUGUUUGUCAUGUCUAGCUCUCUUCCAUAAGGUAGAUCGAUCAAUUUCUACCCCAGGCAUGGUUUCCUCUAAUUGAUCCUCCAAACCGGCAUAUCCUUUUCGAGACAAUCGAUGAUUGUACUCGAGUUUCUCCCUAAUCUGUGCAUGUUGAGAAUGCACAGACUCAAAAUCUUUGGAUAGCCUUGAAGCUACAAAGGCAUCCCAUUGUGCUUUCUCUAUGAAUUUAUAUGUUUCAGGGGGUUGGCUUAAUCUCUCCCUGUCAUUGGUGUAUGGAAGGAUAUAAUGCCUCGUUAGUGUAGACUUGAAAUCCUUCCAUUUCUUGGCAGCAGAAGCUAAGACAGAGUUCUUGCCCCCUUGACCUACUACAAAAGCAAUGUCAACUGCUUCCCAAAUCUGCUCCUUUAUAUCCUUGGGGAUUUGAGCCCAUUUCAAGUCCACAAGUGGAACUCUGGAGCGUGCCAACACACCAAUAUAGGACUGCAUCUCACUAUGAGCUUGGCCAAUUCCUUUCCCCCUUUUAUUGUACUCAACAAUUGGCCUCAGUUUCUGCAGUUUUCUCUUCACAACACGAGGCAUUGUGCUCAUACCUCGACCAGCCUUUGAAUCAUCAGAUAUUGUUGUCCCGCUGGUUGGUUCUGUAUCAGCAGAUGAUGAAGCAAACUUCAUCUUCUUCGAAGACUUCAUUAUCUUCGAAGACUUCUCUUGAGGAGGUACUUGCUCCUCACCUCCAUUUUUCUUGGAGCCAGAAUCCUUACUUUAGUCUUGUUGAGAAACCAUUUUUACAGACAAAACUGCAAGUGAAAAUAUUUCAAGAAAAGAUUAAGAACACAAACGACGGUUAUUAAUAAAAUACGACGUAUGAUAUGAUUUUAAACGACGCAAUGAAAUAAUAUCAGACGUAAUAAAUUUUUAAAACGAAGGUAAUUAAACAACGACGAAAUAAUUGACUACAAACGACGAGAUAAUUAACUAUAAACGACGGAAUAUUUAUAUAACGUCGUGGUAUUGAUGUUCACACGACGUCAGUAGUAAUAUACCGUCGUCUAUAUAAGGAUCCAAAACCCUUCUUUCUUUCUCUGUGAAUGUUUGAUUGCAGAUUUGAUUUUUCUGAACCAUGGUUUUUGUUUUCUAAUUUGAUAAAAUACAAGGCCAAGAAAGAAAGUUUUGGAAUCUUAUAUAGACGACGGUAUUUUAAUAUGACGUCGUGGUAUUAACAUUCACACGACGUAAAACAAUAAGAUACUGUCGUCUAUAUUAGAUACCAACCCUAAUUUCUUUUUCUUUAUAUUUUAUCAAAUUAGGGAAAAACAAAAACCAUUGUUCAGAAAAAUCAAACCUGCAAUUAAACAAGCAAAUAAAAAAAAGACUAAAAUUUUAAAAACAACUUUGUCAAUUUUCAGACGACGCUAGAACGACUGACGAACCGUCGUGGUCUACAUAUUUAACCACGUAAAUAAGAAGCUACCGUCGUCUUAUUUAGUUAAGGUAGUUGUCUUCAAAGUUGGAAACUUUCCCUCUUUGUCUGUAUAUUUUAUCGAACUUGGAAAGAAGUAAAAUGAUUUUGGCCAGAAAAAAGGUAAAAAGAUUUUUCAAACAAAAAACGUAUGAGCAUGCAAAACAGCAACCAAAAUAGUGAAAAUGAAAGCUUACCUUUUGUGUGCAAUGAAAGCAAGAGGAAGACGAUCGAUGUUUAAAUUCAGAGACGACGAAGAAGACGAGAGGAAGACGAUGAGAUACUCUGAAAGUGCUCUGACAAGGAAAAAAGUCUAAAAGUUUUCUCUGGGAGAUUGAAAUUUUUAAUCGGGUUUGGAAAAAGUGCAUGUGUAAGUCAGGUAGACGAAAAGUUGCUUAUAUAUAAAACCAUUUCAAAAAAAUAAUACGGCGGUUACAUAUAACUACGACGUAUAAAUUACAAAAUACGACAGUACGUUUAACUUCGGACGUGGUAAAUAAUUACGACAGUAGUGUUAUAGGUACCGUCGUAGUAAACUCAAAAUUAAAGUACAUAAGUAAUAACUCGCGUCAUGGUAGAUCAUUUAACACGUCGGUUUUAUUAAUGUACCGACGUGGAUUUAUGUAAUAUACGUCGGUAAUACCGACGUUGAUUUUACAAUUUAAACGGCGGUUUUUUUGUAAGGACCGCCGUUGGUUUUAAAAAUUUAUUCUAUAAAUUUGUUGCUUUCAUUCAUUUUCGGUUUACAUUUAGGGUUCCAAGUUCUUCCUCUCUCAGAGACACUAUCUCUCACAUCUCAAAGACAGUAAUUUGGAUGUCUUUCUCAAAGAGAAAUUGAGCUUACUCGCAUCAAAUCUAUGUCCACAAGAAGAAGCUUGUCAACUAGCCUUCUCACUUCCUUGAUCAAGCCUGAUAGGACACUUAGUGCUUCUGAAUACUCCUUGCUUUCCAUCAAAAGAGAUGCAAGCCUGGCCUCCACUCGCUGUCGAAGGAAAGUUCGCUUCUCAGGGAAAUCUGAAGAUCAGAUGUGCCUGAUCCUCUGCUUGAUUUUCUUGGCUAAGAAGAUCCGUCAGAUUUGUGAUAGCCUCUUCCUUUAUCCGUAGAGCUUCAGAAGAAGAAGAUGGGUUUCAAGAAUGCGAUAAAGAAUAGAAAUGGCUUCAGAUGGCCUCUAAAGCAUGAGCAAUCGAAUCAGUGCUUUGAACUAUACUUUGAACUAUACAAGUCAAUGCUUUGAACUAUACAAGUCCUGCAGAAAGAUAAAGGACCAAACUAUUAAAGAAACCCCAAACUAACACGACGCAAUAUUUGUUUUGCGACGUGGAAUCUUUUCAUUUAACGUCGUUAGGUUUAAUAUAACCGACGUGGAUUUGAAUUUUUAAAUUAUGAAUAGCAUUUUUUUUCCCGUGACCUUUCAGUUUAUUUUUCAAUUACAGUGCGUUAUAAAUAGAGUUUUUUUUCCGGAGGAAAUUUAAAAUGAAGGAAAUUAAUGUUCUGGAAUAUGUAAAAUUUCUUUUUUGGAUGACAGAUUUAAAUAAAAUAAGAAUAUAAAAACAACGACUGUUUUUGUAUUACUGUCGUCGUUUUUCGUCGUCUUAAGUAAGACUAAGACAACGUAAUAUAUUUGUUGAGCGACGUUGAUUUGUGUUUUAAACGUCCUUAGGUAUAAUAUAACCGUCGUUGAAAAUUGUCUCUCUGAUUGCAAAUUUGCAACGACGUUAGGUAUAAUAUUUGUAGAUACACAAACGCACACACAUCAUCAACUUCCAAAAAAUUGUCUCUCUGAUUGCAAAUCUGUGUCAUCUGUUAAGAUUAUGAUGUGGAACAAAGUUCCAUUUGGUAAGAUUUCGUAACCCUUGGGAUCUCAGAAAAAUCUGAUUAUGUCGGCGAUUUUCUAUAUAAACCGUCGUGGUUAUUUCAAUUCUUGUCAUUAAGUAGAUCUACCGACGUAGGAUAAGAAAAUCAAAGAAAAAAAUUGUUAACAAAAAUUCUUAUUAAGACGACGGUUUAAAUUAAAGGUAAGACGUAUAAAAUGAAUAAAUACGACGUUAAAUUUUAUAGUACGAUUUAAAGAUAACGUCGUAGAACUAUACCAGAAUGACGUCGAUAUAUUUAUAUUUUUCGUCGUUGUACAUUAAUUUAAUACGGCGAUAUUUUGUAUUUUAAAGUCGUGGAUUUGUUUGUAAUUAUACAGCGUCUUAUACGAAAACCUCGUCGUGUUAUUUUAUGAGUAAAAACGGCGGCUUUUAUUGAAAUCGUCGUCUUUACUUUCUACGUCGGUUGAUUCAUAACUUCUGUCGUUCUUUGUUGGCUUUGAUUUUACACUGCGGAAAUCUGUUUCAAAUAGACGUCGGUUGUUUAAUUAAGUACGUCGUUGUUUUUGAACAGCCAUUUGAAUCUCCAUUUUUUAGUUGUCUAAGGUGGUAUUACACGACGGUGUUUUUAGAACCGUCGUCUUUUUAAAAACCACGACGGUUUUCACUGAGACCGUCGUUGUUUUCUGGUCGUCUUUUUCACUUUUUGUAGUAGUGAAUGGAAUAGAAUGAUGGAAGUUAUUUUUUUUUUUUCCUACGUCUAAAGUAUACUUUAUAUAUAUAUAUAUAUAUUUAUAUUUAUUAUGGAAGUUAUAACCGUUUAAUUUUCAGUUUUUAUUUUCUAUUUAUUGUUUUAAUUUUUAUAGUUUAAUGUGUAUGGAGAUUUCAAGUAUUGGAUGUUUAUAAAGGGUCACUCCUCCUUCACAUCUGAAACAAACCACCAUCUCAUUUCUGUAUUUUCAUACUUUCAUAUAUUUUCUACUUUCCAGAUUAUUAUUUUUGGGCAACGGUUCUGUGACUUGGAGAUUUCUAUCCGAUUAUUAACAUGCUCAUAGCGGACCUUGAGCUUGCGUAUUGAGGAUAGUAUCUUGGAGCCUUGUAGACCUUUAUUACCUGCAUGUAGGGAGGCUAUAAAUGCUUUAAGUCAGCGUCUUUGACGUGCUUUUGCUUUCUUUUUUUUACUUAUUUCUUCGUUACUUUAUUUUUACUUUACUUUUAAAUCUUUAUUUUAUGUAUUAUUUAUAUUUAAAAAUUUUGAAUAAGAGUUUUACAGAAAAGGAAAAACACAAUUUCAAAUAACACAAAUUUCUCGUUUUUUGUUCUUAAAAAAGAAGAAGCAUUGAUUGGGGAGUUAUGGUAAACUCAGUUUCAAUGGUUGCGAUGAGAGGCGGUGGCGGCGAGGAGAGGACGAAGGCUUUGCUGCCGACGGGGUGGUGUGGGUGGGUGGAGACCUCGGCUGGCUGCUUGGUCCUGGGUUCUCCUUUAAUUCUCUGUUUUCUUUUUUCAUAUUUUUCUUUUUCUCUUAGAGUUAUUGAUGUUAAGUGAAUGGACAGAUGCCAAGAGAAGAUGUGAACCCAAUUAUAUACAGCUGAUUACAUAAAGUAACAAAUUAAUUAAUACUUGAGUGGAGGACAGGCUCGAGUGGAAGAAUUGAUUAAGGCUUGAGUGGAAGACAAACUUCAGUGGAGGAAAGUACAGAUAAGGAAAGCAUGCCACGUUUAACGGCUUUAUCUCAACAAAUUAGGAAUGCUGGUUUUGUUUCCUCGGUGGUUGAAAGGUGGUGCCUUGGCUCGGACAUCUCCCUAGUAAUUAAUCGAAGGUGGAAUCUUACAAGACAUUCAGCUGCUCAUUAGCUGAAUAUCUCGCUCUCUUUAAAGAGAUCGAAGCAAACUGCAAUUUGCAAUUUGUGUGAUUCAAGCAUGAAUAUCUGACAUAGUAACUAUACCAUUUGUUGGUUUGAUGAGAAAAGUUUGGUUAGCGAGGAUGAAACCAUAAAGUUCCCCAAAACACACAAAGAGCACGGACAAUUGCUAAGUUUAUCUUUGAGUUCACGCAUAUUUGCACAAAUGAGAUUACUCCAAGUAUGACUAUACCAUUUGUUGGUUUGAUGUGAAAAAUAUGGGCAACGAGGGUAAAACUAUACAAACACACACAAAGAAAGUGGACAAUUACUAAGUUUAUCUUUGCGUUAUUCAUCCGACCUAACUGUAAAAUAAAAAAGAUGAAAAUAUAUAAUGUUCACUACUUAGAUCUAUGAGCACUAAAGUCCUCCUUUUGGAAUUGCACAAAACGUCACUUUUGGUCUUUGACAAAUUUUUAAAAUAAAUGAAUUUUUUACUUAUUUGUGGACUGAAAUGCCUCAAAAAAAAUAAUGAUAAUUUGAAGAAUUUGAUAGAAAUUAAAAAAUAUCCUCAAAUUACUUGGAAUUGAAGACCACAUAGGCAAAAACACCACUUUGGACAAAGGCUGGUGAUAAUAGUCGAUAUCAUCUUUUGUCGGUCCGACCUAAAAAGAAGAAAAAGUUGAAAGCAUCUUGUUACCAUUUUUGCCAAUGUGGGUCCAGACAAUUUGAAGAAGUCCACCGACAAUUUCUCAAAAGCUAUUGUGUGAGUGUUUUGAAGCUAAACCAAUAUUAUUUUGCACAUACGACCCCACAUCCCCAUGUGAGGCUACAGAAGUGUUUCCAAAACGAAACAUGAUAUUUCAAAACAAAGCUAUGUAUAGAAUAGAGUCAUUUGUAUUUGCUUUCACAAUAACAUUUUAUUUGUGAAAGCAUUUUAUAUUUUUACAUUAUGAUGUUCUAACAAAUAAAUUGACUAUAUUUGGCCAACAGGGUUUAACCGAGUAAAAAAGUCCUUAUUUAUAAACUACUGGUUUCAUAUUUGAACUCUAUGACAUUCUCUUUACCCUUAAAGUUUAGACUAUCGCAUGUAUUAUAAAUAAAAAAAAACAAUUGGCUUAAUUUGAUAUAUUUCAUUUUAUGCUGGGUGCCGUUAUUAAGUUUUAUCCUUGUUUCUUGUUGAAAAAAAAUUGAUAAAAAAUAAGAAUUCCUAUAGCUAGCAACUUCUCCACCUUCCCUUCUUCGCAACUAGGGAUGCCAUUGCAAGGUCACCAUCUCAGAUUAAGUCCUCCUUUUAAAAUUGUGUUGUUAUUCAAAAUUGGAAUAUGCUGGUCAUUCUUGAUAUAAUCUGUUCCACAAAAAGAAAAAGAAAAAAGUUGAUAGCAUCUUUUACCACUUUGGCCACUUUUGAAGAUAUUCACCGACAAUUUCUCAAAAGCUAUUAAGCUGUACGUCCACAAUAUUAUUGCAUCCAACUUUGCAUAUACGACCCCAUCCCCAUGUGAGGCUACAAUAUUGUUAAAAAAAUAUGCUAACAUUGUCAUUCAGUAUGCUAACAUUGUCACUAUGUUUGCGAAUUGCAUAUUAUCUAGAACAUAAAGGCUUUGGUGUUUUGUAGAUCCUCAGGGAGCCAAACCCGUCUUUAUAAAAAUGGUCCUUAUGAUACUACUUUAACAACAAUAAAGUAUAAUAAACUAGGCCUUUGUAGUCACUGAACGAAUGUUUUGUCAUAUAUAUGACUAUUUAAAUGUAAUUACGGGAUUAAAACAUUAUAAUAAAUUGGAGUGAACCAUAACAUUAUAUAUGAUCCAAUCCUUUGCAUAUAUUUUUGUUCAAGACUUUGUUUUAGAAUGCUCUAUUACUAAUUUGGUACAGGUCUCUAAAAUCUAUGCCUUUAUGAGGCAACGUCUUUAUUUCUUUGGUUAUUCCAGUUUAGAAUAUUUGCACAAAUGAGAUGACUCCCAGCAUAAAGUCACAUUCAACCAAAAAGCAUGAAGUCACACACAAAAAGAAUACGGACAAUUGCUAAGUUUAUCUUGUAUCCUUAUUUUAUUGAUCCAACCCAAUUGAAAAAUUAAAAAGAUGAUAUAAUAUACUGUUCACUGCUUACAUCCAUGAGUAAAGUCCUCCAUUUGAAAUUGCGUGAUGAUAUAAAAUUGGAAUGAAAAAAGAAAAUCCUACAGCUAAAUUUGAUAUAUUUCCUUUUCAUUUUAUGCUGGGUGUUAAGUUUUCUUAUUUCUUGUUGAAAAGAAAAAUGAAAAGAAAUAAAUAAAUUCCACAGCUAGCCACUUAUCCACCUUCCCUUCUUCCCAUGUAGUGACAACAAGGGAGGCCUUCAAUCCAAAAUAAAGACAAGGGAUGCCAGAUCAGCAUCUCAGAUAAGUAUCCCAACCAAAACCAAUCAAAUAAUGACAUAUGUAUCUCUUUUUGUGUUUUGUUCUAUUUCUCUUUGAAUUAACUGCAUAGUUUCAUAAGCGUGUCCUCCUUUUGAAAUUGUGUAUUAUUCAAAAUUGGAAUUUGCUGAUCAUACUUGAUAUCAGCUAAAAAAGUUUCCAACAUCUUGUACCAUUUUUUUCCAGUGUGGGUCAUAACUUGAAGAAGCCCACCGACAAUUUCUCAAAAGCUAUUACCAUCCAACUUUGAAAAAUAAAAGUUUUCAAAAGUUACCCCAAACAACAGUCCUUGAAAGAGAGAGUUUUCCAAGGCUAAAGAUUACAAGGAUGUUAUUUACAGUCUCGACAACGACAAGCUUCAUAUUUGUUUACAAACCUGUAUUUUCAAGUUGUGCUAGCCUAGCUACUUGCAAAAAAUAUCCAGUUGGCACAUGCAUUAACGUGUGACAAGAAGUUAGUUAUAUUUGUAAAGUAAAAGAACGAAGUACAUAGCAUGUAAGUUGAUGCUAAAUAUUUGAUCAACAGAGUUAAACAUAAAACCACUGACAAUAUAACGUUGUUCACCAAAAAUUGCAUUUCGUUGAGGGUCAGUAGUGUAGGUUUCAAGAUACGAUUUAUUUUGUUAAAGAAUAUUCUGAUAUUCUAACAAUAAAAUUGGCUCAAUUUGAUAUGUUUCUCUCUCUUUUUUUGUUUCUGUUUUCCCUUUCAUUUGAUGCUUUGUUGUGCUAUUGCUAAGUUUAUCUUAGAGACCAGGGAUGCUUAGCAAGUUUCUUCACCUGCCCUUCUUCCCAUGUACUAACUAGGGAUACCAUGUCAGAAUCUUAGAUAAGAAUCCCAUGCUUUGUUGUGCUAUUGCUAAGUUUAUCUUAGAGACCAGGGAUGCUUAGCAAGUUUCUUCACCUGCCCUUCUUCCCAUGUACUAACUAGGGAUACCAUGUCAGAAUCUUAGAUAAGAAUCCCAACCCAAUCAAACUAUGACAUCUGUAAGUAUUCAAAAUUGGAAUUUGCAUUGUGAUAGUUGAGUGGAAGAAUCGAUUAAGGCUUGAGUGGAAGACAAACUUCAGUGGAGGAAAGUAAUUAAUUAGACCAUUAUUUGUUGGUUUGAUGAGAAAAGUUUGCUGGUGAUAGUCCAUAAUCUUUGUCCGACCAGAAAAUAAGAAAAGUUGUCUUGUACCAUUUCUGCCAGUGUGGGUCCCACCCACCCCAUGCGAGUAAUUUGAAGAAGUCCACCGACAAUUUCCCAAAAGCUUUGGCGUCCAACUUUGCCGACCCCAUCCCCAUGUGAGGCCAUAGAAAAGUUUUCAGCCACAAUCAAAUAAGGAACAGUCCUUGAAAAGAGAGGGUUUUCCAAGGCCAAGAUUACAAGUUCAUGUUAUUUACAGUCUCAAAAAGCUUCCAUACUUGUUUACAAACCUGUAUUUUCAAGUUGUGCUAGCCUAGCUAUUUGCAAAUCUUGGAAUAUUUUACUUCAUCCAAAUCCCUUGAAGUCUGCAGAGAAGAUAAAAGACAUGGCUUUGAUUGGAGAGGCUCUUAUCUCUGCUUCCGUCCAGGUGUUGUGCGACAGAAUUACUUCACCCGAGUUCGUUGACUUAUUUCGGCACAAGAAACUCGAUGAGCCACUCCUCAGGAAGCUGAGGACGACACUGUUGGCCUUGAACUUGGUGCUCAAUGAUGCAGAGGAGAAGCAACUUGUGAACCGAGAUGUGAAAAAGUGGCUUGACGAGCUCAAACAUGCUGUCUUUGAUGCGGAGGACUUACUGGAUGAGAUUGACACUGAAGCUUUGAGAUGCAAGCUGGAAGAAGGUGAAGAUCAAACUCACAAAUUUACCAAUAAGGUGCGGAACUUGCUCUUUUCUUCUCGUAGUCAUU